rnacentral:lncRNA from 1 species
UAAAUUUCAACCAUGUGCAUAUGUUAUUUCUAGCUGGAAGCCUCUGGAGUUGGGCGGACCAGGUUCAAGUUCACUCUGGCUGUGCGCAUUCGUCACGUAUUUUGAUUGAGAUGAUGAGAUGGAGGAUCUGAUACAGUUGCAUUGUGUGGAAGCAAUUUUUGUAAGGCCUGAACUUCGUGUUAAUAAUCUGCUAUAUCCGACCAUAUCCCUUCGGCGUUUGUUGGGUAAAUAAUGGUCCCUAGGCGGCCAAACUAGACUUUGAAUGGACUUCAAUAUAUACGUAGAUUAUUAGCCUAGCCUUCUGUCCAUGUCCCCUUUUUUCACUUCCACGUAUUUGUUUUUUUUUUCGUUUCUCACUUCUGAUUGAAAUUUUGCGGUGGAAUGGUUUAUAUACUUCCAUUGGUCCUAUGUGUUCUUUUGAUUUGAAAAAUUCUUGUAUCUGGAAAGUAAAGAACUCUCGUUCGCUGUAAAAUUGUUCAAAACAUGUGAGUAGCAAAAGGGUGGUCAACGGCGAUUAUUCAAGGAAGGUCAUUAUGCGUGGGCGUGGGUCCAUGGCGUGAAGGCGGGGGAUUCGCAGUGGUCGCCGUCACGUCUCCGGCGAGGUCGCCUUCUACAUUUAGGGCCUUCCGUUCCGUGUGGAAUUGGCAAGUCUCCUCGCCGUACAGCAAGAAGUACGUACUAAAUACUCGUUUGUGAUCUGAGGCCUGACCGCGUAUUUAGCCGCCUCCCCGGCUACAGAAACGAAACGGAGCAAGAGAAGAGAAAGAGAGUCUCCACACGCGCGACGUGAGUGGAACGUGCCACGCCCACGCGGUCGUCGGCUGGAGACGCCCCACUGAUUACGCGAGCCCCAAGGCCCCGACCCACCCCACCAGCACAGCGCCCUCGCCGCCCGCCGCUCACCUGCCCCGCGCCCCUCCGGCCGUAUAAAUACAAGGCGCCCGUGGCGGAGAUGGGCACCGCUUUUUCCUCCUCCUCUUCCACCCCAGAGUCCAGAGCUAUGGCGCUCGCCAAGGCCAAGGAGAUCGUCGCCUCCGCUUCCGUCGUCGUCUUCAGGUCUGCCUCUCCGACUCAUCUCCCCUCUCUCCAUCUCACCGAUCGCUCCUGCCAUGAACAGACGCCGCUGAACUCGACUUGGAAAUUCGGUCUGUGAUAAGAACUGAAAAGGGGGCGCGGAUGAUCAGGAAUAGAUCCCACACUAGUUCCGCAUCUUAUCCUUGGUCUUCUUUCCCCAUCCCCUAUGAGUAGAGCAUAUUCGUUCUUGUUUUUUAUUCCCUGUUCUUUUUAAAUUCUUUUCCGGUGGAGGAAGAAAGCUGCCUUAAAUAUAUCUAAUUAGAAGAACUGUACCCAAAUCCUAUUGGCUUGUUUGAAUUCCGGAUGCGCCACGGCCUUGAAAUUAAGGAUCCUCGGACCUCUUGCAAGGGAUUGGGACGUUGUUAGGGGAUCUACUAGCUAGGUUUAUGUUGCGUCUUAAAUAUUUGGUCCAACUACUACUGUUUGUACCUGUUCCGAUGAUGAUGAGCUUAACUACUACUCCAUCCAUUCCAAAGUAAAUUAAGUCUGGUGGUUUUGGUUCAAGUUUUAUGUCGCGUUCUAAAUAUUUCGUCCAACUACUGUUUGUACCUGUUCCGAUCAAAUAUGUAGUAGUAGUACUGUAUUUGUAACGACAUGUUUGAUGCCCAAUGCUACAUGCCCUGUUGACGCUAACUCUGAUUCAUCUGAUUCUUUGGGCUAUCUGCAGCAAGUCUUACUGCCCUUUCUGUGUUCAAGUGAAGAAGUUGCUCACGCAGCUUGGAGCAAGUUUCAAGGCCGUUGAGAUGGACACUGAAAGUAAGUAGAAUUGUCCUGUCUCUUGGUUAUUUAAAUUUCACUUAAGUAGACUGUAUGCACCUAAGUUUCACGGCCACGGGCUCCCAACAAUUUUUUAGAUGAAUAAUAACCUUAAGUUUCCUGCAUCCGGAUGUUGCUUUGUACUGUUGCGUUGAAAUAGUGUCCUUGUUGGGUUUAUAAGAGCUUAAUGCAGGUUAUUUUCCUGCAUUUGGAUUGCCCUGUGUACUGUUUUGUUGAAAUACUAUGCGUAUUGGGUUUAUGAGCUUUCAUACUGCUGUGGCCUGGAAAAGAAUUUAAUAUGACAGCACAAUUUUUGGAAAAGAUUUCAGUAAGCUCACUACGUAAUGAUGUGAGUGUGAUAUCAAAUCUCUUGGUAGCUUUGAUGAUUGGUUAGACACAUUAAGAAGCAAUUGAGUUUUCUGUUAACAAAGAAGCAAUUGAGGUCCCAAGGAUCCAACAAUGAAUCACUAUGUAGGGGCAGCUCUUUUGGCAGCUUAAAAAAUAAGCCACCUUCUUCCUAGUUUUUCCUAUAAGCCUUCUCUCUUAUUCAUCGGGGCUUCUAAAUUAGUUAUGGGAUAAAUAAUUUAGAAGUCUCAACAAAUUUUAUGUGCGGCUUAUUUUAUAAGCUGGGGAGAGGCAGCUUAUUUUUUAAGCCGCCUAAAAGAACUAGACCGUAAUGAAAGUGAUAUCAUCAGAACCUCAGAGUAGUUAGUCUUCUUUUUAGUGUUUACAUGCUAUGAGCAAAACACGUUUCUUUUAGAUUCUGCUCCCAGUCGUACUACGCUACUACUCAUCUACGCUCGUGAUAAACAAUCAAGCAUGUUCUAAGUUCUAAUUGCAUCAUGUAUUGGCUCUGCAUUGGGAUGAUCGGCACAGGACUUGGGAGAAACCUUAUUCAACUAACCCAUGUUAUCUUUUAUGAAGGCGAUGGAACUGAGAUUCAGUCAGCUCUUGCUGAAUGGACUGGGCAGAGGACUGUUCCCAAUGUCUUCAUCAAUGGAAAACACAUCGGUGGCUGUGACGGUGAGCUGAUUUGCUCCCUACAACCAUGUUAAACUGUUGAUUGUAGUUAUGGUUCUAUGAACAAGCAGCAAAUUCCAUUGUGCGAGGCUUUGCUUUCUUGCAAUUGGAUUACUUUCUGAUAGUUACUUCCAUGUCAAUGUCUUCUGUGGCAGAUACUAUUGCACUGAACAAGGGAGGGAAGCUGGUUGCUCUGCUGACAGAGGCUGGAGCGAUCUCCGGUUCUUCUUCGAAGACCACCGUCACUGCUUAGCUUUGUUUGCGAGUUGUUGUGAUCGACAUGUUAGUGUGUUACAUGAGUUGCAUUGUUCCCGUGUCAUGAAAUAACGAAGUUGGAUGUGUUUGGCAAGUUCAGGGCUUGUUGCUGUCUAGCAUGUCCGCAGCGACUGUUAAAUCUCAGUGUAAAACUCGUUAGAAAUAAAGCAAAUUAUUUUGGUGAUAUCAUCAAACCCCAAAUUACUGUCGUUCGUUUGCAUAUAUACAUGUCACUCUUUAUUGUUUCCCUGCUGAAAGGGAACCGUAGACGUUUAAGGCAGAAUUCAGUUUCAUGACAGAAUCUGCAGACCAAUUUUUCUACCGCCGGUAACCAAGCAUUUUCAGGCACAGCUUGUACACCACCAGCUCCUCGUCUUCGUCCAUUGGUGCCUUCGCUGCGGGCAGCUCGCCGUGCGGGAAGUCCUUCCCGAACCCGUACUCCUCCAUCCACCACUCCGUCCGAGACACCCGCCUCACCGUCACGUCGUCUUCCCGGUACAAGAACACGCGGCGGUACCCUAUGUCCCCGCCAUUGCCGUUCACGACGCGGCCUUCGCGCACCGGCACGUACGCCCCUGGCCCUGCCCUCCGCGGGCGCGCUUUGUCCUCGUCGUUCUCCUCUAGCUCGCGCCGGCGCUGAUGCGCGGCGAAGAACCACUCGCACCGGUCGUUGGCCGCCGGGAACGCCACCGUGAGCACCGCCGGGUGCGCGGCAAAGACGUCGGGCACGGCGUACAAUCUGCAGCGCCGUGGGUCACCCAGGUUGAGGCUGUCGAGGUAGAGCUGGACGAGCACCUGCGGCUUAUUCAUGUCUUGGUGGUGCGCGGGGGACGCGGGCUGGUGGACGCCGAGCAUCGUAUGGACGACCCCGCCACGCGCCGGGUAGAGCUUGCAGACCACCAUGUCGAAGGCAGCGGCGGCAGAGCGGCAGUCGCCGUACUCGUCCAUGCGCCACUCGGUCUCCCUGGUCGAGGCCGAGCCAACCUCGGCCUCGUCCUCGUAGUAGCGGAAGGCGUGGCAGUAGGCGGCGCCGCCGAGCAGCCUGGCCUCGCUGCCGAGGCGGUACGCGCCGGGCCCGGCCCUGCGCCGCCCGCCCUGGCAUUGCGCGCGGCACACGAAGAAGAACCACUCGGGCCGGCCGUUGGCCGGCGGGUACACGGCGGCGAGGAAGCCGGGGUGCGCGCCGUAGACGUCGGCGUCGUGGAUCUGCCGGGGCAGGCCGUCGCAGAGCAGGGCGCGGCGCAGGGGCAGGUACCGGGCGACGAUGGCGUCCAGGGCCGGGUCGAACGCUUCGUCGGGGGAGGCGUUGACGGCGUCCGUCGCCGUGGCGCGCGGCGGCGGGGGCCUGGGAGGCUUGCCCGAGUUGGGCGGCGCCGGGGGCAGGACGAUCCAGCCGUCGUCGGUCUCCUCCUCCAGGUCGCGGAGGGCGGAGGAAGCCGCCGUGGUGGCCUCCGGCGCAGGCUUCUUCCUGGCCGGCGAGGGUUUAAGGGCGGGCCAGUACAUGUUUGUGUGCCGCACGCUACCGUUCCGCGCGAUGGAUCGGUCGAUCCUCCAAGGGUGCACGCAAGAUCGUUUAUGUCAACGCGAAGCGCGCGGUUCAGGUUCCCGAGGCCGACCGCCCCAACGGGUGAACUUGACGUGGAGGUCGAGCCGGCCGGUCGAAUCAUGGAUCGGAACGGAAUCCGAAGCGAAGUACGGCUGGACGCGGGGUAAAUCUCGCCUUUUAAAGGAAAAAUCUCGUUGCCAGUUUUUAUUUUUUUAAUUUAAAGGGAAAGCAGGAUAAAUGAAUUUCAAACAAUAAUUAGAAAAAAAAAGGUUAUAUAGGGAUACCAAUAUGCCUUCCGGCGGAUUUACGAGCCGAUUUUUUUUUGAGAAAAACGAGCCGAAUAUAUUUUGACCCUUGUCAAGGGGUCUAUGUGCAUGCAUGUAAGGCCUAUCCUUUUCUACCUAGAGAAGCGACUUGCCAGUGCAGGUUGAGAUGGACUCUCUAAUGGCAGUAAAAUUGAUUCAAGCUUCAGAUGUUGACAGAUCGGUUUACUCGUCCAUCAUCAAGGAGAUUACUUAGAUAUCUUCUGUCUUUUCGUGAUUUUUGUAUUACUCAUGUAAAUCGUAGCCAAAAUAAAGUUAGUGAUAGUUUAGCAUAGGGUGUGUCUAGGACACAUCUAGAUGUGCCCUAAUUAUUCCACAUCUAAGUGAGUGAAUCAAGCAUAAGGAGAAAAGGAUAAAAGAGAAAGAAAAUAUUCACACGAAUCUUAAUGUAAGAUCAAUGACAUAUGACUUAGAUGUGCAAUACUUAUGGCACAUCUAGAUGUGCUUUAGCAAAACUGUUUAGCAUAUUUUGCUCGUAGCGAGGGUAGAACCAUGACUUGGCUUGGUUCGGGACCUUGAUGCUUUGAAUUUGGCUGCGAUGGAUUGUAAGGACUUGAGGUUUUGAGUUAUACAAAUUUCUACCUGAAAAAAAAAAGAACUUCUAGCUAGUCGAUGGGCCUCCCAAUUCAAGCUUCUGGAUUUCUUGAGAAGACCUGAUUUCUUCAAAAUUCGCUGAUCUAACCUUGAUCGACAACAUACACAAACCCGUAGGUGCUCAUGGAUUGCUGUUUUUUUUGAACACGUGCUCAUGGAUUGUUGUGAACAUUAUUUGAAAUAUGUUUUUUUGUAAAUCAACGUUUCAUGAAAACAUAAACAUUUGUUUUCAAAUUUAUGAACAUUUAUACAAUCUGUAAACAUUUUUGUAUCACUAUUUAGUUAAAAAUAAAAUAAAAUAAAUUUUUAAAAAAUAAAAUAUAAUAAAACAAAGAAACCAAAAAAUCUAGUAAAAAACAAAAAUAGAAAACCAGUUCAGAGGAACCUUUUAGAAAGUUCCCAUACUUAUCCGGUAGAAAGCCGGGUUGAUAACAUUCAGAAGGUUUCCAAAACCAGAACCAGAGUCCAAUAUACAAACCGUAAAAGGGGCCGGCCCAGUGCGCUUGCUCCUGUGCGGAAAGACAACCAUUUGACGCAAAGAGCGGAGAGCACCUAACUAACGCCUGAUCCUAAAAAAAGCGAGAAAAACCCCUUUUUUAGUUGAAUCGAGAAAAAGACCUAAGCAACGCCUUUUUUUAGCAUCAGUACAGACACAAGUGCUCAUAUACACACGCAUACACUCAUCCCUAUGAACGCACACACGCACACCCUACCCCUAUAAGCACCUCCGAGAGACUGAGCCGGCAUAUCAUCUUGAGAUUUACAAAGUCACCGUAGGUGCCUCGUCCUCGACGGGAACGUCUCCUCCCACUAAAAGCGCAUCACCGGACUGAAAUAAAUCCAGGAAUAAUGCGAGCACCAGGAUUUGAACCCUUGUUACGGCAUAUAUCUCUCUCAAGGUAGUUUUGGUGAUUGAUGACAACAUGUUUGCGGACUAAUCUUGUGCUUUGAAUAGUUCACAGAUUCACCCCUGGCAUGAGACGUUUUCUUCCCUUCGAAGUGUCUUUCAAGACGGUGUAGCUCUUUCGUUUCUCUCUUGGUAGACUAGUUGCGUAGAGGGCACCGUACUAUCAAGAGGGGGUCCGCUGGGGUAUUGCAUGGGUGGAAUCAACACGUACACAUCAGCUUCUCACCCUCCGAGCUUUUCCAUUGCAUUGUAGAGAUCUCUCCACUUUUCUGUCUUGUCUGGGUCCCAGCGGUAGUACCGCGCAACCCAGCCAUAGUACCGCUGAGGAGCCACAAGCGGCAGUACGGCUCCACAACGGUAGUACCGCCCAUGACUCCACAGCAGUAGUACCGCUGGGGUACCUGGCACCACCGCCCUCAGCCUCUUUGGAGAGAUUCUCUCUCUCUCUUCCUGUCCCAGCGGUAGUACCGUACUACCAUCGAUAGUACGGCCGAAGGGUCACAAGCGGUAGUUCUGCUCUGUAGCGGUAGUACCGCCCGUGACCCCGCUGCCUUAGUACCGCUGGGCAGUCUGGCUCCUACCGCCUCGACUCGAGGGCUCUUUUUCUCGUGUCGGGUUUUGCGGCACUAGUUGCGGUUGUAGAGGCGGUAGUACCGUUUCAGGAGCGGUAGUACCGCCCCUAUCACCGCGGUAGUACGGCGUUGGGUCCUUUUCCCUACUAGUCUCCUUGACGCGGCAGUGCCGCUGGCUGGUGCGGCAGUAUCGCUGACCUAGCGGUAGUACCGCCCCCUCUUAGCGGUAGUACCGCCCUGUGCGGGGCUGGUUGGUGAGGGGCAACGGUUGGAUUGUUGCCCCCACUAUAAAAGGGGGUCCUCUUCUUCCCUUUGACCUACCUCUUCCCCCUCAAGCUCCAUUAAAUGCUCCAAGCUCCAUUUUCGCUCGAUCUAUCUCUCUAGCCAAUCAAACUUGUUGAUUUGCUCGGGAGUGGUUGAGAAGGCCCCGAUCUACACUUCCACCAAGGGAUUUUCUGUUCCCCCACUCAUCCCUAGCGGAUCUUGUUACUCUUGGGUGUUUGAGCACCCUAGACAGUUGAGGUCACCACAGAGCCAUAGUCCAUUGUGGUGAAGCUUCGUGGUUUUGUUGGGAGCCUCCGAUUAAGUUUUGGAGAUUGCCCCAACCUUGUUUGUAAAGGUUCGGUUGGCGCCUUCAAGGGCACCAAUAGUGGAAUUACGACAUCUCGCAUUGUGUGAGGGCGUGAGGAGAAUACGGUGGCCCUAGUGGCUUCUUGGGGAGCAUUGUGCCUCCACACCGCUCUAACGGAGACGUACUUCCCCUCAAAAGGAAGGAACUUCGGUAACACAUCCUCGUCUUCACCAGAUCCACUCUUGGUUAUCUCUUACCUUUACUUGUGCAAGCUCUUUAGUGUUACUUCUCUUGCUUGCUUGUAUGCUUGUUGUUAUUGCAUCAUAUAGGUUGCUCACCUAGUUGCACAUCUAGACAACCUACUUUGAUGCAAAGUUUAAUUUGAUAAAGAAAAGUAAAAAAUUGGUAGUUGCCUAUUCACCCCCCUCUAGUCAACCAUAUCGAUCCUUUCAACCCUGAUGGGUUGGGAUACCACUGUCCACCUAACCAUCUCAACCACAGGUUGGUUCGCACCUAAGCAACGCCUUAAGCGCCACCGCGCGCAUGGUGGGCCGGCCCAGCUACGCCUGGAUGACAGGUGGACCUUGGAUGGGUUGCCAGCUGGAUCGGUUGACCGUUGACUUUUAAAAAUGAUUUGAAAAACCGUAAAAUUUAUAAAAAAACCAAAUUUUGAAAAACAUUAGUGGAAAAAAAGAUCAGAAAUUUCCAAAAAUAAAAAAUAAAAAAUUUGAGAAAAGUUCAUUGAUUUUAAUAAAAAAUAGCAGAUUUUGGAAAAGGAGUUUGCAAAAUUUUAAAAAUUGAAUAGGAAGUGUUCAUGCAUUUUUAUUUUAGAAAAUCACGGAUUGAAAAAAAAUCACAAAUUUAAAAAUCUGUUUUUUGGUUUUGAACAGUUCCUAAUUUUAAAAAAGUUCACAAUUUGAAAAUGUACGAAGAAAUUGAAAAGAAGCUGUUAAAUUUGAAAAAGUUCACAUAUUUGAGAAAUCACGCAUUUUAGAAAAAGGAAGAAAAAAAUCAAAUAAAAAGAUAAACGAAUUUGAAAUAUGUUCACGAAUUUAGAAAAGCCCAUGAUUUGGAGAAAUAAGUUGCAAAUUUUUAAAAGGAAUAAAAAAGGAAAUGAAAAUGAAAAAGAACAAAGAAAGCCAUACAUAAUUCUCCAUGAAAAAAACCCAGGGGGAAAUCGCUCCAGAAAUAGCUCGGUAGGCCCAGUCAUAUUCCUGCAUCAUCUUUCUCUUAAGGUACCUAUGGUUAGCCUCUAUAUUAAUACUCCAGCCUUUUGUAGCUUUCCUAAGACUUCUCAUCUUGGUAUGCCAAAUAUCUAUUGUAUUCCUACCCUUAGCAGGCCUAGUCCAAGCAUUUACUACAACUACUCUAAAAUCACUUCUUAGCAACCACCAUUUCUCAAACUUAAAACUAGAGCUUCUGGAUUUUCGAUCCAUACCAGAAUCCCAUAAGAUGGUGGUAUGGUCACUACCCAGCCUAGGGAGAUCCUGAAUGGUUGGUAAUGGGAAAAUCAGAUUCAAGUUAGUUGAGGAGAACACCCUAUCAAUGAUGGCCAUGACAAGAUCACUCCGGUUGGUGGACCAAGGGAAUAACCUAUUGCCCAUCUUGAUCCCUAACAAACUCCAAAUCCCCACCCCAAGCAUAAAAAGGGCCACACCACUUGUGAUCUACAUUACAAUUUUCUUAUCAGAGCUAUACCUAACUAAAUUUAAAUCUACCUCAACCAAAGUUGGGAUAGAGUAGUCUACAAACAAAGAGUCUAACUGAGAGAGAAAGGCUUCCUUCCUAGAUUCAUAAGCAGAUCCACAGACUACCACUAUCCUAAAAGCAAAGGCAUUAGCCCUGGACUAAACAAAACAUGAAACAAAAAACAUUUUUAUCUGCCAUGUGAAUGUCCUUUUCUUCAAAAAAUUAGUGUUUUAGAAUACUUCCAUCAAUUAGUCAAUGUGCAAACUAACUUAACUAACUAAAGUAUGUGAUGUCGGGAUGGUACGAGCAAGUGCCCGAGAGGAUGUUUGCAAACUAUAUAAGCUAGGUUACACAUUUCAUCUACUAUGGAAUAUCAAAGCAAGCUUUCUACUUAAAUUGUUAUGAGUCGUGAACUAAUGAUCGAGCUACCUAUGCUGAUGCUUUGAAUCUAUAUUCAGAGCUUUUUUCCAACUACCGGAAAAUUUGAACGGUAUAUACGCCAUUAACAUGCCUAUGCUUAUAUAUGUCGGCCAAAUCAGACUUUGAAAUAACUACCACGGACUAGACAAUUCAUGUGAUAAUGGGAUUGGUUAAGGAAGACUUAAGACGGCAGAACUCGGAGUCACAUUGAUUAGUGUGGAGUCACUCCCUCUUGAAUGAUGGCAUGCCCUAGGUUCACAUUAUCAUAUAUGACCCUAGCACAUGCAUGCAUGCAUGGACUACCGAAGAUACCAUUUUCCCUCAGAAAGGAAAACAGAUACCAUCUUUUUUAUAUAUAAUAUGUUUUUAAAUAUAUAUGCAACUAAAUUUUGUAAGAAUCGAUUAACAAAAUUGCAUUGCUUUUUCUACAUCGGUUGAGCUAUAAUGGCCCCCUUAGUUAAUUUUAAUAGAGAUGGAUUUUAUUAAUAUUGAGUGGACCGAGAAUAUUGCCAACUCGUGGACCAAGCACAAAAAAAGGAGUGGGAUUUUAGGCUUGAAUAUGGGCAAUUCAGUUCGGUUGCAUUGUACCCUUAGGGCAUGAUGCUGCACAUCGCCUUCCUUCCUCGCCUUUCCUCUCCUCCUUCCUCCUAUAGUGACUAGCGCACCCGUCAACCCCAUGACACUGGCCCCCUUGUUUUUUUGCUCCAGCCGCCCACCGUAAACCAUAACUGCUUAGAUAUGACAAACCACCACUACCGCCAAACCCCCAUCAAGCAGUUCUCCAAGCCUAGAUGGAAGCUCAUUAUUCAUUGCCAUCACUGGUUAGCUACCCGCCUUCACCAUCAAGAUCAACAUUGACCUCACCUCGCCGGCCGGUCAGCGUCUCAUGUCCUCCUCCUUCCUCUUCCUCAUAUCAGGAUAUUAGGGGCUGUUUGGUUAGCGCCCAGGACUGCCCUGCCAAAUCAAGGGCGUGCCAAUUUUUUGGCGUACGAUUCUGCCGCCGCUGCCAAGCCAAAGCAUGGGCGCAAAAAGUAAAGAGGAGGUGUACUAGCGACCAAAGAAUUGGCAGGGUAAGAAAGCGCUGGCACCAAUCCAAACGCCCUCCUAGCUUGGUGGUCAACGCCAAAAUAUUGGCAUGGCAGCGCUCGGCUGCCAUCCAAACAGACCCUUAGACAAGCUAUGAGGCCUUUGUUCUAUAAGUUUAGUCUUUCAUGAUUAUUUUCUCUAGGCCUUGCGCAAUAAAGGCUGAUGCGGAUCUUUCAGCCAUGUGAUCAAGAUUCUAAGGCUGGUAGCGUUGAUUAUGUAGUUGAGUAAUGCUCAGUUUGCGAUUGUUGAAUUGUCGAAUUAUGUUGUGCUAAACCUACUUCAUAGUCUGGUGUAAAAAUAAAUGGGAGUGUCUAUUUAGCAUUUGACUGUUUUACAAUUGGAGAACAUUCAAAUUUUCUGACUAAUAAGCAGAUGUCACUUAUAUGUCCAAAACCUACCCCACCAACGUUGUAUGUAGCUCUAUUUCAAAAAUAAAACGGGUCAGGAAAUAAACCCGAUUCAACUAAACCUGGACCACAACCCAGUUUCACAAAAACAGAAAAGGAGGGUCCACAAAACACACCGAACAGCUGCCAUUCACCAAUUCUUGACCCCCUUCACCAGUUUCACCACUUCUUCACCCCCUUCAGGCCUUCACCACGCUUGACCUAUUACAUGAUAAAAACAACUUUAAAAAGAACCAUCAGAGAAACUAGUUACAAAGAAAUUCCAGAGACAGCAGGAGACUCCGGAAUGUGUGAUAGCUAGCGAUUGUAAAACUCUAGAAAUACAAAAUUUUUGCUGUCUUAUGUCAAAAAUUACAAUAGCAAAGGCAUGGAAAUUACACUACAACCCUGAAAAAAACAUAUAGUGGAUUUACACUGUAAAAUACAAAGGAACUCACAAGGAUUUACAAUCGUAUUACUCAUAAAGUUACACUGUAAACACCCACGAAUUAUAGUCAUAUAUCCCACGAAUUACACUGGAAAUCCCCUAGAAUUGUACUGUUAUUAUCAGGUAUUUGCACUUGUAAAAACUGAUGAACUUACACUGUAAGUACUAAGUACCCAUGUCAUACUACAAGGUAAAUCGGUAGUAAAAUCCACUGUAAUAUAUUUGACAUAAACCUACAAUAAUUACAGUGCUAAAGCAUUGAAAUUACAGUGUAAAUCUGCAGUAAAAUUCACUGUAAUCCAUCUGACAUAAACCUACAACAAUUAUAGUGCCGAGGCAUUCAAAUUACAGUGUAAAUCUGUAGUAAAAUACAGUGUAAGCCAUACAACAAUUCAUUACUGAAGCUAACUGAAGAAUACCAAGAAUCUGCUGUAAAUCACUGUAAUAUAUAUGAAACAUAUAACAAUUACAGACUUGUAGCGUAUAAAUUACAUAGAAAAUCUUUGAUAAAUUACAGUGAUGAAGCAACUGAAAGUAAUCUAUAAAACAAAAAAACCAAAAGCCCUACAACAAUUACAGCACUUAACCAUGCAAAUUACAGUAUAAAACUACUAAAUAAUAAAGUGUAACCAUGCAACAAUUACAGUCCUAAAGCAUAAAAACAGUGAAAAUCUGGGGUAAAUUACACUGUAAAUUUGGAGUCGGAAAAUUACAGUGCAAUUUUACGCAUAUUACAGUGCAGAUCUGAGCUAAAUUACACUAUAACUCUAGGGUAUAUUGCGCUGUAAUAACAAUAAAGAAGCAUAUGCAUUACACUCAAAUUCUGAUAAGAUUACACUGUGAUUCUUGCUAAUACUGCAACAACACUACAGGCCUACAUCAGCACUACAGACCUAGUACACACAAAUUCAGAGAAAUUUUGGGGUAUAUUAGCAUGAAACCAUGGAAACUAAACACCUACAUCUGACAACAAAAAUCAAGAGGGAUUCAGGGACUACAAGAGCUAACAUGAGCAGGAAAAUGAAACAAAUAACACCUACAUCUACAUAGCAAAGGGUCAGCCAAAAUCAAACUACAAAUGACAAACUACAUCUACAUCGCAUAAGCCAGCAGGAUCCUAAGCCAGACCAUGUACAACUACAUCUACAUACAAAAAAUGCAUGCGGAUUAGACACCCUGGCCACCAGAAAACAGGGGAAUCCAGCGCUACAACUACAAAAUCGCCUACCUCUACGGCUCUUCAUCUACAGUAGAACAAACAAAUUAGCAGGGAGGAGCGACCACAACCAUCAGAUGACCUAGAACACCCACCUACCAGUGGCUACACCAAUGACUAACAACACAAAACACACAUCUUAGGCAGGCAGGAGGGGAGCAAAAUGGUGGACUACAACAACACGGCAGCAUGCACCUAUAAUAGAAAUCACAUAGCACACAAAACCAACAACAACGCAUAAAAAACGACUACCAACAAAUCGACAGCCCUAGAUCUGGAAGCUACACGAACAGAGACAGGGCAAAUCGAAUGCGAGAAAGAGGGAGAGAGAGGAAGACCCAACCGGGGGAGACGAGAAUCAAAGGGAAAAUCAAAUUCGAGCAGAGAGGCGGCUCGGAAACGCCAUGAACCCGACGGAAUGGCCUCCUGUCCUCCGCCGCACAAGCGCCUCCUCUCUGCCCCUCUGCCUCAUCGAAACAAUGCCACCUAAAAUGAAAUAGGGAAAAAUUGGGGGGAAAUGAAAAGGAACCGAGAGACCCCGAGGGCGCUAACGGGCUAGCCCAAAAUAAUAACGCACCCUACAAAGGAACCCACGCCUGAAAAUCAGAGUUCUCAGCGUGAAUCUUAGUGCGAGAUCAGACGGACAAGAAAUUGAAUGACAACGAAUUGAAAAACAGUCGACUGUAAAAUAGCAAAACCGAAAAUAAAACCAUGCGAAGUAGCCAAAACUGAAAAAGCCGGUUAGAGCACCGAGCAUCGCUCGGUUGGCUAGCUGGGCGAGUGCACAUGCUGCCCACCAGCGUUCGAGUCCUGAACUCAGCAUUGCAUGCUCACGGCGUUGCUUCUAUAUAUAAAAAAUAAGUCACCAAGCGUUCGAGUUCCGAACUCAGUGCUCGUGCUCACGGUGUUUCUUCUAUGAAAACAAACCAUUAAGGGCUAGUCCUGACAUGUGUUAAACAAUAGGCGGUUAAACAGACCAUAAAAUAGUCAAAAUACAGUUAGACAAACAGGAUUAUCAUAACCCGACGUAAUACUCAGAGAUAAUGUUAUAUUCAGACAGUUAAUAUUAACACAGAAACCAAUUUCAACACACCCCUGUCCCUGAUGUCUGAGUAGGCACCGGUCAGGAAGACAGCUUCGUCAGUGCCAACCAGGGAAAACACAUCUUCAGUUUCCCCUCGAGAAAGUGCAGCAGAGCUUUCAACGUGUCACCAACUGAGCCUCCUGCAAAGUGGGCGUACGAUAGUUGUUGUUGUUGUUGCCGCAUCAUUAUCCAUCACUUCAGCACCAUGUACUCUCGCAUCCCUCCGUUCGCUAUCAGAAGGGAGCAUGCAACUUCUUAAUGGGGUCUUCUUUUUCUCUCGCCGCGAGGGCUAACGGUGGGAAUCCAGCUACCACAGCGCGCAUGCCCCACCGUCGCCGUCAUGGGCCACGUCUUCGAGGUUCCACAGGCUUCCCCACGUGGCGCCGUCAUCCUCGGUCGACCCAUACUCCUCGCUCGUGGAGGCGCCGCAGCUGCCGCUCUGCCCGGCGCUGUGGAGGAGGGCGCAGGACAUGGGGCACAGGAAGUCCAAGACGUCCUGCAUGAUCAGCUCCUCGUGGCCGUGGUCAGCCAGCGCCGUCGCUGCCGGGCCUACGUUGCCGGUCAUCUUCUCGUCGACGUCGUCCUCGGCAGUGGCGCUGGCGAGCUCGGCGUCCUUGCCCUGCCCAAGUAGCAGCUUCUGUUGCUGCUGCUGCUGCUGCUGCUGCAUCUCACGCCGCUGCAUCAGGAACCGAGCCCUGGCGCGCUCGAUGUUCUUGGACGGCUUGCCCUUCUUGUAGUGCGUCCUCCAGUAGUUCUUGAUCUCGUUGUCCGUCCUCCCCGGGAGGCUGCGUGCAAUCGUCGACCACCUGAAGAAGAAACGUGACACUGAAUUUCAGCUCGAUCGUUCAAGUCUAUUGUUUCAGCUGAUCAGUCUGCAGUACCAGUGUAUAUUUUACCUGUUCCCCCACAAGGAGUGGAGCUGGACUAUGGUGCUCUCCUCUUGGGGUGUCAUCUUGCCUCUCUUUAGAUCAGGUCUGAGGUAGUUAACCCACCGCAGCCUGCAACUCUUGCCACUUCUCUUGAGACCUGCAGCAGCAUGCAAAGCUCAAAUGAGAAACGUACUCGGGGGCAGGCCAAGUGAUUAGAUUACCACAUGUGCAAUACUAUACUACGUACCACGCAGGGGUGGUCCAGGAAAAAAUAUUACCUGGCCUGGCCACGUACCCAUAUGAACUAUAUAGUCUAUUGGUGUCAUUUGCCUCAUUUAGUAAUACUGAAUUCAUCCCUUUGCAUGCGGCUUUACCCGAAAGCUCGAGCCCAGGGAGAAAGAUAUAUUUCCACAUAUUGGGGUUGGAUUAACCCCAACGCAUGCCUGGAUGCUGGAUACGCCGCUAGUGCUGUGCAUAUAUAGUUGAUGUCGGCAUCACUAUGUUGAUACUAAUCCAACUAACUAUUUAGGUAUAUAUAAGUGCUAAUGUCUUUCCAUCUGAUACAUAGCCAACUGACUAGAUAUUUUUCAUACGUCAAUUAACUACUCCCUCCGUAAACUAAUAUAAGAGCGUUUAGAUCACUACUUUAGUGAUCUAAAUACUCUUAUAUUAGUUUACAGAGGGAGUAAUUAUCUGGUGAUUAUUCGUCCAACACUCCCCUUUGGCUUGCCAAUUCUGCGAGGUGGAUGCACAUAGACGGGAUGUAUAGUCCGUCCAUUAUAGGCCAUGCUACACUUAGUUUAUACAUAUAUGUAUGUAUAUUUUUCACCUCAACAAACGCGUGUACGUACACUAGCUCAUGGUCAUGGGUGUCUUGAUUAAAUAGUUAAUCAGUAGCCCAUGGAACUUGCCCGGACUUCCCGUACGUAGCUCGCUCAGGAAUCAGGACCAGCACUAUAUGCACGCAUGCAUCUUCCAUGUAUAUCGUAUGUAAAGCAGAGCUAGCUAAUAGGUUUCUACUUACGUGCAAGCUAGUUCUUGUAGAGUUGAAGAAUUGAUGAUUGAAAUCUCAUCAAAGGAACGCACUGACGAUAUUCUCCAAGAAAUUUCAAUGCGUGAGUGAAAGAGAGCGUUAGGUAGUUCAUCACCAUCUUCGUCCUAGCAAGAAGAGACGAACACACACAAGACCGUACAGUACAGGAUCGAAUCAUGCAUGCAUGCGGCCGGCUAGCUUUGUGAACUCGCAAGUUGCCGGUACUUGAAGAUCCUAAGGUACUGUUUACGGCCGUGUGCAACUUGCAGGCCGGAUCAAUCAUUCGCAACUUGCCAGUUGCAGACGAGCCGGCCGGGUUAAUUGGAAAAGGAGGUCCGUACUUGCAGCGACAAAAGUCAAGGAAGAACAUAAAGCAUUAGAGCAAGCUAGAAAACAUCAGAUCAAGAGCAGGACAAGAAAAAUACUCUUAGUACUAGUAGUAAUCUGUUCAUCCAGGAACCUCGAGUUAAUUAAUUAGGAGUACGAUUAGUACUCUACGGGCCGUACCUGUGAGCUUGGAGACGGAGUUCCACCUCCCUUCGCCGUGCUGGGCGACAUGGUCGAGGAGCAGCUUGUCCUCCUGGGUUGUCCACGGGCCUUUCCUCCACUCGUCGUCCUGCUUCCCCCAGCAGGCCGCGAGCUGCCCUUCCGCUUCCGCCAUUAAUGGCGCGCACUCCUCAGCUAGCGAGCGAGCUCUCCCACUUAGCUGAAAGAGAUAGCACUGCUACUGCUAACUAAGCUGAGCACGUUGCCGCUGCUGCUGCGAUUUCAGCUCUUUUCUUGGAGAUAUUUUUUUGUGCUAGCUGCUGGUAGGGACAGAGCGUGUUACGCUUAAUCAGCUAGCGGCUAUCAAAUCCAAGGCGGGGGAGAGGCAACCUUUCUUUCCUCCGAUGCUGUCGCCCAGCGAGCGAUGGCAUGGGACGAGUGAGCCGCUGCCGCGUAUAUAUGGGGCAGAGGAUCGAUCGAUAGCAAGAAAUUCUCUGCGUCACUGUCAGGGGAAUUCCAGCUCCACUACCCUGCUUGCGGAGAUUCCCCAAAAUGCCCACGGUAAUUUUUCCUUCUCUUCUGUCUCUCUCUCUCACUCUCACUCUUUUAAGAUAAGUUACUGCGUGCUGCUUACGGAAAGCGCUGGGUGCGUGUAUCGGGCUAUGUCGGCCUCAUGAUUUGGAAGAAUCAACCAUAGUUUUUUUUCUUUAAAAAAACUUCGACUCAUUCAUCAGCGUACCUGUCAUAGCAAUACAAAGAACACCAGAAGUAGCAUAAAUCACAUUCAGUUACGUAGACCAUGUAGCAACGACUACAAUCAGUGCAGUGAGUCGAAACUGUAAAACUAUGUUUCUUGGUUUCUUUGUUAGAAUUCAGCAAAUGUUUGAUACAAACGAGUUCUCCCAUGAAUUUUGAAGAGAGGUGAAUUUUGUGCGUUAAGCCUGUUACAUCAUAUACGAAUACCAUGGGGCCCUCAUAAUUUUAUUUACACGAAUCGAGGAAUCUUUCAAUGGAAGAAGGUCACAUAUAUAGAAUGAAAUUCUACAGAGUGAGUUGAAAAUAUUGCAUUUCACAAGACCAUAAACUGCAUUGCCUCCUAGAAUUGUUCUUUCUUCAAAAAUAAUAAUUGUAACCGUCCCUUUUCGAUCGCAGUGCCCGCUUCAGGCACAUCUUGUAACGUAAGAAGUUAGAUUUUUCAAGUAAAAGAUGAUGUACCUGUCAAUAGCAAGGCAUCCUUGAUUACUUUGAUAAUUUUAAAGCUCCGCGACUCCAGUAUUCUCGAUGUGCGAGUGUGCACAUCUGGUGAUACGUGUGUAUACACAUUUACGACUUUGUAUUUUGAUUAGAGAAAAUUAUGUUUUUGGUCCCUCGAGUUCCCACAAAGUAUAGACUUGGUCCCUUAAGAUUUUUUUGGUAUGCAUUUGGUCCCUCAAGUAUCACAACCGGAUAAAUUUGGUCCUAAACCAGAUUUUGAGCACGUUGACCGGGUUUGACCGCCACAAAACCGCGUGAUAAACAGUAAAUAUGAAAAAGAACUUUGAAAAAUGACAAAAUUUUGCUAGAGCCCAUUCAAUGUCAUUUCAUGACAAAAUUUUGGUCGCACCUUGCGCACGUAAGCAUAUUGGACCCCAAAAUUUUUCAGAAUUUUUUGAUUAUUUUCGAAUUUACUAUUCAUCAGCCAGAUUUUUUUUUCUUUUGCCACGAGCUCCUCGAGUGCCGAAAGAGCUCGAAAUUUUGUUUGCAUAUUGCGCAUGUAAGCAUAUUCGACCCCAAAAAAUUUAAGGUUUGUUUUAUUUUCUUUUUUCGAAUUUACUGUUCAUCGGGCGGAUUUGUGGCGGUCAAAACCGGUCAACGUGCUCAAAAUCUAGUUUAGGACCAAACUUAUCCGGUUUUGAGAUUUGAGGGACCAAAUGUAUAUCAAAAAAAUCUUGAGGGACCAAGUCUAUACUUUGUGGGAACUUAAGGGACCAAAAACAUACUUUUUUCUUUUGAUUAAAAAGAUCCAUCAAGAUAUAGGCAAACACACACGUAAUCCACGCGUGCAUGCCCCACCAGCUUCACUUAAAGCAAGUGCGGGCAACAAAACUUAACAUAUGCACGAACAAUACCCACAGUUUUCGUAUACUUCCUCAAUCUGAUUUUUUUUUCUUUUGAUAAAGAGCGCUUUUAUCAACUUAAAAUGUAGCAUCAAGCGGAUACAUCAUAUUGAGCGACACUCAGACUUGGCAUAAUUAGGAUGCACACAAUCAACAGGAACAAGUUUGACAAAAAUAAAUAAAUAAACAAAACGACAUAUCGCCAGCAGUAAAGUCCUAUGGAACGGACAUUUUGCCUAUGUAGAAGGAGGAGGUGGAUUGAUUCAAAGAUUAUGUUUGCUGCCCAUGUUGGGUAGAAACCUUCCUGGCCAAGGAUAUAUAAGGCUUGUUUUCUGGCUAAUGCAAGACUUUAACCGAUAGCUAAUCUAUUGGUAAGUGAUUUUUGUAAUACAAAUUCCAAAUCAUAAGCUGGUACUUUGAAUAUGAAUCCGUUUGUGUCAUAUAUAAACUACAUAGUAGUAGUAGUAGAGUAAUUCUUGAUCAAGAUUCGUAUUAACACAGCAAAACAUACCAUAUUUAUCUGGACAAAGAGUGUACUUGCUGAGGAUGGAGAAGAGCAUGCGAGAAAUCGACAAGUAAAAAGAAGUAAAUAUCAAGAACAUGUACACCUGAUUUAUUAUGCAAAAACCAAAAAAACUACAGGCACAUGACAACAACUGUAUCAGGGGUACCCUUUGAAAUCAAAUACCUUGAGUCCAUGUGUGAUGGAUGUGGUGCCUAUGGGCACAACAACCACAAGGGUAGUGGAUGGGAUGCGCAACAAUCAGUAUGCGAUUGCGAGUGAGCUGGCAUGUGACGCGAUGUUGCUAUCUCAGUGGGCGGCAACUACACCAUGAUGGCUCUGACGAAUUUCUCAUGCGACCGCGAUGGCUCGUGUGGAGUCCAAAGAGCGUCGAUGGACACACGGGGAGCCGACUUACUCCACAACAAACCGGUAGAGAUGGUCGACAAGUGCAUUGGUGAACCAAUGACGAGUAUGAGUUUUCUCCGAGGUGAAAACCCUUGAUCAUCUUCUUUGGCCGGAUCCGAGAAUGUCAACAUACAUGCAUCUUCCUCCUGUUGGAGGUGUUGGCUCUGCCUUUAGGGGUGAUAGCCCCACAAUUGACCUUUUGGUUUGAUCUUAUCAAUAUGGACGUUUGAGCGACAGACCCUUCUUAAAAGAGUUGUGUGUAUCUAGCAUAAAAAAAAACUUGUAUGUAUAUGAAUAUGCAUAGACCGAGAGGCGUGUUAUGGCUAAAUUUAAGAGAUAUCGUAAGAACAUUGGCAAAGCUAAAAAAUAGCUAUCGGUAAAAAGGAAAGCGGGAUUUACCGCAAACCGAAUGGACCGAAAGUUACUUUGCGAGACGUAAACGUCGUAGGUUUUCCAGAAGAGCGCGUCUUGGGUCACUGGAUAUGCCACAUGUGUCAGUUCAUCCCCUGAUUGCAAUCGUACUUGUAGCGUUCGAUGGAUCGACUUUCCGACGCACAAGCGGACUAAACUAAUCAUCUUUAGUUUGACGACCAUGCGCCGCACUGCUUGGAGUGCAGUAAUUCUCGCGUACAUCCUCCUCACCUGGUCGCUCCGGCACACCCCUGAGCUGGCACGCGGUUACAAAAGCAUAUGUGCGUGUGUGCUGUGGUGCUUUGCCGAGAACUAGAAAGGAGAAUUGUGCUAAUAAGUACCGAUCAGACGUCUGAUCUGCAUCGCUAUCGAGAAAAGAGAAGGCACGAAGCAAAUCAAAAGCAAACACAUGAUCGGUCACUCGAUCGACAUGCCAGGUAGCCUCGUGCAUUACACGCGCCCCCGCAUGCACCUGAUCUUGAGCUGCAUGUCGGCCUGCCCCAUCUGGUCAAGUCUUGAACGAUCAGUCAGCAUGGAAUAGGAAGCAUCUCAUCCGCANNNNNNNNNNNNNNNNNNNNNNNNNNNNNNNNNNNNNNNNNNNNNNNNNNNNNNNNNNNNNNNNNNNNNNNNNNNNNNNNNNNNNNNNNNNNNNNNNNNNNNNNNNNNNNNNNNNNNNNNNNNNNNNNNNNNNNNNNNNNNNNNNNNNNNNNNNNNNNNNNNNNNNNNNNNNNNNNNNNNNNNNNNNNNNNNUAGGAAGCAUCUACAGUCAGACUGCCAAAUUCGGUCCCUAAGCGUCCACGGAUGUGCCCGGACACGACUUCGAACAACGUUAGGCGACCCUUCAGUUAUCCUCCUUGCAAUCAGUCUCUCACUUUUAAAUUCUUAAAUUCAUACAAACGCAUACACGCAGAUCAUACACAAAUAAAAAAAUCUAACAAAAAAAUAAAUAGUUCAAACAUAAAUAUUAUUCCGAGUGCACGAUUCAAUUAUUAAAUUCCUUGGUGUCAUUGUGGGUCCAUGUAUGCUCCACAAGAACAUCGAGUAGUUGCAUGUGCAUGUUCUGAUCUCGAAGAUUACAAAGCAUUUCUAGAAAGUUCACAAUAUGCUCGGCAUUUUGUUCCAGGAGGUGGUCUUUUACUUCGGGCUUCACCCUCAUCAUACAAUCAUGUUGUGCAAAAUGAACAACAUGUCAUCAGUGCCACCAUGUCUCGGAUUCUCACAUCAUUGCAACUCCACGAACAGUACCCCAACAAGCUUGGAGCACUCUGAAUGCUCUUUCCACAUCCAUCCUAGCCGCUUCUUACAUUGUUACAAAGUGGCAUUGUUUGUUGCCAUGGGGAUCGGAUAUAUAUGGUCUUGACAAGUAGCCCAUUGAGGAUAGAUACCAUUGACAAGGUAGUAUCCCAUGUAGUAGUUGUGUAGUAUAGUUGUAUGGCGGAGCAUCCCCAUCACAAAGUCUCUUGAACACCGGAGAUCCCUGGAACACAUUAAUGUCGUUGUGAGAACCAGACAUGCCAAAGAAAGCAUGACAAAAUCCAGAAGCGCCUUGAUGCCACUGCUUCGAGUAUGAUGGUGGUCUCUUUGGUGUGAGCUUGUUACAUCCCGCGCAAAACUUUGGGGCGGAUCUUCUAUUACCAAUGUAUGUAAUCAACUGAACUACCAUACCUGGAAAACCUCUUGUAGCUCCAAUUUCCAUCAACCUCUCUGUAUCUUUGACAGUUGGUUCUCUCAAGUACUCUGCUCCAAACACCUUUACCACGGCUCGGGCAAACUUGACAGUGACAUCAAGACAUGUGCUCUCCCUCAUCUGGACCAUCUCACCAACGACAUCUACGGUGGUACCUAAUGAAGCAUCCUCAGAGUAGUCGUGCAUUUCUGCAAAGGAGGGAACGACAGUUGCUCGCGACAAUCCUUUCAAAGACUAAAGUAGGGAUCAUAUGCCUCCACGCCCUCCACCACACGCAAGAACAAGGGUUUGCCCAUUCAGAAGCCAUGCCUAAAAACCCAUCAUGAAACUUUGGUUAGGGUUGAAAGUGUUGGGGAACGCGGUAAUUUCAAAAAAAUUCCUACGCACACGCAAGAUCAUGGUGAUGCAUAGCAACGAGAGGGGAGAGUGUUGUCUACGUACCCUUGUAGACCGCAACGGAAGCCUUGACGCAACGUAGAGGAAGUAGUCAUACGUCUUCCGAUCCGACCGAUCCAAGCACCGUUACUCCGGCACCUCCGAGUUCUUGGCACACGUACGGCUCGAUGACGCUCCCCGGGCUCCGAUCCAGCAAAGCUUCGGGGAUGAGUUUCGUCAGCACAACGGCGUGGUGAAGAUGAUGAUGUUCUAUCGACGCAGGGCUUCGCCUAAGCACUACAACGAUAUGACCGAGGUGGAAUAUGGUGGAAGGGGGCACCGCACACGGCUAAGGAACGAUCACGAAGAUCAACUUGUGUGUUCUAGGGUGCCCCCUGCCUCCGUAUAUAAAGNNNNNNNNNNNNNNNNNNNNNNNNNNNNNNNNNNNNNNNNNNNNNNNNNNNNNNNNNNNNNNNNNNNNNNNNNNNNNNNNNNNNNNNNNNNNNNNNNNNNNNNNNNNNNNNNNNNNNNNNNNNNNNNNNNNNNNNNNNNNNNNNCCGGCCUAGAGGAGGCGCGCAGGAGGAGUCCUACUCCUACCGGGAGUAGGACUCCCCUCCCGUUCCUUGUCCAACUAGGAGAGGUUGAGGGAGAGAAGGAAAAAAGGGGGGCGCCGCCCCUCCCUCCUUGUCCAAUUCGGACUAGGGGGAGAGGGGGCGCGCGGCCUGCCCUGGCAGCCCCUUCCUCUUCUCCACAUUAGGCCCAUAAGGCCCAUUAACCCCCCCGGGGGGUUCCGGUAACCCCCCCGGUGCUCCGGUUUUAUCCGAAACUACCCCGGAACCCUUCCGGUGUCCGAAUAUAGUCGUCCAAUAUAUCAAUCUUUAUGUCUCGACCAUUUCGAGACUCCUCGUCAUGUCCGUGAUCACAUCCGGGACUCCGAACUAACUUCGGUACAUCAAAAUGCAUAAACUCAUAAUAACUGUCAUCGUAAUGUUAAGCGUGCGGACCCUACUGUUCGAGAACAAUGUAGACAUGACUGAGACAAAUCUCCGGUCAAUAACCAAUAGUGGGACCUGGAUGCCCAUAUUGGUUCCUACAUAUUCUACGAAGAUCUUUAUCGGUCAGACCGCAUAACAACAUACGUUGUUCCCUUUGUCAUCAGUAUGUUACUUGCCCGAGAUUCGAUCGUCGGUAUCCAAUACCUAGUUCAAUCUCGUUACCGGCAAGUCUCUUUACUCGUUACGUAAUACAUCAUCUCACAACUAACUUAUUAGUUGUAAUGCUUGCAAGGCUUAUGUGAUGUGCAUUACCGAGAGGGCCCAGAGAUACCUCUCCGACAAUCGGAGUGACAAAACCUAAUCUCGAAAUAUGCCAACCCAACAUGUACCUUUGGAGACACCUGUAGUACUCCUUUAUAAUCACCCAGUUACGUUGUGACGUUUGGUAGCACCCAAAGUGUUCCUCCGGUAAACGGGAGUUGCAUAAUCUCAUAGUUAUAGGAACAUGUAUAAGUCAUGAAGAAAGCAAUAGCAACAUACUAAACGAUCGGGUGCUAAGCUAAUGGAAUGGGUCAUGUCAAUCAGAUCAUUCACUUAAUGAUGUGAUCCCGUUAAUCAAAUAACAACUCCUUGUUUAUGGUUAGGAAACAUAACCAUCUUUGAUUAACGAGCUAGUCAAGUAGAGGCAUACUAGUGACACUCUGUUUGUCUAUGUAUUCACACAUGUAUUAUGUUUCCGGUUAAUACAAUUCUAGCAUGAAUAAUAAACAUUUAUCAUGAUAUAAGGAAAUAAAUAAUAACUUUAUUAUUGCCUCUAGGGCAUAUUUCCUUCAGUCUUCCACUUGCACUAGAGUCAAUAAUCUAGGUUACACAGUAAUGAUUCUCACACCCAUGGAGCCUUGGUGCUGAUCAUGUUUUGCUCGUGGAAGAGGCUUAGUCAACGGGUCUGCAACAUUCAGAUCCGUAUGUAUCUUGCAAAUCUCUAUGUCUCCCACCUGGACUAGAUCCCGGAUGGAAUUGAAGCGUCUCUUGAUGUGUUUGGUUCUCUUGUGAAAUCUGGAUUCCUUUGCCAAGGCAAUUGCACCAGUACUAUCACAAAAGAUUUUCAUUGGACCCGAUGCAUUAGGUAUGACACCUAGAUCGGAUAUGAACUCCUUCAUCCAUACUCCUUCAUUUGCUGCUUCUGAAGCACCUAUGUACUCUGCUUCACAUGUAGAUCCCGCUACACGCUUUGUUUAGAACUGCACCAACUGACAGCUCCACCGUUUAAUGUAAACACGUAUCCGGUUUGUGAUUUAGAAUCAUCCGGAUCAGUGUCAAAGCUUGCAUCAACAUAACCUUUUACGAUGAGCUCUUUGUCACCUCCAUAUACGAGAAACAUAUCCUUAGUCCUUUUCAGGUACUUCAGGAUGUUCUUGACCGCUGUCCAGUGAUCCACUCCUGGAUUACUUUGGUACCUCCCUGCUAGACUUAUAGCAAGGCACACAUCAGGUCUGGUACACAGCAUUGCAUACAUGAUAGAGCCUAUGGCUGAAGCAUAGGGAACAUCUUUCAUGUUGUCUCUAUCUUCUGCAGUGGUCAGGCAUUGAGUCUUACUCAACUUCACACCUUGUAACACAGGCAAGAACCCUUUCUUUGCUUGAUCCAUUUUGAACUUUUUCAAAACUUUAUCAAGGUAUGUGCUUUGUGAAAGUCCAAUUAAGCGUCUUGAUCUAUCUCUAUAGAUCUUAAUGCCUAAUAUGUAAGCAGCUUCAUCGAGGUCUUUCAUUGAAAAACUCUUAUUCAAGUAUCCCUUUAUGCUAUCCAGAAAUUCUACAUCAUUUCCAAUUAGUAAUAUGUCAUCCACAUAUAAUAUCAGAAAUGCUACAGAGCUCCCACUCACUUUCUUGUAAAUACAGGCUUCUCCAAAAGUCUGUAUAAAACCAAAUGCUUUGAUCACACUAUCAAAACGUUUAUUCCAACUCCGAGAGGCUUGCACCAGUCCAUAAAUGGAUCGCUGGAGCUUGCACACUUUGUUAGCUCCCUUUGGAUCGACAAAACCUUCUGGUUGCAUCAUAUACAACUCUUCUUCCAGAAAUCCAUUCAGGAAUGCAGUUUUGACAUCCAUCUGCCGAAUUUCAUAAUCAUAAAAUGCGGCAAUUGCUAACAUGAUUCGGACAGACUUAAGCAUCGCUACGGGUGAGAAGGUCACAUCGUAGUCAAUCCCUUGAACUUGCCGAAAACCUUUUGCGACAAGUCGAGCUUUGUAGACAGUAAUAUUACCGUCAGCGUCAGUCUUCUUCUUGAAGAUCCAUUUAUUCUCAAUUGCUUGCCGAUCAUCGGGCAAGUCAACCAAAGUCCAUACUUUGUUCUCAUACAUGGAUCCCAUCUCAGAUUUCAUGGCUUCAAGCCACUUUGCGGAAUCUGGGCUCACCAUCGCUUCUUCAUAGUUCGUAGGUUCAUCAUGAUCUAGUAGCAUGACUUCCAGAACGGGAUUACCGUACCACUCUGGCGCGGAUCUUACUCUGGUUGAUCUACGAGGUUCAGUAGUAUCUUGUUCUGAAGUUUCAUGAUCAUUAUCAUUAGCUUCCUCACUAACUGGUGUAGGUGUCACAGAAACAGUUUUCUGUGAUGUACUACUUUCCAAAAAGGGAGCAGGUACAGUUACCUCGUCAAGUUCUACUUUUCUUCCACACUUCUUUCGAGAGAAAAUCCUUCUCCAGAAAGUUUCCGAAUUUAGCAACAAAAGUCUUGCCUUCGGAUCUGUGAUAGAAGGUGUAUCCAAUAGUCUCCUUUGGAUAUCCUAUGAAGACACAUUUCUCCGAUUUGGGUUCGAGCUUAUCAGGUUGAAGCUUUUUCACAUAAGCAUCGCAGGCCUAAACUUUCAGAAACGACAACUUUGGUUUCUUGCCAAACCACAGUUCAUAAGGUGUCGUCUCAACGGAUUUUGAUGGUGCCCUAUUUAACGUGAAUGCGGCCGUCUCUAGAGCGUAUCCCCAAAACGAUAGCGGUAAAUCAGUAAGAGACAUCAUAGAUCGCACCAUAUCUAGUAAAAUACGAUUACAACGUUCGGACACACCAUUAUGCUGUGGUGUUUCGGGUGGCGUGAGUUGCGAAACUAUUCCACAAUUUUUCAAAUGUGCACCAAACUCGUAACUCAAAUAUUCUCCUCCACGAUCAGAUCGUAGAAACUUUAUUUUCUUGUUAUGAUGAUUUUCAACUUCACUCUGAAAUUCUUUGAACUUUUCAAACGUUUCAGACUUAUGUUUCAUUAAGUAGAUAUACCCAUAUCUGCUUAAAUCAUCUGUGAAGGUGAGAAAAUAACAAUAUCCACCACGAGCUUCAAUAUUCAUCGGACCACAUACAUCUGUAUGUAUGAUUUCCAACAAAUCUGUUGCUCUCUCCAUAGUACCGGAGAACGGCGUUUUGGUCAUCUUGCCCAUGAGGCACGGUUAGCAAGUACCAAGUGAUUCAUAAUCAAGUGGUUCCAAAAGUCCAUCAGUAUGGAGUUUCUUCAUGCGCUUUACACCGAUAUGACCUAAACGGCAGUGCCACAAAUAAGUUGCACCAUCAUUAUCAACUUUGCAUCUUUUGGCUUCAACAUUAUGAAUAUGUGUAUCACUACUCUCGAGAUUCAAUAAGAAUAGACCACUCUUCAAGGGUGCAUGACCAUAAAAGAUAUUACUCAUAUAAAUAGAACAACCAUUAUUCUCUGAUUUAAAUGAAUAACCAUCUCGCAUUAAACAAGAUCCAGAUAUAAUGUUCAUGCUCAACGCUGGCACCAAAUAACAAUUAUUUAGGUCUAAUACUAAUCCCGAAGGUAGAUGUAGAGGUAGCGUGCCGACCGCGAUCACAUCGACAUUGGAACCGUUUCCCACGCGCAUCGUCACCUCGUCCUUAGCCAAUCUUCGCUUAAUCCGUAGUCCCUGUUUCGAGUUGCAAAUAUUAACAACAGAACCAGUAUCAAAUACCCAGGUGCUACUGCGAGCAUUAGUAAGGUACACAUCAAUAACAUGUAUAUCACAUAUACCUUUGUUCACCUUGCCAUCCUUCUUAUCCGCCAAAUACUUGGGGCAGUUCCGCUUCCAGUGACCAGUCUGCUUGCAGUAGAAGCACUCAAUUUCAGGCUUAGGUCCAGACUUGAGUUUCUUCUCUUGAGUAGCAACUUGCUUGCCGUUCUUCUUGAAGUUCCCCUUCUACUUCCCUUUGCCCUUUUUCUUGAAACUAGUGGUCUUGUUGACCAUCAACACUUGAUGCUCCUUUUUGAUUUCUACCUCCGCAGCUUUCAGCAUUACGAAGAGCUCGGGAAUAGUCUUAUUCAUCCCUUGCAUAUUAUAGUUCAUCACGAAGCUCUUGUAGCUUGGUGGCAGUGAUUGGAGAAUUCUGUCAAUGACGCAAUCAUCUGGAAGAUGAACUCCCAUCUGAAUCAAGUGAUUAUUAUACCCAGACAUUUUGAGUUAUGCUCACUGACAGAACUGUUCUCCUCCAUCUUACAGCUAUAGAACUUAUUGGAGACUUCAUAUCUCUCAAUCCGGGCAUUUUCUUGAAAUAUUAACUUCAACUCCUGGAACAUCUCAGAUGCUCCAUGACGUUCAAAACGUUGUUGAAGUCCCGAUUCUAAGCCGUAAAGCAUGGCACACUGAACUAUCGAGUAGUCAUCAGCUUUGCUCUGCCAGACGUUCAUAACAUCCGGUGUUGCUCCAGCAGCAGGCCUGGCAUCCAGCGGUGCUUCCAGGACGUAAUUCUUCUGUGCAGCAAUGAGGAUAAUCCUCAAGUUACGGACCCAGUCCGUGUAAUUGCUACCAUCAUCUUUCAACUUUGCUUUCUCAAGGAACGCAUUAAAAUUCAACGGAACAAUAGCACGAGCCAUCUAUCUACAAUCAACAUAAACAAGCAAGAUACUACCAGGGACUAAGUUCAUGAUAAAUUUAAGUUCAAUGAAUUUACUUAAAGAACUCCCACUUAGAUAGACAUCCCUCUAAUCCUCUAAGUGAUUACGUGAUCCAAAUCAACUAAACCAUGUCCGAUCAUCACGUGAGAUGGAGUAGUUUCAUUGGUGAACAUCAUUAUGUUGAUCAUAUCUACUAUAUGAUUCACGCUCGACCUUUCGGUCUCCGUGUUCCGAGGCCAUAUCUGUAUAUGCUUGGCUCGUCAAGUAUAACCUGAGUAUUCCGCGUGUGCAACUGUUUUGCACCCGUUGUAUUUGAACGUAGAGCCUAUCACACCCGAUCAUCACGUGGUGUCUCAGCACGAAGAACUUUCGCAACGGUGUAUACUCAGGGAGAACACUACUUAAUAAUUUAGUGAGAGAUCAUCUUAUAAUGCUACCGUCAAUCAAAGCAAGAUAAGAUGCAUAAAAGAUAAACAUCACAUGCAAUCAAUAUAAGUGAUAUGAUAUGGCCAUCAUCAUCUUGUGCUUGUGAUCUCCAUCUCCGAAGCACCGUUGUGAUCACCAUCGUCACCGGCGCGACACCUUGAUCUCCAUCGUAGCAUCGUUGUCGUCUCGCCGAGCUUGUGCUUCCACGACUAUCGCUACCGUUUAGUGAUAAAGUAAAGCAUUACAGCGUGAUUGCAUUGCAUACAAUAAAGCGACAACCAUAUGGCUCCUGCCAGUUGCCGAUAACUCGGUUACAAAACAUGAUCAUCUCAUACAAUAAAAUUCAGCAUCAUGCCUUGACCAUAUCACAUCACAACAUGCCCUGCAAAAACAAGUUAGACGUCCUCUACUUUGUUGUUGCAAGUUUUAUGUGGCUGCUACGGGCUUAAGCAAGAACCAAUCUCACCUACGCAUCAAAACCACAACGAUAGUUUGUCAAUUUGACUCCGUUUUAACCUUCGCAAGGACCGGGCGUAGCCACACUCGGUUCAACUAAAGUUGGAGAGACUGUCGCCCGCAAGCCACCUAUGUGCAAAGCACGUCGGGAGAAUCGGUCUCGCGUAAGCGUACGCGUAAUGUCGGUCCGGGUCGUCUCGUCCAACAAUACCGCCGAACCAAAGUAUGACAUGCUAGUAGGAAGUAUGACUUAUAUCGCCCACAACUCACUUGUGUUCUACUCGUGCAUAUAACAUCAAACCAUAAAACCUAGGCUCGGAUGCCACUGUUGGGGAACGCAGUAAUUUCAAAAAAAUUCCUACGCACACGCAAGAUCAUGGUGAUGCAUAGCAACGAGAGGGGGGAGUGUUGUCUACGUACCCUUGUAGAUCGCAACGGAAGCGUUGACGCAACGUAGAGGAAGUAGUCGUACGUCUUUCGAUCCGAUCGAUCCAAGCACCGUUACUCCGGCACCUCCGAGUUCUUGGCACACGUACAGCUCGAUGACGCUCCCCGGGCUCCGAUCCAGCAAAGCUUCGGGGAUGAGUUUCGUCAGCACAACGGCAUGGUGACGAUGAUGAUGUUCUGCCGACGUAGGGCUUCGCCUAAGCACUACAACGAUAUGACCGAGGUGGAAUAUGGUGGAAGGGGGCACCGCACACGGCUAAGGAACGAUCACGAAGAUCAACUUGUGUGUUCUAGGGUGCCCCCUGCCUCCGUAUAUAAAGGAUCCAAGGGGGGGGGGAGUUCGUCCGGCCUAGAGGAGGCGCGCAGGAGGAGUCCUACUCCUACCAGGAGUAGGACUCCCCUCCCGUUCCUUGUCCAACUAGGAGAGGUUGAGGGAGAGAAGGAAAAAAGGGGGGCGCCGCCCCUCCCUCCUUGUCCAAUUCGGACUAGNNNNNNNNNNNCCGGAACCCUUCCGGUGUCCGAAUAUAGUCGUCCAAUAUAUCAAUCUUUAUGUCUCGACCAUUUCGAGACUCCUCGUCAUGUCCGUGAUCACAUCCGGGACUCCGAACUAACUUCGGUACAUCAAAAUGCAUAAACUCAUAAUAACUGUCAUCGUAACGUUAAGCGUGCGGACCCUACGGUUCGAGAACAAUGUAGACAUGACUGAGACAAAUCUCCGGUCAAUAACCAAUAGCGGGACCUGGAUGCCCAUAUUGGUUCCUACAUAUUCUACGAAGAUCUUUAUCGGUCAGACCGCAUAACAACAUACGUUGUUCCCUUUGUCAUCAGUAUGUUACUUGCCCGAGAUUUGAUCAUCGGUAUCCAAUACCUAGUUCAAUCUCGUUACCGGCAAGUCUCUUUACUCGUUACGUAAUACAUCAUCUCACAACUAACUUAUUAGUUGUAAUGCUUGCAAGGCUUAUGUGAUGUGCAUUACCGAGAGGGCCCAGAGAUACCUCUCCGACAAUCGGAGUGACAAAACCUAAUCUCGAAAUACGUCAACCCAACAUGUACCUUUGGAGACACCUGUAGUACUCCUUUAUAAUCACCCAGUUACGUUGUGACGUUUGGUAGCACCCAAAGUGUUCCUCCGGUAAACGGGAGUUGCAUAAUCUCAUAGUUAUAGGAACAUGUAUAAGUCAUGAAGAAAGCAAUAGCAACAUACUAAACGAUCGGGUGCUAAGCUAAUGGAAUGGGUCAUGUCAAUCAGAUCAUUCACUUAAUGAUGUGAUCCCGUUAAUCAAAUAACAACUCCUUGUUUAUGGUUAGGAAACAUAACCAUCUUUGAUUAACGAGCUAGUCAAGUAGAGGCAUACUAGUGACACUCUGUUUGUCUAUGUAUUCACACAUGUAUUAUGUUUCCGGUUAAUACAAUUCUAGCAUGAAUAAUAAACAUUUAUCAUGAUAUAAGGAAAUAAAUAAUAACUUUAUUAUUGCCUCUAGGGCAUAUUUCCUUCAGAAAGUAGUCCUUGUAAACCAGCCAUCCGCCAACAAUCCUAUCCCUUGUACAAUUCUCCUUCCCUUGACCGAACCCUUGAAGUUCAAAUAUAUGCUCCACUUCCUUCUUCAUUUCCUCAUGGAUGCUCAUCAUCAUCAUCAUGACCUCUGCAUCCUACGAAUCCGAGGAAUCGACGAACCCUUUAUGAAAGAAACCAUCAAGCUAAUUGUUGUGAAGCUCCUCAUCUUAUGAAUCCGCCGUUUUAGCUAAAAUAAUAAAAAUAUAGCUCACAAAUUUUGUCGAACACAUAGAGGACAACGUGUAUGACUAGAGGAGCAAGGUGUACCUCGGCAUCAUCCGGCCCAAUGACCGUGUCAUUAGCAGCGAUAAUAGUGGGGAGGGGUUUUCUAUUGGUGGUGGUGGCAUUGUGGACUCGGGACGGCAGCGACACUAGGGGAGGUUCGAGCCGAUGAGGCAAAAGAGAGGAGAGGAAGAGGAGAUAUCAGCCUAGGUUGGGAAUAGUUUGGAGGGAUUUGGUGUGGGCCCGAUCUCUUAGAUCCAAUGUGGCACACUUGUCAGGGUGCGCCUCAACCUCCUCAAUUCCUCCCUGGAUACAGGCUAGGGUUGAAGGGUGUCGGAUAGCCCGGACAUAUAGGGCCAAUUUGUGGGGGUGGUUGGGUCGUAUUUUCAUGACCGGUCACUGACAGGGCCAUCCGCCUGGACUUAUAAGAGGAGUUUUGAGGGGUCCGACUGUAGACGCUCUAACUACUCAUAUUCCCACACGUACUCGUUGUUGUGAUAUAGUUCAAGAGGUGUCUACGACUCGAUCGACUGUGUUCCACUAUCGCUGCUUUUUUCACGACUCCCUUCGUCCGGUGACAAGUGUACAUCUAGAAAUUUUAAGACAAAUUAUCAAGUGAAGUAAAAAGUGCAUUAGAAAGGUGCAAGCCACCAUCUCUCUCCUCUUUAAUUACCAAACCCUCAAUGAGCUAAGUGUAUGUAGAAAUUAAGAAAACCAUAUGUAGAAUGCUAUUGGUCUUGAUUACUAUGUGAUGAGAGAGAAGCAUUUUUUCUACUUUAAAGUGCAUUGGGAAGAUAGAAGUGCACUCUUUUGUGGACAAAAUUUAAGGCCAUAUGUACACUCUUCACUGACGGAGGGAGUAUACAAGAUUGCCUAUCGUUUCACCGAAAGAAAGAGAGUGAAGCGAUUACAAGGUGCAAUUUGCAAAACCACGUACAUGAGCCAACAUGGUUGCAAGUGCAUAAGUAGUACAAGAAAAGGGGGUGCUCAACUCUACAGAUACAAGGACUAUGUUUCAAGAAACAAUAGUUGAGCCUCUAGCUCCAGUCCUAGCCCAAAGCCCUCCUCCUGGAUUGUUUGGACAAGUUGCGUAAUGGAUGGUCUCAAGCCAUCGAAGACACAUCUAUUUCGUUGCUUCCAGAGCCACCAAGCAGUCAACACGAGAAGUGAGGAGAUCUUGUUACGCAUGGAAGGGGGUAUGGUUGCAACAAACCACCCACCAUUCUAGGAAAACAACUCUGGAUGGGGAAUAUCAGUUGUAGUGCAACACCAGGAAAGGAUCUCAUGUGACACCUGCUGAGAGAAGGAGCUGCCCAAGAGGAUGCAUUGCAUAUUCGCGAUCUCCUGGUCGCAGAGGAUGCAAUGACCAUCAUGGGGAAGCCCCUUGUGGGCCAGACGAUUCAUCGCUCAACACCCGCUCUGGAGGGUGAGGUAGUUGAAGUUACUAACACACAAAGUUGCCCACGUAUUCCAUAUGAGGCACCAACAGGGGCCCUGUGCGGCGCCGUGGAGCUGUCACUGCAUGAACAAGAGAUAUAUCUAAGUUACAAGAUCACUAUAUUCGUGGUACGAUACACUAUGAACUAAAACUAAGCGGGGGAUAGCUAGUGAGAUUCCUUUAGACAGUCUGAGUCACCGCUUGAGGCAAGCAUUUCCGUGUCCCUUGGGUUUAAUUCUAACCCCCCCCCCCCACACACACACACAAUUCUUAGUGGUUUUGACAUCUUGGACCUCACCCGUACGGACGGCCACCCUUUAGGUGUGUUGGUUACCGACCCACUCCGUCCUUGAACAGGAUUGACAUGUACUUCUUGAGGGACGAGCAUAGUAUGUUUAUAGAAUUCACCAAAAUGGUUGUUGGUGUCGAAACAUAUGCUCUCUUCUAUAAGGACUAGUGGUUGGAUGACAUGAUUAUUUCAGAAAAUUGAUCUUGAACUACUCAUGCUAGCUUCAAGGCGCACUCAAAAUCGCCGCAUGGUGUAGUAGAUGCUCUUGUAUAGGCCUCGGAUCACAUACAUUAAAGGGACCGUCAACCCCUUCUUCGAGGCAAUAUAUCAUGUUUGGUUGGUGAUCCGUGACGUGCUCUUCUUGAUGGUGCAAGAUGUUUUGCUUACACCAUUAGAUAUGUGCUAUGUGAUCAACAUGAGGAGGCCAUUUGUCACCCCCUCAUCAGAUGCCGUUUGUUGUGUACCUUGUAACAUGAGGUGCUCUUGCGGGUUUGUUCUUCCUCCCGGAUGCCUGUAGUUGAAGAGGACUUUGUAGAGUGGUAGCACCAUGCCACUCAUUAUCUCAUACUACCGCGAGGAAGUUGCUUAUGCUCACGGCCUCGUAGAGUUGUAAGCAACGGAACACGGUCAUCUCCAACAAGGAGCAACCCAACCUCGAUAGCUUACUCGACAUGAAGAUAGGGGCUGGGGUGGCUAGAGGUGAUACUUCCAGCGAUAUCUAGCCCUUAGAGCAUCUAUAGCCGGAUACACCAAAUCUGGUCCCUCAAGUGUCUGUGGACGCGUCCGCGGACAGUGACCAGUCACACCUCGAAUAUUGAUAUUACACAAGCACCGUAAACUUCCAAUACAGCCGUACAUCAAGGGAUGCCAUCGGACUACAAAAAUUUGGCAUGUCUACAUACAUACUAAGCUAUGGACAAUGAUCAUCCACGAUUGCCCUUGCUAGCGCCCUAGACGCCUUUGUCGCGGAAGUAGUGCUCGAAGACGCAAUAUAGAUUAAGCCAGAUCUCCUCCUCGCCGGAGAUGUCCGCCCGUCAAUUUCCUCUCCUCCUCCUCUUGGGGGUGGGGGUGGCAGCCCGGCCAUGGCAUGGACCGCUCGGGCUUGCUCUCAGGCGAGGGCACGCGUGUUCCUCCUCUUCUGCGGUAGUGCAUGCCACAUCGACAUGUUGGGGAACGUAGUAAUUUCAAAAAAAUUCCUACGCACACGCAAGAUCAUGGUGAUGUAUAGCAACGAGAGGGGAGAGUGUGAUCUACGUAUCCUUGCAGACCGACAGUGGAAGCGUUAUGACAACGCGGUUGAUGUAGUCGUACGUCUUCACGGCCCAACCGAUCAAGCACCGAAACUACGUUACCUCCGAGUUUUAGCACACGUUCAGCUUGAUGACGAUCCCCGGACUCCGAUCCAGCAAAGUGUCGGGGAAGAGUUCCGUUAGCACGACGGCGUGGUGACGAUCUUGAUGUUCUACCGUCGCAGGGCUUCGCCUAAGCACCGGUACAAUAUUAUCGAGGAGUAUGGUGGAAGGGGGCACCGCACACGGCUAAGAAAACGAUCAUGUGGAUCAACUUGUGUGUCUAGGGGUGCCCCCUGCCUCCGUAUAUAAAGGAGCAAGGGGAGGAGACCGGCCGGCCCUAGGGCACGCCAAGGAGGAGUCCUCCUCCUAGUAGGAGUAGGACUCCCCUCUUUCCUACUCCUACUAGGAGGGGGAAAGGAAGGGGGAGAGGGAGAAGGAAAGGGGGGCGCCGCCCCCCUCUCCUAGUCCAAUUCGGACCAGAGGGGGAGGGGGCGUGCGGCCCACCCUGGCCGCCCCUCUCUCUCUCCACUAGGGCCCAUAAGGCCCAUUACUUCUCCCGGGGGGGUUCCGGUAACCCUCCGGCACUCCGGUUUUCUCCGAAAUCACCCGGAACACUUCCGGUGUCCGAAUAUAGCCGUCCAAUAUAUCAAUCUUUAUGUCUCGACCAUUUCGAGACUCCUCGUCAUGUCCGUGAUCACAUCCAGGACUCCAAACUAACUUCGGUACAUCAAAACUCAUAAACUCAUAAUAUAACUGUCAUCGAAACCUUAAGCGUGUGGACCCUACGGGUUCGAGAACAAUGUAGACAUGACCGAGACAUGUCUCCGGUCAAUAACCAAUAGCGGAACCUAGAUACUCAUAUUGGUUCCCACAUAUUCUACGAAGAUCUUUAUCGGUCAUACCGCAUAACAACAUACGUUGUUCCCUUUGUCAUCGGUAUGUUACUUGCCCGAGAUUCGAUCGUCGGUAUCUCAAUACCUAGUUCAAUCUCGUUACCGGCAAGUCUCUUUACUCGUUUCGUAAUACAUCAUCUCGCAACUAACUCAUUAGUUGCAAUGCUUGCAAGGCUUAUGUGAUGUGCAUUACCGAGAGGGCCCAGAGAUACCUCUCCGACAAUCGGAGUGACAAAUCCUAAUCUCGAAAUACGCCAACCCAACAUUUACCUUUGGAGACACCUGUAGAGAUCCUUUAUAAUCACCCAGUUACGUUGUGACGUUUGGUAGCACACAAAGUGUUCCUCCGGCAAACGGGAAUUGCAUAAUCUCAUAGUCAUAGGAACAUGUAUAAGUCAUGAAGAAAGCAAUAGCAAUAUACUAAACGAUCGGGUGCUAAGCUAAUGGAAUGGGUCAUGUCAAUCACAUCAUUCGCCUAAUAAUGUGAUCCUGUUAAUCAAAUGACAACACAUGUCUAUGGUUAGGAAACAUAACCAUCUUUGAUUAACGAGCUAGUCAAGUAGAGGCAUACUAGUGACGUUUAGUUUGUCUAUGUAUUCACACAAGUAUUAUGUUUCCGGAUAACACAAUUCUAGCAUGAAUAAUAAACAUUUAUCAUGAUAUAAGGAAAUAAAAUAAUAACAUUAUUAUUGCCUCUAGGGCAUAUUUCCUUCACGACAGCGAGGCAGGCCUUGCGCUCCGUCAAUCUUUGCUUGUUACGGCGGGCACAACGGUCCCUGUAGCACUCAUAAGCCAGCGGACGGAGAUGGCACGACAGAUGGACCUCGAGCUUCCACCACCGGCGGAUCCGAGCGCAAGUUGCCCUGACGCAAUGGAUUCACGCUAGAUAGACACCGACAUCGGUCGGGCACACUCCUAUAAGGAGCGGCGGACGGUCAAGAAAAUGACCGUUGCCUCCUCCAUUUUGGGGCCGGUAUGAGGCAUCCUUCUGGGUCGGGUUUUUUUGACUGGUCAAUGGCCGGUCCGUUCGCUCAGUCGUUGGGNNNNNNNNNNNNNNNNNNNNNNNNNNNNNNNNNNNNNNNNNNNNNNNNNNNNNNNNNNNNNNNNNNNNNNNNNNNNNNNNNNNNNNNNNNNNNNNNNNNNNNNNNNNNNNNNNNNNNNNNNNNNNNNNNNNNNNNNNNNNNNNNNNNNNNNNNNNNNNNNNNNNNNNNNNNNNNNNNNNNNNNNNNNNNNNNNNNNNNNNNNNNNNNNNNNNNNNNNNNNNNNNNNNNNNNNNNNNNNNNNNNNNNNNNNNNNNNNNNNNNNNNNNNNNNNNNNNNNNNNNAUAGAGUGUGUGUGUUUUGCGGGGGAGUAAUUUAGAGUGUUACCUUUCGUUGGACUUAAAAAUGGUGGAAAAGCUUCUCAAGGCUUCGUCCUCCUCACCGCACAAGCAUGGGAAAAAUGUUAUGUGCUAUAGUUGCAGGGAGAAGGGUCAUCUUGCAGAGAUCUGCAGAAAAGAGGCGACCCGCUUCGUUUGUGCACCUUCGGCCAUAGAUCAUUCUACUGUCCUAGGCGAGGGAAACAAGGUAACCAAAUAAUCCUCUUUCUUGUGCUUCAGCCCUGACUUUUAUUGAUAAGAUGAAUUGGGUAUGUUUCACGCUAGCUCACACGACACAAUAUCAAUUGAUUUCCGACAGUCAGUUUCACAACAGUGAUUUCCUGCAACAACAAAAAAAGAAGUUUCACAACAGUGAUAUGUUUUUUUCACUGCUCGCCCAUCUUGACCUAACGCCUAACGGCUAGGACCCCCCACCUCAACUCUCACCGUGUGGGUAGAUUAAGGUGAAACCAGCGGGCGGCAGCUCCAGGAACCAUUGUGAUGGGACGAAGGAGGCAUGAAAUAAUUUGGCGGAAAGUUACUGGUCGGCUGGGAUGCCGGGGACAAAACGACCGAAAGAACCCCUCGAUCGAGCGCAGGUGUCCACAGCACAAGAUUCCCCGGGAAACCGGAGCUUCAGUUCCACCGAUCUACCCCGGCCUGCUCCAUUGCUACCGGAGGGCAACAUGGGAACACCACACACCACACACGCACGUAACAAGAGGCCGGAAUCAAAAACCAAUAUCCAAUUCCUUAUUCUCCCUUACCCCUUCGAGAGACCUCCCCGUCGUGACAUUCACCAAAGAAUAAUACUAACCCCAAAGCAGCAUCAGCAGCAGUAGAUCGUUAGAUCUCCCCUUGCGAUUUAAGUAGUGUUUUCUACGUACGGUCCCCGGCCAUGCCCUCCACGUACACCUUCUCUUUCGGUCUUUCCCGUAGAUCGCCCCUAAGCUAGCGCUCGUGGCAACAAUGUCCCCUCUCCCAUGCCUAGCUCUCACGGCGCUCUCACCUAAUCACCAAACGGCCCGAGCCAAUAGGCCACCUCUGCUCCAGAGCAUCACGCGCGCACAUCAGCAAGCUCAGCAGGACGCAUCACCGCGCAAUAUUAACAAUGCUCUAAGCUAAUAAGCUAAGGUCAUGCUCGAUCGGUAGCCGCUGUCGCUGCCACCAAUUAGUGGUGGGUGCGGCGAUGGCGACGGCCGGGCCAAUCCCGCGCCGACACCCCGCCCGGCUUUCGUCUUCCUCUUUAGACCGAUCGGGGUUCCCGCGGCCCGGAAGAAGACAGCGCGCGCGCCCGUAAAAUAAUGUGGCUGCUAUUUCGGGCAAGCACGUAGACGUACGUACGGGCGAGCGAGCGAGCGCGAUCGGCCUCGGCCGCGCGUUAUUUUAUGCGCGCAUCGCCGUCUCCGCGCGCUGGGUGCGGUGACUUUGCCGCACCACGCCGGCGACAGGUGUCACCCGCGCGCACCAGCUCCCCCUCCAGCUCCAGGACCACCUCCUUGUUUAAUCGCCACCCCGCGCGUAAAGCCCACCCCGGCCACCGGAAAGAGCAGGAAGAAGAACCCAGAUCGACCGGCGACGGGCACGUUAAUGGUUAACUAUCCCUAGAGCUAAUAUAUCUUGCAGUACAUGCCACGGCCGGGAGACACGGCCGGGGUUGCUUCGUCUAGCUCCCUCCACCUGUCUGUUUGCAUGUCGCCUGCGCGGGCAUGGAGGCCGCGCCCCAUUCGCUGCGCCCAUUAGUAAAUCCCUCCCGUGAUGUGGCUGCAAGGGUUAUGUUAAUCCGUGUGCGGUGAAAUGAAGCAUCCAUCGAUGAUGGCAUGAGUGAUGGUGUCGUGUACACGGCCGGUCCCUUUCUCUACUUUGCGGUCUAGAAGGCUCGAUCUGCUAGUUUUGUUUACUACUGUAUAUAAAACCCAAAGGCCAGGUGUAUUUGGAGGUAGUAUGUUUAUACUCCAAGCAAAGCAAAGCUCGUCGAGCGAGCGGGGACCAAAAGUGGAAAGCAAGAUACGCCCCUCCCGCACAAGCUUUGUUGUUUGCAUUUGGCGAUGGAGUCGCAUCGAUCGGGCAAAUGCUAUGACCGUGAGGGAUUACUAAAACAAGGCAGAGCUAUAGCCUAUAGGGAAAAUCUAUUGUCUCCUGGGGUACUUUUACACCUCAAAACAAAGUUAAUCGCAGUAGCUAUGGCUAGCUAGGCAAACUAUAUAUAGCAGGUUGGUCAUUCUCUCUGCUAUAUAUAAUGGUACAUAUAUACUCCUACGUACUCCUAUAAACAUUUUUGAUUCUCUCCCCACUAAUCCUUGUUUUUACGAUCCGACAACUUUUUCCCUUGGAAUCAAGUUAGUAAUAGUAGAAAAAAACUAGUGUGCAUUUAGCGUGUCAUGUAUAAAUGCUGAACUAAAUUAUCUUACCAAUAUGGAUGACCUGUUACCAAAAGAAUCGGCGACAGGUGUACCUUCUUUUCUGUAGCUUUAGGCUCUAGCUCUUCUGUAAUGGCAUGUCAUCUUUGUGAAGAAACAGUUGUGUGCAUCAACUGAUACACGGACGGACGGACAGAUGGGUAAUCUUAAUUUUUCGGGGAAAUAGUUGUGAUUGCAUGAUUGAAAACAAAGAGAACAACAUCUAGUUCACCAAUUGUCAUGCCCUCGUUUUGUAUCACGAUGGUUAUUACUUAAUUAGUAGGUGGAUAGCAAAUUGUUCAUACAGUAGAUGAAGGUUAACGCUUCAAUUGUACUAAUUUAAAUUAGGUGCCACUUAUGUUGUAUUUAUCACUGCAAUGUCUUUAUUUGUUUUCUCUUCCUUUGUUAUUAGUUAUAAUUGAAUGGCUUCAAAAAAGUUAUAGUAGAAUUAGUAAAAAAAACGGUAUCGAACAAGAUUCCAUGGUUUCAUCACAAUUAUUUUAAGCACCUUUUGAUUGGUUUCCUAUGUUAGCAUAAACUCUAGAAAUGAGUUCCAACCAAGUAAAAGUGUAUAUUUUUGGUUUGCUAUUUUAUCACUUAGUUCAAUAUAACGGGAUUUCUCAAACAAGACACCAAUUUUGCAAACAAAUGAGAAGAAUAUCUCAGCACAACAUAUGAACUUCUUUUAGCCGUAUGAAAUUACUUGUGGUUUAUCAGGUUUCACCCCAAGAUGCCAAUUCGGACAUUUUUCUUCUAUUCUAAUUUUUAAUUGCAUGAGCAGCAUAACAACAUAACAGUUUUGUGUAAGGAAGUAAGGAAAGACUCCUGUUCCAUUCCUCGUAUAUAAGUGAUAACGUUUCUCAAAGAGAGUUUCCAAUGGAUUACAUCAAGUUCCAUUCCUCGUAUGUGAAAUCAGUAAGCACGAAUUUCUGUAUAUAACAAACUUCUGUUCCAAUCCACAAUCAGUCGUCCAACAAGGCAAUUGUCUUCAACUAGCUAGAUCAAUCAGGAAUAAGCAAUGUGACUUCUUUAUGUCUUUUGUUACCACUAUUUUCUGAUUCAAAAGCACAUAUUUCAUUUUUAUAAUGUGUGUUAUGUAUAAUAUAAGUGUACAUAUAUUGUAGGUGUGACGCGAGGAUAUGAUACACUAUAUGCUUCUCCAUACACUCUCCGCUGGUGAGUGCACUGUGGAUGCGCAAUGGGGGCUAUCGUAUGUUCACGUUUUGAAGAUGUUCAUCACAGAGAGAGCACCGUUUUAUUGGCAUUAGGUGUCUCUUUUCUCCACCGGAAAAACAAGAAAGGUGUCUCUUUCCGUAGCAAGGUAACAUGAGCGGAUGUGUCAGUGUUCACACCUCUAGUUGAGCACCAAGUUUGAGCCCGGUCGGGUGUGGUUGAAAUGCUAGCUGGGUAACAGAAAAUAAGGAACAAAUCGACGGCAUCAGUUCCACUUUGUACGCAGCUGUCUGAUCCGUCCACGAGUCCUUCUGUCCUCUUGGCGUAAAGAGGGAACAGAAUCUUGCGUCGGUCUUAAACUGUUGAACUUGCACCCACCUCACUGUUCACGAAGCCACGAAUGUGCCCACGAAGUACACGGAAAUGCUGUACUGUACUUGCAUUUCAUCAUGGAAGGCACAUGGUAGUGCUCGGUCCUGUGGAAGGGGAAGCAAUUAGUUGACGAGCGCCCCUUCGGAAGCCUCGCAACAAUCAGCGUCACUUAACGCAUUCUCAGCUAUCCGUCACGUGUCGCGCUCUGGACGCUCUCUUCAGAUUUGUUUUUUUCGCACGCGUUUUCAGCUUUUUAAACGGUUUUUUUGUUUUUUUCGAUGUUUUGAUUUUUCACAGGUCUUCUUUAGCUUUUGGAUAAAAAAUCUGAAAAAACGGAUUUUUUUCCUUCCCUGAGAGUCACGGUUUUGCUUCCGCGAGAAGCACGGUUUGAUUUCGCGAGAGUCAUGGCCAUGCCUCUCAAAAAAAAAUGUGUUUUCUAUUUAUUUUCCUUCCACGAGAGACACGGUUUUUGUGCCGCGAGAGUCACAACCGUGCCUCUUGGAAACGAAAAAAAACAUAUUUUCUGUUUUUUUUCUUUCGCAAGAGGCACGGUUUUGCUUCGCGAGAGGCAUGGUUGUGCUUUUGUGAGAGGCACAGACGUGCCUCCUCGGAAACGGAAAAAAAUGAGUUUUUUCUUUUUUUUUUCGUUCCGCGAGAGGCACAGUUUUGCUUCUGCGAGAGGUACGGGCGUGCCUCUUUCGGAAAGGGAAAAAUCCAUGCUCCAGAUUCGUUUUUUCAUUCGUUUUUUCGUAUGGUUUUUUCAUGAAAAAAAUAUCAACAUGGGAUCUAGUUUCGAAGAUCUCGGCACAAGGAAUCCAACGGUGAAAAAGGUUCGAGAUUUGGACGCACGGUUUAAGAAAUAAAAUGUUUUGAAUAAACGGAUCUAGAAAAAAGGGAAAACUCCGCUUACAUGCAGCGCGCCACUUAUCGCAACCUGAGAAGGUGUGAGUGAUUUUUGCAAUGAGUAUUCCUUAUUUCAUGAUUUCGUGUGAAAGGGCAUAAGUCAGGAAGAGAAGAAAAGAAAAUAAGGGGCCCAAAGCAGAGAAAUUAACAAAUAACCGUUAAACCCAAGAUCCAGCCUGCCCCAUCAGUUCAAGUAAAAGGCCCACAGAAAUAGCCGUGAUCUUUCUGCGCACUAUUAGGGAAAAUUUUAUACAUAGAAUCUUACCAGCAGUAUGGUUUAAAAUAAGACGCUACUGCUACUUAGCAAUAGCGCAUAUAAACAAAACGCGCUAUUAAUAUACACAUAGCAGUAGCGCGUCAGUAGUAAACAACGCUACUAUUAUAAUUGCCACGACCUUGCCGUCAAACUAGUUAUAGCAGUAGCGCCUGUUUAGUAAACGCGCUACUGCUAUUGAGCUUAGCAGUAGCGCUUUUCACCAAAGCUCGCUACUGCUAAGUUUAGUCCGCUCCUUGCAACUAAGUUUAGUCACACCUCGCUCAGCGAACAGGGUGUUUAACACCUUAAAUAUGUUACAUCUCAAACUAUCACAACCACUUGGUCUUCAUUGAACUCUAUGUGUAGGAUUUGUGGCCGCAAUGUGAGUCUUCUUCGGUUCCUAAACCGAUGAGGACUCAUAUUGACAAUUCAAAUUAUACACAAAAAGAUCACUGAUGACCAAUGUAUUUUUGAUGUUUAUUUUUACAUGCUUAGCCUUAGUAGUAGCGCGUUUUCAUAGAUGGCGCUACUACUAUAGACAUAGCAGUAUCACGGCCAAAGGAAAGGGCGCUACUGCUAUGGCGUUUAGCUGUAGCGCUUUACCCUAAAGCGCGCUACUGCUAAAGUCAUGCUAUCUUCUCCAUCCGGCCGCCCCUCACUAUCCCCUCUCCACUCCACUCACUCUCCCCCGCACCCCCUCGUCCACCGCCACCGCAUUGCCGCCAGCUGCUGCCGCCGUCGCCCCCUCCCUCCUCCAUCCUGUUGCCGUCGCCCCCCUCCCCAACCCCCCCCCCUGCCGUCACCGCCACCGAGGUAGCUCCUCCUACCUCCCCCCUCCUUUCCGCCUCCUCCCUCCUUCCUACCCCUCCUUCCUCCCCCUUCCCCCUCCCUCCCUUGUCUCUGCUCUUGUAGAAUGUAGGUAAUUUAAAUGUAGAUUUUAGAAUGUAGACAUUGUAGAAUGUGGGUUUUUUAAUAGAAUAUUUUUAUACUAUUUUAGGUGUUUUGAAUAGAAUAGGAAAUUUUAGGUCUUUUGAUUAGAAAUUUUAGUAAUGGAAAUUUUUAGUUGGUAGAAUUUGAAAUGGAUGGGUGGUUAUAUUGAUGGAUAUAUAGAUAGAUGGAUGGAUGGAUAGGUGUUAGGGCUAGAACUAUAGUGGCAAAUUUUUAGGGUUAGAACUAGGUUUCACAAUUUUUUAGUAAAUGUAGGUCUUUUGAAUCAGCAUAGUAAGGUUUAGUUGAUAGCUUUUAGGGUUUCACUAAGUCCUAAGAUGAGGAUAAUAAUGUUUUUGUUUAUAUUUUAUUUUUGUAGAAAUCAAGGAGCCCCUGCAUCAUCCUCGCCGUCGUGCCCGUCACCGACCCCCUCCGACCUCGAGGUGAGACCAGCCAAAUCCCCAUGUCGAUGAUGAUGUAGAUGUUUUGAUAGUUGUAGUAGAGUAGUAGCUACAUGAGUAGUUGUGACAAUGUUCUAUAGUACUAGUGCUUGCCCAAGUGGCCUAUGUUUGCAGGGAACACACCUCACAGUGGCCUAUGUUUUGUCGGAGUGUUCAUUAAUUUUCGUUCCGGCAAAUUUCAGGCGCUCGAUAUGUCCUUUUUUAGCAAAGGUCAUGCCGAUUUUUCCGUGAAUUUUCGCAUGGCUUGUGCUAUAAUAUAGGAAAUAUCGAGUGCGUUGGAAAUGCCGGAAAGAGCAUUUAACGCCAUUUUGGGUUUUGCCAUCGAAUUAUAAUCUUUGAAUUUUGAACACAAGAGAUGUCUGAUGAUGAUGGGAUCCCAGAGUGCGGGUACUGCUACGAUGACUGGGGUUUGUGCGACGGGUUUCCUCACCUGCAAAAUGAUUGGUUUUUCACCACAAAGUUGGAAGAAACCUUUGAUGUUUGUACGGUACGCAAUGACAAGCAUUUCAUAGUAAUUAAUAUCAUCACUUGUGCUUCUUUUGUUCAAGGUGUAAUUUCUGGAAAAAAAAUUCAAUUCGAUUAGUACAUCCCAUGCCAUGCUAGACCAUAUGUAUUGGAGAAGUUUGGUUUAGGUUUAGAUGACUUUGAGAAUGUGGAGAGGAGGAGGGCUCACUUAAGAACUAAACAUGGUUAUGAGUUUUUGAUUAAGCUGUACAAUGCGGUCAAUCGCUCCCAUUUCGGUUGCUCUAAUUGGGAAGCUCACCGCAAGGCAUAUGGAUUUGAGGAGGGAAUGCAAAUAAGAUUUGAUAUUCAUCCUGAAGAUUAUGACGAUGAUAAUAUCUACAUCUAGGUGGAUGUGGAUAUGCCUCAAGUUUUGCCUAGAUGUGAGUUUGUCAAACUAAUUUGUUAAGUUCAGUAAUUUAUAUUGUUAAUUUAAAAAUAUUUGGUGUUCGUCGGUACUAAACUUAUUUAUUUAUAAUUGUCAGCUUAUUUCUUAUCUUCAAGAAAUACUCGGAAGGUUGUAGACAUCACAUAUUACAGCUAUGACUUCAAACUUAAUUGCGAGGAGAAAGGUUAUCUUGUCUCAUUCAUAGAAGAUCUUGAGGCCUUUAAAACCAAUCACUCUAUCAACCCAAAUUAUACUAGAUACGUGCCACUAGUCCAUAAAUUGCUUGGUGGCAACUUCAUUGCCAAAAACUUGGUAAGAUUUUGUUAAUUAUGGUAACUUCAUUGCAUACAUUAUUCUUAAGUAAACUACAUCGCUAACUAUAUAUGUUACUAUUACAUUUUUUAACAGAGGCUCCCGAAGGAGGUUGUGCCUGACAUGCUAUUUACCGAAGGUGAUAUGCAUAUGGUUAGCUUACGACCAACUCCUUCGAAGGCUUACCAUACUGCAUACUCGAUUUCUUCAAAUGAUGGAAGGCUCAAAAUCAAAGAAUGGAGCAAAGUGAUGAAUGCGCACACGCAACUAAUUGGACACAAAAUGAAUGUGCGCAAGCCACAGGUUGGAGAUAGGUUUAUGUCCAUUCGGUUUAUCUGUUUUGUGGUAUUUUACCUAGGAGAGAGGAGUAGGUCCUAGGUAUUAAAAACAAUUAGUUAGUGUUGAUUAUAUAUAACUAUGAUGAUGAUGAGAAGUUUUUAUUAUGUGCUACAAUGUGUUAGAGUUGAUGGUGAUGCUAGGGAGGAGGAGUGAUUAUGAGUACUAUGAUGAUGAGGAGGAGUUGUUAUUAUAACUAGUGACCAAGUUGUUAUAUGAUGUCGCAUGGACGAAAAUUAUGAUGAGGAGGAGUUGUUAUAUGACAAUGAUGUAUUAUGAUGAUAAGUUGUUAUGCUAUGAUGAUGAUGAUGGUGAUGAUGAUAAUGAUGAUGAUGAUGAUGAGUUAUUAUGUCAUUGGGUGAAAGAACCGCGGAUUAGUUUUAAGUGGAUGGAUCCAACGUGACCAAUUGGGUAUAGUGGUGUUAGGGCGCAUCUAUGUCUCACUAUAAGCAACACGUAGGUCAGCCUCACCUAGCUAGCCUAUGAGCUUUUAAAUUGCUCGAGACUCAAAAUAAAAAUAAUAUGAAGUAAAAGUAGACGAUGUCUCUAAGAUUUCCUUAACAAUAGCUUUGUAUUCUUCACCCGCUCGCUGAUGAAUAUGUUGUACCACUUGCUUGCAGUCCGAUGCAACUUGAAUGUAUUGCAUCCCAAAAAUGGAUGAACUGUUUUUAAAUUUGAUGUACUUUUUUUCAAAAUUGAUGAACUUUUUUCAAAUUUGAUGAACUUAUUUUUAAGUCAAUGAACUUUUUGCAAAAUCGAUGAAAUCUUUUUCGAUUUUUUGGAAUUUGUUUUCAAAAUAGAAGAACUUUUUAAAAAAUCUGUGAACUUUUUCUCGAGAUGAUGAACUAUUUUUCAAAUUUGAUGAAUUUUUUUUAAAAGAGAUGAACUCAUUUUAAUUUCUAUGAACCUUUUUUUUCAAAUACGUACAUAUUUUCGGUAUUUUUUAUAGAAUUCUGUUUCGAAUUUAUACUUUCUUUUUAAAAAAAUACACUGGAUAUAUAUAAUAUGUAUCAACUAGAGGAAGUGUCAAAUAGAGGUUUUUCCUUUUUGUUGUGGACGGAAUGAUCAUGGCCUGGUGGUUACGAGGGACUGUUGUCAAACCUUGCGCUCGGAGUUCGAACCCUGAAAUCACUAAUUAAGGAGUACUCGUUGCAAAGAACACUCCACUUUCCCAGGUCGCGACAAGUGGCGCACAUGCAGCGCGCCACUUGUCGCAACCUGGGAGUUUUCCCUUUUUUCAUAGAUACGUUUAUUCAAAACGUUUUAUCUCUUAAACUGUGUGUCUAAAUCUCGAACCGUUUUCAUCAUUGGAUUCCUCGCAUCGAGAUCUUCAAAACUAGAUCCCAUGUUGAUAGGUUUUGACAAACAUUAUUUUCACGAAAAAAAUCGGACAAAAAAAACCGAGCAAAAAAACCAAACCGAGAGCAUGGUUUUUUCCCUUUCCGAAAGAGGCACGCCCGUGCCUCUCGCAAAAUCACAACCAUGCCUCUCGUUGAAGCAAAACCGUGACUCUCGUGUAUGGAAAAAAAUAGAAAACGCGUUUUUUUCCGUUUCCGAAAGGCACGGCCAUGACUCUCGCGAAAGCACAACCGUGCCUUUCGCGAAAGCAAAACCGUGACUCUCGCGAAAGAAAAAAACAGAAAACGCGUAUUUUUUCCCUUUCCGAGAGGCACGGCCGUGACUUUCACGUAAUCACAACCGUGUUCUCUCGCGGAAGCAAAAUCAUGACUCUCACGAACGAAAAAAAAANNNNNNNNNNNNNNNNNNNNNNNNNNNNNNNNNNNNNNNNNNNNNNNNNNNNNNNNNNNNNNNNNNNNNNNNNNNNNNNNNNNNNNNNNNNNNNNNNNNNNNNNNNNNNNNNNNNNNNNNNNNNNNNNNNNNNNNNNNNNNNNNNNNNNNNNNNNNNNNNNNNNNNNNNNNNNNNNNNNNNNNNNNNNNNNNNNNNNNNNNNNNNNNNNNNNNNNNNNNNNNNNNNNNNNNNNNNNNNNNNNNNNNNNNNNNNNNNNNNNNNNNNNNNNNNNNNNNNNNNNNNNNNNNNNNNNNNNNNNNNNNNNNNNNNNNNNNNNNNNNNNNNNNNNNNNNNNNNGAAAACGCGUUUUGUUUUUCCCUUUCCGAGAGGCACGGCCGUGACUCUCGCGAAAGCACAACCGUGCCUCUUGGGAAAGCAAAACCGUGACUCUCGUGAAAGAAAAAAAAUAGAAAACGUGUUUUUUUAUUUCCGAGAGGCAUGGCCGUGACUCUCGCUAAAGCACAACCGUGCCUCUCGCAGAAGAAAAACCGUGACUUUCACGAAAGAAAAAAAACGCAGUUUUUCAUGAAUUUUUUUGAUCGAAAAGCUAAGAAAGACCGGGGUCAAACCAAAAUGUCGAAAAACCCGGAAAAAAACCCGUUUAAAAAAGCCAAAAACGCAUGCGAAAAAAUAAAAAAGCAAAAUCCGAAGAGAGCGUCCAGAGCGCGACACGUGGCAAAUGGCUGAAAGCGCGCCAAGUGACGCUAAUCGUUACGAGGCUCCCGAAGGAGCGCUCGUUAACUAGUUGCUCCCGUUCGAACCCCAGCACUCGCGAAUCACUAUAGGAGAUUAAGUGUAGUUUUUGUUUUCUUCUGUAUUGAGAACAGAUAGUUAGCAAUGUUUUAAUUGGGCCGCGGCCCGCUCUUGGUCGUUGUAGGCGCCACUUCUCCAACGGGCGCCUACACCGCCGACUAGGAGCUCCCGUAUAGGGGGAGCUCCUAUAUGCCGCCCGUGUGCGUCAGAUUGUUGCGACUUUGUUGAAGUGACGCGCACACGGGCCGGCCCAACCAUCUCGCUGUGAGUGAAAAAACAAAAAAAGAAGAAGCGCAAGCGUGGGAUCAAACUGAGGACCCCAUGCUCGAAUCCAGUGAGGCAAACCAGCCGAGCUACCUACCUCAAACAUCUUGUAUGCAGCGCCAAUCUUAAAGUAGAACGAACAGGGGCAAAUCCUUAAAAAAAAGUUCAACAUUUUUAUGAUAUAAGUUGAAGAAAUUUUAAAAUAAAGUGAAUGUUUUUGUAAAAAAAUACUGAACAAAAUUAAAAUACCAACAUGGAUAUUUUAUGGGUAUAUGUUAAUUUUUUUAAUAUAUGAUGAACAAAACUUAAAUACACAAUGAACAUUUUGUCAAUAUACGUUGAACAAUUUCAUAAUAUACAAUAAACAUUUUUGUAAUACAGAAUGAAAAUUUUCUAAUAUAUGUUAAACAAUUUAAUAAUAUACAAUGAACAUUUUCUAAUAUACGUUGAACAAGUUGAAAAUAUACAAUUAACAUUAUUGUAAUACACAAUGAACAAUUUUACAGAGCAAGGUGAACUAUGUCGUAAUAUACGAUGAGCACUUUCUUAAAACAUUGGAGAUUUUUGUAACACACGGUGAACUUUUUAUACAAAUACACAAUAAUGAGAAGAAGAACAGAAACAGAAAAUAGAAAAGGAAACAUAAAAGAAAGGAAAUGAAAGGACAAAAAGGAAUCAAAACAGAAAAAUAAAAAACCAGAACAAAACAACUGAAAACCGGCCAAAACAGUGAAAAUACUGGAAGCAAAAAAUCAUAGAAGAAAAACGAAAAAAGAACACGAGAAACAAGGAAAAGCGAACGAGAUCCGUACGUGGACCGGCCCAAGUGUCGACUUGCCUCAGCGAAGGCUCGUCCUUUUGACGCCUGCGGGCGUCAAAUAGGAUUUGCCCUAAAAGGCCCCCGUACCCGUAUGUACAUAUAUAGCAGCGGAAGGACGGAUAUACGACUUUUCCGGGCUGGCAGGCUUUUAGCGGACCUAUUCGGGCUGCAAAAAAGCGAAAACUUGCAAAAUGCGGGGCGGCAAGGUUUUAGCCGAUCUGCUAGAGACACCCUAAUUUCCAAAUGCGGUGAUAACUAGAGAUUGAACCCCUGAAUGUAUUUUUUUCCAUGGGUGACGUAUGUGCAUGAACUUUGAGCAUGAGCUUUACAUGAUAAUUUGUACAGUACGUAUUAGCUCCGUGCAAGAAGGUAGUACUACUACUACUAUGUAUGUAUAUCCACUUAAUUAAGUACAGUACAAAACUUAGGGAGACGGCCGGGCCGGGGGUUUGUAUACAGCUAUAUAUGUUGACCUCCAAUCCAUGCAUCGACGUCUCAUCAGAUCUCAAACGUCCCCUCUAGCUCGAGCUGCCCACCGGCAGCCUCUUCCUCCUCGUCCGCAACGUAGAGGUACGGGUUCCUCUCCACCGGCUGGAAGUUAUAGAAGACGAAGACGUAGAAGGCGAGGCUGGCGAGCUCGACGGAGACGUUGACCACCCACUGGUACUUGUAGCUGAGCACGUCGGCGAAGGCCGAGACGGCGAUGCGGGUGAAGUAGAGGUAGCCGACGACGACGAGGUAGAACUGCUUGAAGAGGGUGAGCUUCUUGAGGUUCCUGGCCGCCUUGCCGUCCGUCUUGGAGGCCUCCCGCAGGUUGCGGAUGGACCAGAUGAUGGGGAAGAAGACCGCGCAGCAGCAGACCACGUCCACCAGCAGGAAGAUCUGGUUCCACGCCAGCCAGUCCCGCCCCGCCGGCCCCGUCUCCCCGAUCAUCGCCGACGCGAUGUUCUCGAUCACUUGCAGCGGGAUGAUGAUCAUCAGCACGUUCUUCUCCCGCUCCUGCAUUCUCGAUCCAUCCCACCAUCGUUGUGAAUACAUGCAUGGCCCCUCAUGUGUUGGUCGUUACAUGCACUGCACGUACGUAAUGUACAGACCUGGAGGUAUGGCUUCAGGAAGGACCAGCCGGUGCCGAUGAGCACGAUGACCGUGAAGAGGAGGAUGCCCUUGAAGAAGCCGAAGACAUAGAAGGCGACGUCCCAGCCGUGCGGCGUGCCAGUGCGCCCCACGUACCACGCGUCCUCGGCGGCGCACGCCAGCUUCAGGGCCUUGAACAGCAGCAGCGCCCCCAUCACAGCGUGGAUCCGCUCGACCGUGGCCCGCUGCUUGAUGCAGACGAACACCCACGCCGCCAGGAACGCGAAGUACAACGCGGACGAGGCGGCGAAGAUCCCCGGAAGCGGGAGCAGGCCGACGGGCAGGUACUCCCUGUCGCCGCCGGGGCCGGGCAUGUUGUACAUCUCCGUGCGCACGUCCAUGGUGAUCUCGACGCCGUCCUGGCAGCUGCUGAACAGCACCGUGUACUGGUCGGCGUCACCGAUGGUCACGUUACCCCCGCCGGCGCCGUCACGCCCGAUGUCCUUGAGCCGGAAGAGCGGCAUCACGUACUCGCUGGUGAGCGGGCAGAAGGAGCUGCCGGUCUCCUCGGCGUACUCGGACUCGUUGGUGAUCUUGAAGAAGAGGGUGUUGGAGAUGAGGAUGAAGCCCAUGAGCCCCGGGUCGACGGCCUGGGGCGGGGAGCCCUCGGGGACGCUCCAUGAGACGCCGGACACGUUGACCUGCGCGACGCCGCCGGGCUUGAAGCCGAACUCCUCGAACAGGAUGACGGGCCGCGAGUCCGACACGAUCGGCGUCGUCUUGAUCUCGCCGCGGGCCGCAUGGAGGAGCUGGAGGGCGAGGACGGCGGCGAGUAAUGCGGAGGCGGCCAUGGAGGAUCGAGCUAGGACGCUACCAAGGUCGGGUUCGUGUCACGUCAUUCGUGGAGGCGGAGAGGGUGGGAAGAGGCUCCGGCCGCGUCGAUUCGCGUGGCGUGUUUUCGGGGUGGCCACGAGACCCGCAUGAGUCAAACAAACCUCCAACAGGCCAGAACCAACAGCGUUUCCGCUAUUUUUGCCCAGUGAGAGAGGGCAGAGGGGGAAUUCCCUAUUCGACGCUCUCUGCGUCAAAGUGUCGACCAAACGCACAGGUGCGCAAUUGAUUGGGCCGGCCCAUCUAGAAAUGCACGUAUAGCUGGCAGUUCCGGUUUUGGGAACCUUCCAGAAGAUUCCUAGCCGGUUUUCUCGGAUCUGGGAUCCUUCUACAAGGUUCCUAAACUGGCUUCUUUUCCUUCUUUUUUUCUGAUUCCUUUUUUCUUUUUUCUUUUUCUUUUUUCUGUUUCCUUUUUCUUUUCCUUUUUAUCUGUUUCUUUUAAUUGUAUAUUUUCAAAAUUGUUCCAAAUAUUCGAAAACAAAUUGUUACCAAUUUUCUUUCAGUAUUUUAAAAACAUUUUGAAGUUUAAAAAUUGUUCGUCUUAUACAAUUGUUUCUUUUUAUUUUAGAAAAAUGUUUUGAUUUUCCAAAAACAAUCAUGUAUACAAAAAAUCUUUGGGAUUUUCAAAUUGUAUCAGAUUAAAAAAAAUCUGCAUUUGAAAAUAUGUACCAAUUUUCAAAUUUAAUCACCAAUUUAUAAAAUGCUUGCAUUUUCAAAAAAAUGUUAUGGAAUUGUUUUUUGUGUGUAAUGCAAUUUUUUAAAGUUAUCGAAAAAUGUUUCCAUUUCCAAUAUUUUGUUCACAUAUACAAAAAAGGUUCGGGAUUUUAAAAUUAUUCUCGGGUUCAAAAAUUUUUCUUCAUUUCAAAAGUUUACCUGCUUUCAAAAUAUGGUCACCAUUUUAAAAAUGUUUGUGUUUUCAAAAAUGUUCUGGAAUUUGAAAAUUUGCUCGCAUUUUACAAAAAAUGUUUCCAUUUUCAAAAAAAAUUCACGUGCACAAAAAAUCUUCAGAAUUUUAAAAUUGUUCUCAUGUUCAAAAAAAAUUUCUGCAUUUCAAAAGUUGUACCUGUUUUCAAAAUAUGUUCACCAAUUUAAAAAUGUUUGUGUUUUCCAAAAUUGUUCUGAAAUUUGAAAAUUUGUUCACGUUUUACAAAAAAGGUUUCCAUUUAAUUUUUUGUUCACGUACGGGAAAAUUAUUCAGGAUUUUCAAGUUGAUCUAAAAUUCAAAAUUUUGUUCUGUAAUUUCAAAAAAGUGUUUGCAGUUUUUAAGUAAUGCUCAAUUUAUGCCGGUAUUUUUAGUUCAUUUGACUUCGAGCCGAAUAUUUGCCAUGAAGGCUUGAUCGGUGUGGUGGCUAGCUAGAUGCGUACACAUACGGGAGGUCUAUAGUUCAAAUUCUAGCUCAGGCACAAUUUUCUUUGUACGAAUUUUUGCUCGCGCGACUUCAAUCCUAACGGGCCGGCCCAGUCGCGCGAAUCCUCUGCGAAAGGAUGACAGGAAAGGAUAAAGGCUAUUUCCGUGGGCCUGUUAAACUGAUGGCCCGGACUGGAUUUUGGGUAUAACUCUCAUUUGUUAAUAUCUAUGCUUUGGGCCCCUUUUUUUUUCUCUCUUCCUGACUUUUAACCGCCCGACCAAGAGCGGGGUUCCUAUACGGGGCAGAUCCUAUUUGACGCCCGCAGGCGUCAAAAGGAUGUGGCUCCGCUGAAGCCUGGCCACCCGACGCCCCAGUUUCGGCCGGCCCACGGUCGGCUGCUUUUUCUUUCUUUUUCUGUUUCUUUCAUUUUUGUUUUUCUGUUUCUAUUUCUUUCCCGUGUUUUGUUUCUUUCUUUUUGCAUAUUAUACACAUUUCGUUGCAUAUUAUGUACAAACAUGUUCAUCGUAUAUUUAAGAAAAUGUUCGUUAUGUAUUUUGAAAUUAUUCAACAUAUAUUCACAAAAAUGUUCAAUGAGUAUUUAAAUAUUGUUCAGCGUAUAUCACCAAAAUGUUCAAUGUGUAUUUAAAUAUUUGUUCAGCAUACAUUAAAAAUGUUCAGUGUGUAUUUAAAAAUUAUUCAACAUAUGUCAAAAAACGUUCAAUGUAUAUUUAAAAAGUGUUCAUCAUUUGAAAUGUCAAUUUUUUGUUCAUGUUUUCAAUAAAUGUUCGUUUUUAAAAGUUUGAUAAAAUUUCUAAAAAAAUCAAUAUUUCAAACGUUAUGAAAAAAAAUAAGAAAAAUGUUCAUUUUCCCCAAGAAAUGUUGAAAAGUUUGAAAAAAGAAACGGACCUGCUAUUGUAUAUGGUAGUUUAAUUGAUCAGGCGAUAUAUAUUGGUUCUUAAAGUUGGGCGCUGAAAAUCUAGCAGUAGUACGUGUCGGUUUUAUUGGUUUGGACUAGCUAUACACUAGUCAGAGAUAACGAGAUCGAGCUCUCUUUGUGGCGCAACAGUUUUCUGGUGAUAUUUUUUUACGUGCCUGGAUUUCGCUAGGUCCAACUGGGCCGGCCCGUUCGCGGUUCUGUUCAGCGAAGGGUCGACAGCUUGACGCUCGCGGGCGUCAUACAGGAGCUCCCCCUUUUAGGUUAGCAAUCCGGAUAAGCUUCACUACAAAAAUACUUCUCCAUGGGUAGGUUUAAAGAGCUCCCACAUGUUGGGGAACGUAGCAGAAAUUUAAAAAAAUUCUACGCAUCACCAAGAUCAAUCCAUGGAGUCAUCUAGCAACGAGGGGAAGAGGAGUGCAUCUACAUACCCUUGUAGAUCGCGAGCGAAAGCGUUGAAGAGAACGGGGUUGAUGGAGUCGUACUCGUCGUGAUCCGAAUCACCGAUGACCGAGCGCCGAACGGACGGCAUCUCCGCGUUCAACACACGUACGGUUGGGAGAGACGUCUCCUCCUUCUUGAUCCAGCAAGGGGAGAGGAGAGGUUGAUGGAGAUCUAGCAGCACGACGGCGUGGUGGUGGAAGCAGCGGGAUCUCGGCAGGGCUUCGCCAAGCACCAACGAGAGGGAGAGGUGUCACGGAGGGAGAGGGAGGCGCCAGGGACUUGGGUGCGGCUGCCCUCCCUCCCCUCCACUAUAUAUAGGGGCUAGGGGGUGCCGGCCCCUCUAGAUCCCAUCUAGAUGGAGGGGCGGCAGCCAAGGGGUGGCUUGGCCCCCAAGCCAAGUGGAGGCGCCCCCCACCCCUAGGGUUUCUAACCCUAGGCGCAGGGGGAGGCCCAAGGGGGGUGCACCAGCCCGCCAGGGGUUGGUUCCCUUCCCACAUUCAGCCCAUGGGGCCCUCCGGGAUAGGUGGCCCCACCCGGUGGACCCCCGGGGCCCUUUUGGUGGUCCCGGUACAAUAUUGGUGACCCCCGAAACCUUCCUGGUGGCCGAAAAUGGUCUUCCUAUAUAUAAAUCUUUACCUCCGAACCAUUCCGGAACUCCUCGUGAUGUCUGGGAUCUCAUUCAGAACUCCGAACAACUUUUGGGUUACCGCAUACUAACAUCUCUACAACCCUAGCGUCACCGAACCUUAAGUGUGUAGACCCUACGGGUUCGGGAACCAUGCAGACAUGACCGAGACAACUCUCCGGCCAAUAAGCAACAGCGGGAUCUGGAUACCCAUGUUGGCUCCCACAUAUUCCAUGAUGAUCUCAUCGGAUGAACCAGGAUGUCGAGGAUUUAAUCAAUCCCGUAUUCAAUUCCCUUUGUCAAUCGGUAUGUUGCUUGCCCGAGAUUCGAUCAUCGGUAUCCCAAUACCUUGUUCAAUCUCGUUACCGGCAAGUCACUUUACUAGUUCUGUAACACAUCAUCCUGUGACCAACUACUUAGUCACACUGAGCUCAUUAUGAUGAUGCAUUACCGAGUGGGCCCAGAGAUACCUCUCCGUCAUACGGAGUGACAAAUCCCAGUCUCGAUUCAUGCCAAUCCAACAGACACUUUCGGAGAUACCUGUAGUGUACCUUUAUAGCCACCCAGUUACGUUGUGACGUUUGGCACACCCAAAGCACUCCUACGGUAUCCGGGAGUUGCACAAUCUCAUGGUCUAAGGAAAUGAUACUUGACACUUAGAAAAGCUCUAGCAGACGAACUACACGAUCUUGUGCUAUGCUUAGGAUUGGGUCUUGUCCAUCACAUCAUUCUCCUAAUGAUGUGAUCCCGUUAUCAAUGACAUCCAAUGUCCAUGGUCAGGAAACCGUAACCAUCUAUUGAUCAACCAGCUAGUCAACUAGAGGCUUACUAGGGACAUGUUGUGGUCUAUAUAUUCACACAUGUAUUACGAUUUCCGGAUAACACAAUUAUAGCAUGAACAAUAGACAAUUAUCAUGAACAAGGAAAUAUAAUAAUAACCAUUUUAUUAUUGCCUCUAGGGCAUAUUUCCAACAGUCUCCCACUUGCACUAGAGUCAAUAAUCUAGUUACAUUGUGAUGAAUCGAACACCCAUAGAGUUCUGGUGUUGAUCAUGUUUUGCUCGAGGGAGAGGUUUAGUCAAUGGAUCUGCAACAUUCAGGUCCGUAUGCACUUUACAAAUAUCUAUGUCUCCAUUUUGAACAUUUUCAUGAAUGGAGUUGAAGCGACGCUUGAUAUGCCUGGUCUUCUUGUGAAACCUGGGCUCCUUGGCAAGGGCAAUAGCUCCAGUGUUGUCACAGAAGAGACUCAUCGGGCCCGACGCAUUGGGAAUAACUCCUAGGUCGGUAAUGAACUCCUUCACCCAGAUUGCUUCUUGUGUUGCCUUCGAGGCUGCCAUGUACUCCGCUUCACAUGUAGAUCCCGCCACGAUGCUUUGCUUGCAACUGCACCAGCUGACUGCCCCUCCAUUCAAAAUAUAUACGUAUCCGGUUUGUGACUUGGAGUCAUCCAGAUUUGUGUCGAAGCUAGCAUCGACGUAACCCUUUACGACGAGCUCUUCGUCACCUCCAUAAACGAGAAACAUAUCCUUAGUCCUUUUCAGGUACUUCAGGAUAUUCUUGACCGUUGUCCAGUGUUCCAUGCCGGGAUUACUUUGGUACCUUCCUACCAAACUUACGGCAAGGUUUACAUCAGGUCUGGUACAUAGCAUGGCAUACAUGAUAUACCCUAUGGCCGAGGCAUAGGGGACGACACUCAUCUUUUCUCUAUCUUCUGCCGUGGUCGGGCAUUGAGCCGUGCUCAAUCUCGUACCUUGCAACAUAGGCAAGAACCCCUUCUUUGACUGAUCCGUAUUGAACUUCUUCAAUAUCUGGUCAAGGUACGUACUCUAUGAAAGACCAAUGAGGCGUCUCGAUCUAUCUCUAUAUCUUGAUGCCUAAUAUGUAAGCAGCUUUUCCAAGAUCCUUCAUUGAAAAACACUUGUUCAAGUAGGCCUUUAUGCUUUCCAAGAAUUCUAUAUCAUUUCCCAUCAAUAGUAUGUCAUCCACAUACAAUAUGAGAAAUGCUACAGAGCUCCCUGAUAGAGGCUAAGGUGUCCCGAUGUUUCGAUGAGAUGGUGGCUAUCGUUUUCUGUGGGAGUCGACCUUGACGAUCCGACUACGAAUGUGCGAGACGUCGCGCCUUAGCAAUCGCUAAACCAACUUCCGAGGGUUAUUGUGUUGGGUUUCGUAGUAAUUUCAAAAAAUUUCCUACGCACACGCAAGAUCAUGUGAUGCAUAGCAACGAGAGGGGAGAGUGUUGUCUAUGUACCCACGCAGACCGACUACGGAAGCAUUGACGCAACGUAGAGGAAGUAGUCGUACGUCUUCAUGAUCCAACCGAUCAAGCACCGAAACUACGGCACCUCCGAGUUCGAGCACACGUUCAGCUCGAUGACGAUCCCCGGACUCCGAUCCAGCAAAGUGUCGGGGAAGAGUUUCGUCAGCAUGACGGCGUGGUGAUGAUCUUGAUGCACUACAGCAGCAGGGCUUCGCCUAAACUCCGCUAAAGUAUUAUCGAGGAAUAUGGUGGCUGGGGGCACCGCACACGGCUAAGGAAUAGAUCACGUGGAUCAACUUGUGUCUUCUAGGGUGCCUCUACCUCAGUAUAUAAAGGACUAGUGGGGGGAGGCUGGCCGGCCAAGGGAGGGCGCGCCAGGAGAGUCCUACUCCCUCUGGGAGUAGGAUCCCCCCCCCAAUCCUAGUUGGAAUAGGAUUCCUUGAGGGGGGAAAGAGAGAGAGGGGGCCGGCCACCUCUCCUAGUCCUAAUAGGACUAGGGGAAGGGGGGAGGCGCAUAGCCAUCUUGGGUUGCCCCUUUCUCCUUUCCACUAAAGCCCACUAAGGCCCAUAUAGCUCCCGGGGGGGUUCCGGUAACCUCCCGGUACUCCGGUAAAAUCCCGAUUUCACCCGGAACACUUCCGAUAUCCAAACAUAGGCUUCCAAUAUAUCAAUCUUUACGUCUCGACCAUUUUGAGACUCCUCGUCAUGUCCGUGAUCACAUCCGGGACUCUGAACAACCUUCGGUACAUCAAAAUGCAUAAACUCAUAAUAUUACUGUCAUCGUAACCUUAAGCGUGCGGACCCUACGGGUUCGAGAACAAUGUAGACAUGACUGAGACACGUCUCCGGUCAAUAACCAAUAGCGGGACCUGGAUGCCCAUAUUGGCUCCUACAUAUUCUACGAAGAUCUUUAUCGGUCAGACCGCAUAACAACAUACGUUGUUCCCUUUGUCAUCGGUAUGUUACUUGCCCGAGAUUCGAUCGUCGGUAUCCAAUACCUAGCUCAAUCUCAUUACCGGCAAGUCUCUUUACUCGUUCCGUAAUACAUCAUCUCACAACUAACAUAUUAGUUGUAAUGCUUGCAAGGCUUAUGUGAUGUGCAUUACCAAGAGGGCCCAGAGAUACCUCUCCGACAAUCGGAGUGACAAAUCCUAAUCUCGAAAUACGCCAACCCAACACCUACCAUUGGAGACACCUGUAGAGCUCCUUUAUAAUCACCCAUUUACGUUGUGAUGUUUGGUAGCACACAAAGUGUUCCUCCGGUAAAUGGGAGUUGCAUAAUCUCAUAGUCAUAGGAACAUGUAUAAGUCAUGAAGAAAAGCAAUAGCAACAUACUAAACGAUCGGGUGCUAAGCUAAUGGAAUGGGUCAUGUCAAUCAGAUCAUUCAACUAAUGAUGUGACCUCGUUAAUCAAAUAACAACUCUUUGUUCAUGGUUAGGAAAUGUAACCAUCUUUGAUUAACGAGCUAGUCAAGUAGAGGCAUACUAGUGACACUCUGUUUGUCUAUGUAUUCACACAUGUAUUAUGUUUCCGGUUAAUACAAUUCUAGCAUGAAUAAUAAACAUUUAUCAUGAUAUAAGGAAAUAAAUAAUAACUUUAUUAUUGCCUCUAGGGCAUAUUUCCUUUCAUAUUGACCACGCCGGAGCACGAUCAACCUGACCACGAGGGUCUGUUUCCUGCGAGCAAAUGAAGAACAAGCAAGAAACUAAGAUUGCAAUCGGGAUAUUGUGAAUAUAAGAUGAAAGCUUUAUUGAUCAAGGUGGGGUUCUGUGACGUCUUGGUCUGGUCGUUGGACAUAAACGAAGUACGCGAAGUUGCAGCUAUGGCGAACUUUUAAUCUAAACAAAACCCAAAGUCUAAACGACGCCCUAAGGGAUGUAUAUAUGGAGAAAUAGGGGGCAAUUUCGUGGCCCUUGAGGGUGGGGUCCGAAACCAACCCUAACUCUUAUUUCCCCACACAUACGGACUCUAAAAAUAGCCUAUACUUAAGUAUUUCGAAAUUACAUGGGCCUGGCCCAUUAAUAAGGUGACGCAGCACCUAGAAUAGCCUAUGGACGAAUAUUAUGAAGUGGCAUCUUGUAUAUUUCGUCCAAGGCUUCAUGCACUCCUUAUGGCGGCUUCAAAGUCCUGAAAUCAUCACUUAUAACUCCGUUCUUGAUCCCCUUGCACAUGCCAUCAACUCCAUGCGUGUUCUUGCUCUAAUGUUCAUCCUUCUCCAAGUUAGGCCCUUCAUUUGUAAGCAAAACAAAUGUAUCCAAUUUAGGCAGCAUCAUAAUCUCAUGAACAUUAGAAUCAUUACCAAGAAACGUAAGUACCUGGUAAUUUAAUUGGCGUGCGCGAGCUCUAGUAAUUGGUCCAGUAUAUGUAACAGUAGGGGCUGUGGGUGUAACAAUGGUAUUGAUGUCCUCAUCAUCCUCCCCUUCUUGAAAUGAAGUCGUCCUCGACGGAAGCGCAUCUUCCUCACCCAAAUAAGGCUUCAAAUCUGCAAUGUUAAAAGUGGGACUAACCCCAAAAUCUACAGGUAGCUCAAGUUUAUAUGCAUUAUCAUUUAUUUUCUCUAACACCUUAAAAGGACCAUCAGCACGUGGCAUUAGCUUUGAUUUGCGCAGAUUAGGAAAUCUAUCUUUACGCAAAUGUAACCAAACAAGAUCUCCAGGUGCAAACACAACAUGUUUUCUACCCUUAUCUCCAGCAAGUUUAUAUUUAGCACUCAUACGCUCAAUGUUUUCCUUAGUUAACUCAUGCAUUUUUACAAUCAAUUCAGAACAUUCUUUAGCAUCAAAAUUAACCUUCUCUGAAGAUGGAAGAGGCGACAAAUCAAUAGGUGCACGAGGUAGGAAACCAUACACAAUUUCAAAAGGGCACAUCUUAGUAGUAGAAUGCAAUGAACGAUUAUAAGCAAAUUCAAUAUGAGGCAAGCAUUCUUCCCACAUUUUCUUGUUAUUCUUCAAAACAGCCCUAAGCAUAGUAGACAAUGUUCUAUUGACUACCUCAGUUUGUCCAUCAGUUUGGGGGUGACAAGUAGUACUAAAAAGCAGCUUAGUCCCCAACUUAGCCCAUAAACAUCUCCAAAAGUGGCUAAGAAAUUUAGUAUCACGAUCUGAAACAAUAGUAUUUGGCACACCAUGUAAGCGAAUAAUUUCACGAAAGAACAAAUCAGCAACAUUAACAGCAUCAUCGCUUUUAUGACAUGGUAUAAAGUGUGCCAUUUUCGAGAACCUAUCCACGACAACAAAUAUGCUAUCCCUCCCCUUCUUUGUUCGAGGUAAACCUAAAACAAAGUCCAUAGAUAUAUCAUCCCAAGGAACACUAGGUACAGGCAAAGGCAUAUAUAAACCAUGAGGAUUGAGUCAUGACUUAGCUCUUUGACAUGUAGUGCAGCGAGUAACAAAACGCUCAAUAUCCCGUCUCAUCUUUGACCAAAAGAAAUGUGUAGCAAGUAUAUCCUCCGUCUUCUUGACGCCAAAGUGUCCCAUUAAUCCUCCUCCAUGCGCCUCCUGCAACAACAAAAGACGAACGGAGCUAGCUGGAAUGCAUAGCUUGUUAGCACGAAACACAAAUUCAUCAUUAAGAACGAACUUGUUCCAAGUUCUCCCUUCCUUACAAUUCCGCAAUACAUCUUUAAAUUCAGCAUCAUGAACAUAUUGAUCUUUGAUGGUCUCCAAACCAAAUAUUUUAAAGUCAAGUUGUGAAAGCAUAGUAUAACGACGAGACAAGGCAUCAGCAAUAACAUUUUCUUUACCCUUCUUGUGUUUAAUAACAUAAGGGAAAGUCUCAAUGAAUUCAACCCAUUUAGCAUGUCUACGGUUCAGUUUUGCUUGACUUUUAAUGUGUUUCAAAGAUUCAUGAUCAGAAUGUAUAACAAAUUCCUUGGGCCAUAAAUAAUGUUGCCAUGUUUCUAAGGUUCGAACAAGAGUAUAUAAUUCUUUAUCAUAAGUAGAAUAGUUCAGACUAGGCCCACUCAAUUUUUCAGAAAAGUAUGCAACAGGUUUUCCAUCUUGUAAUAACACACCUCCUAAUCCAAUUCCACUAGCAUCACAUUCAAGCUCAAAAGUCUUAUUGAAAUUAGGAAGUUGGAGUAAAGGAGCAUGUGUCAACUUAUCUUUCAAUACCGUGAAAGCUUCUUCCUGUGCGGUACCCCAAACAAAAGGCACAUCCUUCUUUGUAAGCUCGUUGAGACGUGCAGCAAUGGUGCUGAAAUCUCUCACAAAACGCCUAUAGAAACCAGCGAGGCCAAGGAAACUCCUCACUUGUGUGACCGUUUUGGGCUGCGGCCAACUCUCAAUAGCUUCAAUCUUGGCUUUAUCAACUUCAAUUCCCUGUGGAGUAACAACAUAGCUAAGAAAAGAUACUCGGUCGGUGCAAAAAGUGCACUUUCCAAGGUUUCCAAACAAACGUGCAUCACGUAGAGCAACAAAAACAGCACGUAAAUGUUCCAAAUGUUCCUCCAAAGAUUUGUUAUAAAUCAAUAUGUCAUCAAAGUAAACUACCACAAAUCGUCCAAUGAAAGCACGUAAAACUUCGUUCAUUAACCUCAUGAAAGUACUAGGUGCAUUAGUUAACCCAAAAGGCAUGACUAACCACUCAUAUAAUCCAAACUUAGUUUUAAAUGUUGUUUUCCAUUCAUCACCCAAUUUCAUACGAAUUUGAUGGUAUCCACUACGCAAAUCAACUUUGGAGAAUAUUGUAGAGCCACUCAAUUCAUCAAGCAUAUCAUCUAGCCUAGGAAUAGGAUGACGAUAACGAAUAGUAAUAUUAUUAAUGCCUCUACAAUCAACGCACAUACACGACGUAACAUCCUUUUUCGACACUAAAAUGAUAGGAACAGCACAAGGACUAAGGGAUUCGCGUAUAUAACCUUUGUCGAGCAGUUCUUGUACUUGACGCAUAAUCUCCUUCGUCUCCUCUGGAUUAGUACGGUAUGGUGCACGGUUGGGUAGCGAAGCACCGGGAAUUAAGUCAAUUUGAUGCUCAAUCCCUCGAAUAGGUGGUAAUCCCGGUGGCACGUCUUGUGGAAAGACGUCAGCGAACUCCUGCAAAAUGUUAGUGACAGCAGGGGGCAAAGAGGAAGGCACGUCCUCGAAUGAAAAUAAUGCCUCUUUGCACACAAAAGCAUAGCAAACAGAUUUGCUAAAAUCUAGCUCAUCAAUAUCAGAUUUGGUGGCAAGUAAACAUGCACUUUUCAAUUUAAUUUCAGAAACAACAGUAGAUGAUUUAUUAUUAGGCUUCAUUUGGUGCUCAAAUUCUUUUGCCACAAUCUGAUUUUCACUCUUAUUUGUCUCCUGUUUUGCUUUAUUAGCUCUAUUAAUAUCAUCUUUUAAAAUGGAAUCAGGAGUCAUAGGAAGCAAAGUAAUAUUUUUAUCGUUAUGAACAAGAGUAUACUGAUUGUUUCUACCAUGGUGUAUAGAUUUUUUAUCAAAUUGCCAUGGUCUACCAAGUAAUAAGGAACAUGCUUGCAUAGGUACCACAUCACAAUCAACAUAAUCAGCAUAUGUAGAGAUACUAAAAUGCACACGAACAGUACGUGUUACCUUAACCUUGCCGUUGUUGUUGAACCAUUGGAUGUAGUAAGGAUGUGGAUGUGGUCUUGUGGUGAGAGAUAGCUUCUCCACCAUCUCCAUGCUAGCCAAGUUAUUGCAGCUCCCUCCAUCUAUGAUCACGCGAACAGAAUGUUCCUUCACGACUCCCUUUGUAUGGAACAAAUUAUGCCUCUGAUUUUGCUCAGCUUGUGUAACCUGCACACUCAAAACACGUUGAGCAACUAAACAUUCAUACAUGUCAGCAUCUUCAGGAGCCAUGUAUUGCGUCUCAUGAUCACAAUCGUCUCCACCGUGUUCUUCACGUGUAAUAAGAGCCAAAGUCUCCUCAUCAUAGUCACUAGCGGACUCAUACCCACCAUCCUCAGUAACAAUCAUCACACGCUUAGAUGGGCAUUCUCUCGCAUAAUGACCUCCACCCUUGCAACAUCGACAAAUAAUAUCAUGUGUUUGCCCUGUUGAUGCCAUGGAUGAAGAAGAGCUCUUUGCAGGCCCAAAAGGUGUGCUCUUGGCAGAUAGUGGUGAUUGUGCCUGCUUUAUUGUAUCACGGUUGGAGGUGGCAGCCGACGGAGGCGCCGGUGUAGCAGAACGUGUGGAAGUAGAUGAUGCACGUGGUGUCCAUGAUGAAGGUCGACCUGCAGAAAAGUUAGUCCGCGCCAAUGCAUGUCGAUCCUGCACUUCACGUUCAGCUUUACAAGCAAGAUGGAAUAAACGAGUGAUAUUAGUAUACUCCUUAUACUCUAGAAUCGUCUGAAUCUCUCUAUUUAAUCCACCCAUAAAACGUGCAAGCAUAGCUUCAUUCUCCUCAACAAUACCACAUCUAAUCAUGCCAGUUUGUAAUUCCUGAUAAUAUUCUUCUACAGAAUUUUUUCCCUGUCUUAAGCGCUGCAAUUUUUGAAGUAAUUCACGUUGAUAAUAUGGUGGAACCCAACGAAUACGCAUAGCAGUUUUCAAAGCAGCCCAAGUAGCCGGAAUAGGAUAUAAUCUACAAUGCUCAGACCACCAAACACAUGCAAAACUAGUGAAUGCACAAACAGCAGCAGGAACACAUCUCUCCUCGGGAUAUUGUAAACAUGUAAAUCGUUGUUCAGUUUCUAACUCCCAAGUAAGAUAUAUAUCAGGAACAUAUCUACCCUCAAAUGGUGGAAUAUUCAAUUUUAGUUUAGGGAGAUGGUCAUGAUCUCGUACCUGAGGGUGAGCCCUACCAUUGCCAUUAUUUGCAUGUGGACGGCCUGGUGGUUGCUGUGCUGGUGGUGGCACGUAGUUCUGAUUUUGAUCAACCUCAUCCUCAUAAUCUCCCACAUAAUCAUCCUCCUCCACAUCAGCAGUAGGAGCCACAGAAGUAUCAACAGCAGCACCAGCAGUUUGGCCCGACUGAAGAGGGACAUGGCUCGCUCGGCGGAGGGCUGUUUCCCGACAUGGAGGUAGUCGAUGUUGUUGCUGUUGUUGCAGAGGUGCGGCAGGAGCAGCCGGUGGUGGUGGUGGAAAACGCGAAAGCAAUUCAGCAAACUUGUUAUCGAGCUUUGUUUCAAACGUCUUCUCCAUGCCAUCUAUCUUCUCCAUGGCCUCUUCAAAUCUGUUUAUCACAUCUUGCACUUGUCCACUCAUCAUUUGCUGAAACGUAUCAUGAAGCUCCUUGUUCGUCAAGUUCUCCCAGUCAGUCUCGUCGACUUGUGAUCCUGGCAUGGUUAGCAGCAAUAGAAACACACACGAAGAUGAUCCUACAGACUACUAACAAGUGGUGGUGGUGGCGGGUGUCACAAAUCCGUCAAGCAAAUCUCAAAUUCUUACCAGUUUUUACCCAGCAGCAGGCGGUGAUCGGCAACCGUUGUAGUCAAAACUCUCAAAAGCUUGGAUAGAGCGAUUGCCAGGGAGAGUCAAACGCACGACUUAGAUGUAUGUGGAGCUGGGAAGGCUUAUAGUAUGGUAGCAAAAAAAGGCCAGCAAUAAUCAAUUCAGAGAUGCAAAGUUGAAUAAACGCUCAACAACGGUACUGUGCUGGUCCUAGGCUAGACUGUGCUAGAGACACGAGCCUAGAACACUAACAAAAUCACGGCGCUGCACGUAAAUAAGGGAAAAGCACACUCUGGAACUCUUUUUUUUCGCUCUUUUUUUUCCGCUCCUUUUUUUUUGCGCUCCUCUUUUUUUUUGCGAAAAAUCACUAUAAUGGCGAGUGUCUCAAAACUCUUCCCUCGUCAAACUGAUAGGAUGGGCACGGAAUUUUUUUUUCACUUUUUUUCGGAAAUCAGGGCAGCGACGACGAAAAAGUGCAACAAAAAAUCACUAUGAUGGCACGUGGCUCAAAAGACUCAGAAAAGCCUAAAAAUAGGAUAGGGAAAAAAAUUGCCCGUGAAAAUUUUGGCCUAAAAACUGCCCGGGGAUCUCCAGACUCUUUUUUUUGAGACCUACGCAGGCAAGGAAACACGAAACGGAAUUUAGAUUAAUCUCAAGAACAAACCUAAUAUGAGAAGAACUCGGAUUGGUGGUGGAUAUAUGGUUGUGGUAUAUGGCAGCGGUGGUGGUAUAUGGUAGCGGUGGUGGUAUAUGGAUACAGAUUGGUGGUGGUAUAUGGAUACAGAUUGGUGGUGGUAUAUGGAUAUGGAUUCAGAGCGGUGGCGGAUAAGCAAAAGUGGUAGAUGGGCGAUGAUGAUGGUGCGGCGGCGUGACAACUUAUGACCAGAACUCGAAACUCUAAAAGACUAGACUCUAAGACCAGCAACUUGACACGACGAUGCAACCGCAAAUUUAGCAAAGCAAAAACCCUAAAAAGAUUAUGCAAAGGCUCAGAUUGGUUCGGAUAUGAUGAACUAACCCUAAUUUUUUUUUCUGGCUUUUUCGUGGACUGUAGGUAUGAAGAACAGACUCGAUCUAAUCUAUGAAAAACUAUAAAAUCUCACCGAGCAACCUGGAAAUCUGAUACCACUUGAUAGAGGCUAAGGUGUCCCGAUGUUUCGAUGAGAUGGUGGCUAUCGUUUUCUGUGGGAGUCGACCUUGACGAUCCGACUAUGAACGUGCAAGACGUCGCGCCUUAGCAAUCGCUAAACCAACUUCCGAGGGUUAUUGACCACGCCGAAGCACGAUCAACCUGACCACGAGGGUCUGUUUCCUGCGAGCAAACGAAGAACAAGCAAGAAACUGAGAUUGCAAUCGGGAUAUUGCGAAUAUAAGAUGAAAGCUUUAUUAAUCAAGGUGGGGUUCUGUGACGUCUUGGUCUGGUCGUUGGACACAAACGAAAUACGCGAAGUUGCAGCUAUGGCGAACUUUUAAUCUAAACAAAACCCAAAGUCUAAACGACGCCCUAAGGGCUGUAUAUAUGGAGGAAGAGGGGGGAAUUUCGUGGCCCUUGAGGGUGGGGUCCAAAACCAACCCUAACUCUUGUUUCCCCACACAUACGGACUCUAAAAAUAGCCUAUACUUAAGUAUUUCGAAAUUACAUGGGCCUGGCCCAUUAAUAAAGUGACGCAGCACCUAGAAUAGCCUACGGACGAAUAUUAUGAAGUGGCAUCUUGUAUAUUUCGUCCAAGGCUUCAUGCACUCCUUAUGGCGGCUUCAAAGUCCUGAAAUCAUCACUUAUAACUCCGUUCUUGAUCCCCUUGCGCAUGCCAUCAACUCCAUGCGUGUUCUUGCUCCAAUGUUCAUCCUUCUCCAAGCUAGGCCCUUCAUUUGUAAGCAAAACAAAUGUAUCCAAUUUAGGCAGCAUCAUAAUCUCAUGAACAUUAGAAUCAUUACCAAGAAACGAAAGUACCUGGUAAUUUAAUUGGCGUGCGCGAGCUCUAGUAAUUGGUCCAGUAUAUGUAACAGUAGGGGUUGUGGGUGUAACAAUGGUAUUGAUGUCCUCAUCACUCCCACUCACUUUCUUGUAAACGCAGGCUUCUCCAUAAGUCUGUGUAAACCCAAACGCUUUGAUCAUCUCAUCAAAAUGAAUGUUCCAACUCCGAGAUGCUUGCACCAGCCCAUAGAUUGAGCGUUGGGGCUUGCACACCUUGUCAGCAUUCUUAGGAUCGACAAAACCUUCUGGUUGCAUCAUAUACAAUUCUUCCGUGAGGAAACCAUUAAGGAAUGUCGUUUUGACGUCCAUUUGCCAUAUCUCAUAAUCAUAGAAUGGGGCAAUUGCUAACAUGAUUCGGACGGACUUCAGCUUCGCUACGGGUGAGAAAGUCUCAUCGUAGUCAACCCCUUGAACUUGUCAAUAACCCUUAGCGACAAGCCGAGCUUUAUAGAUGGUCACAUUACCAUCCGCGUCUGUCUUCUUCUUAAAGAUCCAUUUAUUUUCUAUGGCUCGUCGAUCAUCGGGCAAGUCAGUCAAAGUCCAUACUUCGUUUUCAUACAUGGAUCCUAUCUCGGAUUUCAUGGCUUCCAGCCAUUUGUCGGAAUCUGGGCCCGCCAUCGCUUCUUCAUAGUUCGAAGGUUCACCAUUGUCUAACAACAUGAUUUUCAGGACAGGGUUGCCGUACCACUCUGGUGCGGAAUGUGUCCUUGUGGACCUACGAAGUUCAGUAGCAACUUGAUCUGAAGUUUCAUGAUCAUCAUCAUUAACUUCCUCUCUAGUCGGUGCAGGCACCUCAGGAACAUUUUCUUGAGCUCCACCACUUUCCGGUUCAAGAGGCAAUACUUCAUCAAGUUCUACUUUCCUCCCACUUACUUCUUUCGAGAGAAACUCUUUCUCUAGAAAGGAUCCAUUCUUGGCAACAAAGAUCUUGCCUUCGGAUCUGAGGUAGAAGGUAUACCCAAUAGUUUCUUUAGGGUAUCCUAUGAAGACGCAUUUUUCCAAUUUGGGCUCGAGCUUUUCAGGUUGAAGUUUCUUCACAUAAGCAUCGCAUCCCCAAACUUUUAGAAACGACAGCUUAAGUUUCUUCCCAAACCAUAAUUCAUACGGUGUCGUCUCAACGGAUUUCGAUGGAGCCCUAUUUAAAGUGAAUGCGGCAGUCUCUAAAGCAUAGCCCCAAAAUGACAGCGGUAGAUCGGUAAGAGACAUCAUAGAUCGCACCAUAUCCAAUAGAGUGCGAUUACGACGUUCGGACACACCAUUACGCUGAGGUGUUCCAGGCGGCGUGAGUUGUGAAAUUAUUCCACAUUUCCUUAAGUGCGUGCCAAAUUCGUGGCUCAAGUAUUCUCCCCCACGAUCUGAUCGCAAGAACUUGAUUUUCCUGUCACGUUGAUUCUCAACCUCACUCUGAAAUUCCUUGAACUUUUCAAAGGUCUCAGACUUGUGUUUCAUUAAGUAGACAUACCCAUAUCUACUCAAGUCAUCAGUGGGGGUGAGAACAUAACGAUAGCCACCGCGAGCCUCAACACUCAUUGGACCGCACACAUCAGUAUGUAUGAUUUUCAAUAAGUUGGUUGCUCACUCCAUUGUUCCGGAGAACGGAGUCUUGGUCAUUUUGCCCAUGAGGCAUGGUUCGCACGUGUCAAAUGAUUCAUAAUCAAGAGACUCCAAAAGUCCAUCUGCAUGGAGUUUCUUCAUGCGUUUGACACCAAUGUGACCAAGGUGGCAGUGCCACAAGUAUGUGGGACUAUCAUUAUCAACCUUACAUCACGUUCGAGAUUAAAUAAGAAUAAACCAUUGACCAGCGGGGCAUGACCAUAAAACAUAUCUCUCAUAUAAAUAGAACAACCAUUAUUCUCGGAUUUAAAUGAGUAGUCAUCUCGUAUUAAACGAGAUCCUGAUACAAUGUUCAUGCUCAAAGCUGGCACUAAAUAACAAUUAUUGAGGUUUAAAACUAAUCCCGUAGGUAAAUGCAGAGGUAACGUGCCGACGGCGAUCACAUCGACCUUGGAACCAUUCCCGACGCGCAUUGUCACCUCGACCUUGGAACCGUUCUUGAGGUCACAGGAGAAAUCAUGUUGCAAGUAAUCAUGUGAAUUUGAUAUGUGCUCUAUAUUUUGAUAGUAUGUAUGUUGUGAUUCCCUUAGUGGUGUCAUGUGAACGUCGACUACAUGACACUUCACUAUAUUUGGGCCUAAGGGAAUGCAUUAUGGAGUAGCAAUUAGAUGAUGGGUUGCGAGAGUGACAGGAACUUAAACCCCAGUUUAUGCGCUAUUCUGUAAGGGACCGAUUGGAUCCAAAAGUUUAAUGCUAUGGUUAGAAUUUAUUCUUAAUACUUUUCUCGUAGUCGCGGAUGCUUGUGGGAGACUUAAUUAUAAGUAGGAGGUUUGUUCAAGUAAGAACAACACCUAAGCACCGGUCCACCCACAUAUCAAAUUAUCAAAGUACCGAACACGAAUUAAACCAACAUGAUGAAAGUGACUAGAUGAAAUUCCCGUGUACCCUCAAGAACGCUUUGCUCAUCAUAAGAGGCUGUUUUGGCGUGUCCUUUGCCUCAAAAGGAUUGGGCUACCUUGCUGAACUUUUGUUACUACUAUCGUUACUUGCUCGUUACAAAUUAUCUUGCUAACAAACUACUAUGUUACUUACAAUUUCAGCACUUGCAGACAUCUCCUUGCUGAAAACUACUUGUCAUUUCCUUCUGCUCCUCGUUGGGUUCGACACUCUUACCUAUCGAAAAGAGCUAAAAUUGAUCCCCUAUACUUGUGGGUCAUCAAGGUUAUUUUCUGGCGUCGUUGCCAAGGAGUGAAGUGCCUUUGGUAAGUGGAUUUUGGUAAGGAAACAUUUAUAUAGUGUGCUGAAAUUUAUUGCCACUUAUUACUAUGGAAAACAAUCCUUUGAGGGGUUUGUUCAGGGUAUCUUCACCUCGUCCGGAACCACAAUUAGCUACCCCACAACCUACUGCACCUUCUGAAAAUAUUGAAUAUUAAAUUCCUUCGGGUAUGAUAGAACAACUGCUAGCUAAUCCUUAUGCAGGAGAUGGAACCGAACAUCCUGAUAUGCACUUGAUAUAUGUGGAACAAAUUUGUGGAUUGUUUAAGCUUGCAGGUUUACCCGGAGAUAAAGUUAUGAAAAAGGUUUUCCCUUUAUCUUUGAAGGGAAAACCAUUGGGGUGGUAUAGGCUAUGCGAUGAUAUUAGAUCUUGGAAUUGGAAUCGUUUGAAAUUGGAGUUCCGUCAAAAAUUUUAUCCUAAGCAUCUAGUUCAUCGUGAGCAGAAUUAUAAUUUUUGGCCUCGUGAAGGAGAAAGUAUCACUCUAUCUUGGGGAGGCUUAAGUCAAUGUUAUAUUCAUGCCCCAAUCAUGAGCUCUCAAGAGAAAUUGUUGUGUAGAAUUUUUAUGCUCGGCUUUCUCGUAAUGAUCAAACCAUGCUUGAUACUUCUUGUGUUGGUUCCUUUAUGAAGAAGACUAUUGAAUUUCGGUGGGAUCUUUUGGAAAGAAUUAAACACAACUCUAAAGGUUGAGAACUCGAAAAGGUAAAGAGUCAGGUAUUAAACUUAAGUAUGAUUGUGUCAAAUCUUUUAUGGAUACCGAUGCUUUUCAAAAGUUUAGCACUAAAUAUGGACUUGACUCUGAGAUAGUAGCCUCCUUUUGUGAAUCAUUUGCUACUCAUGUUGAACUCCCUAAGGAGAAGUGGUUUAAAUAUCACCCACCUAUUAAAGAAGAAACUAAAGAACCAGUACUAGUUAAAGAAGAACCAUACUUUAUAAUGUUGACCCAGUUGUUCCUUCUGCUUAUAUUGAGAAACCACGUUUCCCUAUUAGGAUAAAGGAACAUGCUAAAGUUUCAACUGUGGUUAACAAAAGCUAUAUUAGAACACCUAAACCUGAUGAACAAAUUAAAUUAGAACCUAGUAUUGCUAUGGUUAAAGAUAUCUUAGAGGUAGAUAUGGAUAGGCAUGUUAUUUACUUCUGUGAAGAAGCUGCUAGAAUUGCCAAACCUGAUAAAAAGGAUAAACAUAGACCUAUUGUUGGCAUGUCUAUCAUCUCAAUUAAAAUAGGAGAUCACUGUUAUCAUGGUUUAUGUGACAUAGGUGCUAGUAUGAGUGUUAUUCCCUACACAUUAUAUCAAGAAAUUAUGAAUGACAUAGCACCCGUAGAGAUAGAAGAAAUUGAUGUUACUAUUAAACUUGCUAAUAGAGACACUAUAUCACCAAUUGGGAUUAUUAGAGAUGUUGAAGUCUUGUGUGGGAACAUAAAAUACCCUACUGAUUUUCUUGUUCUUGGUUCCCCACAAGAUGACUUUUUUCCCACUAUCUUUGGUAGACCUUUCUUGAACACCGUUAAUGCUAGAAUAGAUUGUGAGAAACAAACUUUCGGUGUUAGUUUUGGUAAUGAGUCUCAUGAGUUUAAUUUUUCCAAGUUUAGUAGAAAUCUUCAUGAAAAAUAAUUGCCCAGUACGGAUGAAUUAAUUGGUCUUGCUUCUAUUGUUGUACCACCUACUGAUCCUUUAGAACAAUAUUUGCUAGACCAUGAAAAUGAUUUACAUAUGCAUGAAAUAGAUAAAAUUUUCUUUGAACAACGUCCUCUGCUUAAACACAAUUUGCCUAUUGAAACUCUAGGAGGUCCUCCUCCACCUAAAGGUGACCCUGUGUUUGAAUUAAAACAAUUGCCAGACACUUCGAAAUAUGCUUAUCUUGAUGAAAAGAAGAUAUAUCAUGUUAUUAUUAGUGCUAACCUUUUAGAACAUGAAGAAGAAAGAUCAUUGAAAGUUCUAAGGAAGCACCGAGCUGCCAUUGGAUGUACUCUUGAUGAUUUAAAGGGCAUUAGUCCCACUCUAUGUCAGCACAAAAUUAAUAUGGAACCUGAUGCUAAACCCAUUGUUGAUCACCAACGUCGGUUAAAUCCAAAGAUGAAAGAAGUGGUAAGAACGGAAAUAUUAAAACUUCUAGAAGCAGGUAUAAUCUAUCCCAUAGUUGAUAGUAGAUGGGUAAGUCGUGUUCAUUGUGUUCCUAAGAAAGGAGGUAUAACUAUUGUUCCUAAUGAUAAGAAUGAACUUAUUCCACAAAAAAUUGCUACAAGCUACAAAAUGGUAAUUGAUUUUAGAAAAUUAAAUAAAGCAACUAGAAAAGAUCAUUACCCCUUUGCCUUUUAUUGAUCAAAUGCUUGAAAGAUUAUCUAAGCACACACACUUUUGCUUCCUUGAUGGAUAUUCUGGCUUUUCACAAAUACCUGUUUCUCAACCUGAUCAAGAAAAGACCACUUUUACUUGUCCCUUUGGAACCUAUGCUUAUAGACGUAUGCCUUUUGGUUUAUGUAAUGCACAUGCUACCUUUCAAAGAUGUAUGACUGCUAUAUUCUCUGACUUUUAUGAAAAGAUUGUUGAGGUUUUCAUGAAUGACUUUUCUGUUUAUGGGAAGUCUUUUGAUGAUUGUUUAAGCAAUCUUGAUCGAGUUUUGCAGAGAUGUGAACAAACAAAUCUUGUCUUGAAUUGGGAGAAGUGCCACUUUAUGGUUAAUGAAGGCAUUGUCUUGGGUCAUAAAAUUUCUGAAAGAGGUAUUGAAGUGGACCAAGCUAAGGUUGAUGCAAUUGAGAAAAUGUCGUGUCCUAAAGAUAUAAAAGGUAUUCAUAGUUUCUUAGGUCAUGUUGGUUUCUAUAGGAGAUUUAUCAAGGACUUUUCAAAAAAUUCUAGGCCUCUCACUAAUCUCUUGUAAAAGGAUAUUCCCUUUGUUUUUGAUGAUGAUUGUUUAGAAGCCUUUGAAACACUUAAGAAAGCUUUAAUUUCUGCACCUAUUGUUCAACCACCUGACUGGAACUUGCCUUUUGAAAUUAUGUGUGAUGCUAGUGAUUAUGCUGUUGGUGCUGUUCUAGGACAAAGAGUUGAUAAGAAACUAAAUGUUAUUCAUUAUGCUAGUAAAACUCUAGACAGUGCUCAAAGAAAUUAUACUACUACUGAAAAAGAAUUCUUAGCAGUGGUGUUUGCUUGUCAUAAGUUUAGACCUUGCAUUGUUGAUUCCAAAGUAACUGUUCACACAGACCAUGCUGCUAUUAAAUAUCUUAUGAAAAAGAAAUAUGCCAAACAUAUACUUAUUUGAUGGGUUCUCUUAUUACAAGAAUUUGAUUUACAUAUCAUUGAUAGAAAAGGACCUGAGAACCUAGUAACUGAUAAUUUGUCUAGGCUUGAAAAUGUGCUUGAUGACCCACUACCUAUUGAUGAUAGUUUUCCUGAUGAGCAGAUAGCUGCAGUAAAUGUUUCUCAUGGUACUCCUUGGUAUGCUGACUAUGCUAAUUACAUUGUUGCUAAAUAUUUACCACCUACCUUUACAUACCAACAAAAGAAAAAAUCUUCCAUGAUUUAAGACAUUACUUUUGGGAUGACCCACACCUUUAUAAAGAAGGAGUAGAUGGUAUUAUUAGACGUUGUGUACCUGAGCAUGAACAGGGACAAAUCCUACGAAAAUGUCACUCCGAAGCUUAUAGAGGGCAUCAUGUUGGAGAUAGGACUGCUCAUAAGGUAUCGAAGUCUGGAUUUUAUUGGCCUACUCUCUUCAAGGAUGCCUGUAAGUUCGUCUUAUCUUGUGAUGAAUGUCAAAGAAUAGGUAAUAUCAGUAAGCGUCAAGAAAUGCCUAUGAAUUAUUCACUUGUUAUUGAACCAUUUGAUGUUUGUGGAUUUGAUUAUAUGGGGCCUUUUCCUUCCUCUAAUGGGUAUACAUAUAGUUUGGUUGCUCUUGAUCUAAAUGGGUAGAAGCUAUUCCAACCAGUAGUGCUGAUCACAACACCUCUAUUAAAAUGCUUAAGGAAGUUAUUUUCCCAAGGGUUGGAGUCCCUAGAUAUUUAAUGACUGAUGGUGGUUCACACUUCAUUCAUGGUGCUUUCCGUAAAAUUCUUGCCAAGUAUGAUGUUAACCAUAGAAUUGCAUCACCAUAUCACCCUCAGUCUAGUGAUCAAGUUGAACUUAGCAACAGAGAAAUAAAAAUAAUCUGGCAAAAGACUGUUAGUAGGUCUAGGAAGAAUUGGUCUAAGAAAUUAGAUGAUGCACUUUGGGCUUAUAGAACAACACAUAAAAAUCCUAUUGGUAUGUCUCCUUAUAAAAUGGUUUAUGAAAAAACUUGUCAUUUGCCUAUUGAGUUAGAACAUAAAGCAUUUUGGGCAAUCAAAGAACUCAAUUAUGACUUCAAACUUGCUGGUGAAAAGAGGUUAUUUGAUAUUAGCUCUCUAGAUGUAUGGAGAACCCAAGCUUAUGAAAAUGUAAAAUUAUUCAAAGAAAAAGUUAAAAUGUGGCAUGACAAAAGAAUUCAAAAGCGUGAGUUUAAAGUCGGAGAAUAUGUUUUUUGUACAACUCUCAUUUCAGAUUCUUUGCAGGAAAACUCCUCUCAAAAUGGGAAGGCCCAUAUGUCAUCGAGGAGGUUUACCGGUCUGGAGCCAUCAAAAUAAAUAAUUCCGAAGGUACUAACCCGAAGGUUGUCUAUGGGCAACGAAUAAAGCAUUAUAUCUCAGGUACACCUAUUAAUGUUGAAAGUAAUAUUAUCCAAACUUUGACACCGGAAGAACACAUAAAAGAGUCCUUCCGGAACACUCUAGAAUCGUGAAAAUAAGGAGGUACGUGAUACGGUAAGUAAACAGACUCCGAAAAAUCCACAUUUUUUUCUUUCUGUUUUGGGAUAUUUAAAAUUAUUGGAAAUAAAGAAACUUCCAGGAAGUGUCCCCUGGUGGGAACAAGAUACCAGGGUGCACCAGGCUUGCGUGGCGCACCCAGGUGGGUUGUGCCCACCUGGGACACCUUCUAUACUCCGUUUUUUACCAUAUGCUUGUCCUCCAAGAUAAAAAAUUUAUAUAUACUUCCCGAACCUUUUGAUCACCGUAUCGUGAAGAAAUCCUCUGUUCUCUUUUUCUUGCUGCUUUCCUGAUAGAUAUGAAAAUAUGUCUUCCCAAGACUCUGAGGGUGAGAGCUAUGUUGCUGAUUUCAUCGCAAACCCCAAUUCCUAUGGGGAUGAGGGGCACUAUAGCUGGACCUCCGAAGAGGAAGAAGAUGAAUCGGUUCCUCCCCGGUUCAAAAACGAGAGCAUGGAGGCGUUAUGCAAGAGGAUAAUAAAACUCGAGAUGGAUAAUGACGAGUUGAGGAUAGAUAAUUUUAUUCUCCGGCAAAAACCGGGGGAAGCUAAGGGGAAACCCUCCACUUUCUCACCACCACCAUUGCCUGGAAAUCCGAGAACACUUCUUCGUCACCAACAUCACCUUCUUCACCACCAAAAGAGAACUGAGUAUUGGGUAUGGGCACUCCCCUUGGCUUUCGCCAAGCUUGGGGGAGAUGCCCUGGUAUUGUAUCAUCCCACUAUCUUGUUACUUUUACUUAUUUUAGUUCCAUCUUUUGCUUUAGAUGAAUAAAAGUUUAGUUUGAUUCUUUCUUCUUUGAGAGUUUCCUUAGUGAUCUAUCCUUGUAAUCGUGUGCAAGUUGUAUAAUAAAGUUUAGUUUGAGUUUUUGCUUUCUUUACUUUCAUGUCGCAAAUAAAAGAAAAGAAAUAAGAGAAAGGUAAUAAAUAAAAGAAAAGAAAGAAAUAAUGAAAAAUAUUAUAUACUAAUCCUAUGGUAGGUGAUGGCAUCACAUAAGGAAAAGUAUAAGUAGGAUUAAUAAGGGAAUAGAAGAUUCACAUAUAAAUACUAUCCUAGAAAUCUUUUGUGAUUGUGAGCCCUCAUCAAAAUAUUAUAUGCCAAAAAAUUUGACGUUGGACCACGAAGACAACUUAAUGAUUUAUGCUUGUUCAUAUUCACAUAGAAGUCAUAUUGUCAUAGAUCCUUUAACAUGUGGUGCUUGCCCCUAUCUUUGCUAGCCAAAAAUUCCGCACUAAGUAGAGAUACUGCUUGUGCAUCCAAAAACCCUUAAACCCAAAUCUUAUUUUUCAAGUGUCCACCAUACCUACCUAGGGAUUGAGCAAGAUCCAUCAAGUAAGUUGUCAUCGGUGCAAAAAGGCAAUAAAAUUUGCUUCUAAAAGUGUGAGAUCAUUUGAUGUAAGAGAAAAUUGAGCGUUGCACGAACUUGUGAUGGUGAAGAAUAAAAGCGACAGACUGCAUAUAAAUGUCGCUAUCACAACGGGCAAUGUAACGUGACGUUCUUUUGCACUAAGGGAUUGGGCAUACAAACAAAUAAGCGCAUGGCAACCUCUGUUUCCCUUUGCGAAGGGCCUAUCUUUUACUUUUGUGUAUUUACUUUUAUGCAAAGAGUCAAAGUUUUCCUUCUAUUCCUUUUUAUUUUUAUCUUUUGGCAAGCAACAUGUGGUGAGGAGAGAUCUAGGCACAUAUGUGCAGUUGAAUAUGGGUGGCAUGCGUUAUUAUUGUUGACAUCCCCCUUGAGGUGAGUACGUUGGGAGGCGAAACCAUAAGCCCCUAUCUUUCUAUGUGUCUGGUUGAAACAUUUUGCUCAUGUGUACGCGAUGAGUGUUAGCAAUCAUAGAAGACUAUAUGAUGGUUGAGUAUGUGGACUUGCCUAAAGGCUCUGGCACACGACCCUUCCUGAAAAGAUGAUGACUUGUAGUUGCAAAGUUGACUGAGAACAUAGUUUGUUGGUUUCUAAUAGAGUUUUUGUUUUAUACUCUGAUUGUGUGAUGAACUAUUACUUAUUCAUGAGAAGUAUAUGAUAAAAGUCCUAUGUUUAAUUUUGUUGUUGUUAUAAUAAUCAACAUGAUGCUUCUAUGUCCAUAUUUUGUUUUUAUCGACACCUCUCUCUCAAACCAUGUGGACAUGUUUUUCGAUUUCGGUUUUUGCUUGAGGACAAACGAGGUCUAAGCUUGGGGGAGUUGAUAUGUCCAUUUUGCAUCAUGUUUUCUUACUGUUAUUUAUGAUGUUUUUAUCCAUAAUAAUGCUUUUUGGAGUAAUUCUAAUGCCUUUUCUCUCAUAAUUUGCAAGGUACACACCAAGAGGGAGAAUUCUGGCAGCGGAAAAUCUGGACCUGAAAAAGCUACAUCAGGCUACCUAUUAUGCACAACUCCAAACAAGCUGAAACUUCACGAGGAUUUUUUAUGGAAUAUUUAAGAAUUAUUAGAGCCAAUAAGUACUAGAGGGGGGCCACCAGGUGGGCACAACCCACUUGGGCGCGCUAGGCAGCCCAGGCGCGCCCUGGUGGGUUGUGUUCCCCUCGGCCCAUCUCUGGUGCCCAUCUUUUGGUAUGUAAGUCAUUUUGACCUAGAAAACAAAAUAAGAGGAGGACUUUCGGGACGAAGCGCCGCCGCCUCGAGGCGAAACUUGGGAAGGAACACUUUUGCCCUCCGGUGGAGCGAUUCCACUAGGGGAACUUCCCUCCCGAAGGGGGAAAUCAUCGUCAUCAUCAUCACCAACAACUCUCCCAUAUUGGGGAGGGCAAUCUCCAUCAACAUCUUCAACAACACCAUCUCCUCUCAAACCCUAGUUCAUCUCUUGUGUUCAAUCUUGUUACCGGAGCUAUAGAUUGGUACUUGUGGGUGACUAGUAGUGUUGAUUACAUCUUGUAGUUGAUUACGAUAUGGUUUAUUUGGUGGAAGAUUAUAUGCUCAGAUCCAAUAUGCUAUUUAAUACCCCUCUGAUCCUGAGCAUGUUUAUCAUUUGUGAGUAGUUACCUUUGUUCUUUAGGUCACGAGAGAAAUCAUGUUGCAAGUAAUCAUGUGAAUUUGAUAUGUGUUCGAUAUUUUGAUAGUAUGUAUGUUGUGAUUCCCUUAGUGGUGUCAUGUGAACGUCGACUGCAUGACACUUCACCAUAUUUGGGCCUAAGGGAAUGCAUUGUGGAGUAGCAAUUAGAUGAUGGGUUGCGAGAGUGAUAGAAACUUAAACCCCAGUUUAUGCGCUAUUCUGUAAGGGACCGAUUGGAUCCAAAAGUUUAAUGUUAUGGUUAGAAUUUAUUCUUAAUACUCUUCUCGUAGUUACGAAUGCUUGUGGGAGGGUUAAUCAUAAGUAUGAGGUUUGUUCAAGUAAGAACAACACCUAAGCACCGGUCCACCCACGUAUCAAAUUAUCAAAGUACCGAACACGAAUUAAACCAACAUGAUGAAAGUGACUAGACGAAAUUCCCAUGUACCCUCAAGAAUGUUUUGCUUAUCAUAAGAGACCAUUUUGGCCUGUCCUUUGCCUCAAAAGGAUUGGGCUACCUUGCUGCACUUUUGUUACUACUAUCGUUACUUGCUCGUUACAAAUUAUCUUGCUAUCAAACUACUUUGUUACUUACAAUUUCAGCACUUGCAGACAUCACCUUGCUGAAAACUACUUGUCAUUUCCUUCUGCUUCUUGUUGGGUUUGACACUCUUACUUAUCAAAAAGAGCUACAAUUGAUCCCCUAUACUUGUGGGUCAUCAACAUGGAUGAGGACAGUACCCAGGGAAAUUUCCAUCCAAAUUUGAAUUAUCAAACUCAUCCCAUGCGCGUAAAGCGGAAGAAUCGUUUGUGAUGAACACAAUCGUUCAAAGUGAAUGGUGUCCGGCGGCACCGCACGCAAAGUUUCCCACCACAUUUUGAAAUUUUUGGCCUACGAAAUAUCUACCCCCGCCCCCUUCCCCACCCCUUUUCUCCCCGACCACAAGUCAUAUUUCCCAUGUUUCCUCCUCCCUCCUUUCCUUCCUUCCUUCAUAAGCUAUAGCCGCUUCCUCGAUUGCUUCCUCGCUCUCGCCGUCUCGCAUCCUACCGCCGGGGGCGCCAUGGUCUUCUUCAAUGACCUCUCCAGUGAUUCCUCUUCCGACGACAAAUCCUUCACCACCCGGGUAUGCCUCUCUUUUCUCUCUCGGGCUAUGACUUGGAAUGAAGGAUUUUAACCCGGCGGUCGAUUUGAGUCAUUUCUCCCUCUUGUAGCUCCCUAGGACCAUCAGUUGCAACGAAUGGAGCGGGGUGGCUGAAGAUCUGUCUGCUCGUUGUCACCAUCAAUCUCCAUGUGUGAAGAUAGUUGCGUUUGAAUUUGUGGACAGUGGGAGGAAGUUUCUGGCAUGUGCAAAGAAGGUUAGUCCCCUCUUUCGUUGUUACAAAUCAUUUGUUAGAUGUGAUUGUUCUUUAAAUUUGCAUCUUUACGGAUCCCACUAUUAAGAAACCCAUGAGAAGAAUUAAUGAUGUUCUUAUUGUUGCAAAUAGGAAUUAUGUGCCCGUAGAUUUCAUCGUUCUUGAUACAGAUUGCAAUCCUACACGUCCUAUUAUUCUUGGUAGACUUUCCCUUAGAACGAUUGAUGCAAUUAUUGAUAUGGAAGAAGGAAAUAUUAUAUUUCAAUUUUCAUUAAGGAAGGGCAUGGAACACUUCCCAAGAAAGAAAAUUAAAUUGCCAUAUGAAUCUAUUAUGAGAGCUACUUACGGAUUUCAUACCAAAGAUGACAAUACCUAGGUCUAUUUGUGUUUUAUGCCUAGCUAAGGGCGUUAAACAAUAGCGUUUGUUGGGAGGCAACCCAUUAUUUUUUGUUCUUUGCUUUUUGGUUCUGCUUUGCAAUAAAUAAUUUAUAUAAUCUCUGUUUAGAUGUGAUUUUGUGUUUUAAUUACUGUUUGUGCCAAGUAAGACCUUUAGGAUGGCUUACGAUGAUAGUUGAUUUGAUCUUGCUGAAAAACAUAAACUUCUGUGCCCAGGAAAAUAAUUUCCAUUUUUAACAGAAGCGUGAUAAAAUACUGAUUCUUUUUGCAGAAGAUUAAUAAACAAAUUGCCCAGGUUGUCCUAAUGUUUCAUAAUUUUUGGAGUUACAGAAGUAUUCGAGAGUCACAGAUUACUACAGACUGUUCUGUUUUUGACAGAUUCUAUUUUCUAUGUGUUGUUUGCUUAUUUUGAUGAAUCUAUGGGUAGUGUUAGGGGGUAUGAACCAUGGAAGAGUUGGAAUACAGUAGAUAUUACAUCAAUAUAAAUAAAGAAUGAGUUCACAACAUUACCAAAUGUGGUGAUUUAAUUACUUAUACUAACGGAGCUUAUGAGAUUUUCUGUUGAGUUUUGUGUUGUGAAGUUUUCAAGUUUUGGAUAAGGAUUUGAUAGACUAUGAAAUAAGGAGUGGCAAGAGCCUAAGCAUGGGGAUGCCCAAGGCACCCCAAGGUAAUAUUCAAGGACAACCAGGAGCCUAAGCUUGGGGAUGCCCCGGAAGGCAUCCCCUUUUCGUCUUCGUCUAUCAGUAACUUUACUUGAGGCUAUAUUUUUAUUCAUCACAUGAUGUGUGUUUUGCUUGGAACAUCUUGUAUGAUACGAGUCUUUGCUUUUUAGUUUGCCACAAUCAUCCUUGCUGUACACACAUUUUGAGAGGGACACACAUUAAUCGUGAUUUAUCAGAAUACUCUAUGUGCUUCACUUACAUAUUUUGAGUUAGGCAUUCUUGCUCUUGUGCUUCAUUUAUAUCUUUUAGAGCACGGCGGUGGCUUUAUAUUGUAGAAAUUAUUGAACUCUCAUGCUUCAUUUAUAUUAUUUUGAGAGUCUCUAUACAACAUGGUAAUUUGCUUUGGUUAUGAACUUAGUCCUAAUAUGAUAGACAUCCAAGAGGGAUAUAAUAAAAACUUUCAUAUAAAGUGCAUUGAAUACUAUGAAUAUUAUUUUUUACCCUUUAUUAUUCCACAAGUGCAUAUGAGUUUUUCACUGAAUUGCACAUUCUAGGAUCAUAGAAAUUAUAGCAUAGAAUAAAAACUCUUAAUUAUGAACAUGGAUAUAUAAUAAUAUAAUAUUAUUUCCUAUAGGGCAUAUUUCCAACAGAGACGACUAUGUAGUGGCAACGUCGAAGCGGAACCAUGGUAUGGAAUGUAACCCCGUGUGAAGGAGUUCCAUAACCCUAGGGUGAUCCGCCUACUGAAAAAAACUGGAAUACUACAAUACAGGGUAACUGGAAUUACCGUCACACUAGCACACUUGAUGUAUACCAUGAUCCGAAGUUCACCUAAUAUCUCUAUUGUAAGAAAACACUUUAUUUUCUGUCUUUUCUUUACUUCUAAGUUUUUAUAUUCUCGCAACCACAAUCCAAUAUUUUUACCACUUCGGUUUAUUUCCAAAGAAAAUAAAAUAGCUUCUGCAGACACUCAAACCGUUACUUCACACGAGCACGGUGACAACUUGUGUGUGAUCGAAACGCCACUCAUAAAUACUCUCCCCCGCCCUUCACUGGGACGAUUACUAUUAACAAAAGUGCUACACUGCCAUGCGUGUCUUACAAGUCAUGAGCUUCUGAUUUUCUUGUCUUGGACGACUAGACCUCCAGAGUCUUCCUUCUACAGAGCCCAUGGACUGAUAUGAUGACACAAGACAAAAACCGACCCAGGGGGCCUUGGGGAGGCCCGACAACCAACAGUGUGAGGCACCCAUGAGUCGUAACACCAUCUACGUGCUUUCCACUCAAGUUCCGCUUGUAAAUUGUUUAACCAAAGUUAUGCUAGGCAAAAAAACAUUCCAAGUUGGAAUGCAGUUUAGGGCAUCUUCAACGCUAAACCUCAAAACGGACACGGUGUUUGUCCGCACGCAGUGUUGAGGGAGCCGACCAUCCAGCCUUGUCCCCUAAAACUUCGUCCGUAGGGGGCGGAGGGUACCUGGUUGCAGAGGGAAUCUAGGUGGACGACCAUGUAGGACAAGGAGCGCGUACACGUUGCUAGGGGCCACUGAUGUCCUAUGAUGCCCGGGCGACAGCCGAAGAGGUACAACGAUUGUGGCGGAUGAGAAAGGUGCGGAUCCAAAGCAGGGGGAGCAGGGGCGGAGUGGGAGAAAAGUGGAUCGGGGAUGUCAGAGUCGUGUGUGGUGGCAGUCCCGACUCCCGCAAAGCCCCACAUCUACGACCCGGAUGGAUGCAGGGUGGUCGAGGGUCCGCGUUGGAGAUGCCUUACUUACUUAAAAUGUGUCGAGUGUUGCAGAUUAUGCGAUUGAUACACUUCUUCAAUUUUUCAGGGCACACAAACUGCACGACACUUUGUUACAACAAUUUACAUGCAUCUCCUUCCAUUUUGAGAUGCUCAGAAAUUUCAAACAAUGUAGUAUAAACGAAAUCGAAAGUCCAAAUUCCAAACCCCAAGCCGAGGAGGGAAGGGAAGGCAACAUUUCCUAUCUGGUGCUCUCAGCGCCCAUUAAAGGCUAUUCUACAAACCUGCGCAUACCCUCCUCCGGCAUGGGCUUGGCCCGUUUACGCUUUCUCUUCCGUUUCUUCAAAACUUCAAAAAACAAGUGUCUGUGGGAUUUUAUCCCUGAAACUCCAGGUUCGAUUCUAACUGCGAUAACCAGCUGGGACACCUCACGUCUUGUGAUUACCUAUUUCUUUUAUUCGUUCCGUGCUGCGUGAACUUGUAGUAACAAUAAAGAUUGGACUCUGUUUUUUCCCUGUUUUCUUUGGCCGGUUUUUACUCGUUUUUUUGUUUUUGUUUUCUGUUUCCUUUUCCUUUUUCUUUCUCCUUAAACACGUGGACUUUUCUCAAAACCGCAAUAUUUUUUUCCAAGUUUUGGCUAACAUUCAAGUGAACUUAUUUUCAAAAUUUAUGAUUUUUUUUAAAUUGAUGAGUUUUUUCUUCAAAAUUGAUGAACUUUUUUUCAAAUUCGAUGAACUUAUUUAAAAUUCAAUGAACUUUUCUCAAAUUUCGUGAACUUUUUUCAAAUUUGAUGAACUUUCUUUCAUAAUCGUUGGACUUUUUUCAAAUCGAUGAACUUUUCUGAAAUUUGUGAACCUUUUCCAAAUCUUGCGAGCUUUUUUCAAAUCCAUGUACGCCAUGAAAUCCGUGAACCUUUUUAAAAUUCAAGAACUUUUUCAAGUCUAUUUAACUUUUCAAAUCUGUGAAAAUGUAGUUUUUAUCUUGAAACAAAGACCAGUCCAGAAGAAAGAAAAUCGAGCAAACAGAUCUUUUUUUUAGCCAAACGGGCGAACAGGCCAGGGGCGAAGAGCGAGCGAGCGGAGAGAACAGGCUAGCGAUGAGUAUCAAUGGGCUUCGCCCUGUAAAAUCGGUUUCGGCCCUCAAAAAAAAAAAGGAGCUCCCACGCGGCGAGCGAGAGAGAUGGCGGGAAAGCGAGCUCCGUCUCCCGCGCGGCCCCAGAACACCCGCCCUUUCCCAAACCGAUCCUCCCCUUCACCGACAUGUGGGGCCGCAGCAUCUCGGACCCACUCGCAGGCCAAUCUUCCAGGGGAAGGGAGCGCGAGCGGGAAAAUAUUUCGCGUUCCCUCCNNNNNNNNNNNNNNNNNNNNNNNNNNNNNNNNNNNNNNNNNNNNNNNNNNNNNNNNNNNNNNNNNNNNNNNNNNNNNNNNNNNNNNNNNNNNNNNNNNNNNNNNNNNNNNNNNNNNNNNNNNNNNNNNNNNNNNNNNNNNNNNNNNNNNNNNNNNNNNNNNNNNNNNNNNNNNNNNNNNNNNNNNNNNNNNNNNNNNNNNNNNNNNNNNNNNNNNNNNNNNNNNNNNNNNNNNNNNNNNNNNNNNNNNNNNNNNNNNNNNNNNNNNNNNNNNNNNNNNNNNNNNNNNNNNNNNNNNNNNNNNNNNNNNNNNNNNNNNNNNNNNNNNNNNNNNNNNNNNNNNNNNNNNNNNNNNNNNNNNNNNNNNNNNNNNNNNNNNNNNNNNNNNNNNNNNNNNNNNNNNNNNNNNCCAUUCCCCUCUCCACCGCGCACUCCCGCCUCUCCCAAAUCCUAGGGUUUCUCGAUCCACCCCUCCCUCACACCCCGCCGCCGCCGCCGCCGCCGUCGCCGUCCGCCGCACUCCCGAGGGUUUCUCGAUCCACCCCCGCCCCCUUCGCGCCCCGCCGCCGCCGGCCCCCGCCCGCCCGCGAAGAUGUUGGAGCUGAGGCUGGUGCAGGGGAGCCUGCUGAAGAAGGUGCUGGAGGCGAUCAAGGAGCUGGUGACGGACGCCAACUUCGACUGCUCCGGGACGGGCUUCUCGCUGCAGGCCAUGGACUCCUCCCACGUCGCGCUCGUCGCCCUGCUCCUCCGCUCCGAGGGAUUCGAGCACUACCGCUGCGACCGCAACCUCUCCAUGGGCAUGAACCUCGGCAACAUGGCCAAGAUGCUCCGCUGCGCGGGCAACGACGACAUCAUCACCAUCAAGGCCGACGACGGCUCCGACACCGUCACCUUCAUGUUCGAGUCACCCAGUAAGCACCCCUCUGCACAUCUCUUCCUGUCGGUCCUCUUCCUUAUCCGUGGGUGUCGAUGGUAACCGUGGUUUGGGUGGGUCAACAGACCAGGAUAAGAUUGCCGACUUCGAGAUGAAGCUCAUGGACAUCGACAGCGAGCACCUCGGGAUCCCAGACUCUGAGUACCAGGCCAUCGUUCGCAUGCCCUCCUCGGAGUUCUCCAGGAUCUGCAAGGAUCUUAGCAGCAUCGGCGACACUGGUAUGCGGAAUCCCCCAUUUCCUGUAUUAUUGUGGUCUGCUGCACUAGUCAUCUCUGUUUCUUACAUGUCUCAUGGCUGACGCGGUUUCUGUGCGCUGCAGUUAUUAUUUCUGUCACCAAGGAGGGUGUCAAGUUCUCCACUGCUGGAGAUAUUGGAACCGCAAACAUUGUUUGCAGGCAGAACAAGACCGUUGACAAGGUAUCCUGCAUUGUUCCUCCACUAGUUUGUAUAGAUCUGUUCCCCUUUCAUGCAUUUAUAUUGUGGUUUUGUGGUGUAUUGCAUAAUGAGAGUCAGGAAUCCCGAUUGCAGGGAUGAUUGUAGUUUGUCAAUACCUUAAUUGUAGCAACAUAAAUAGUCAGCUGCACCCAAUUCUCAACCAGAUUGUUUACUAAUCACUCAGUUAUUAUAUUUGGACGAUUUGGUAGUUAUUGUUGCUGGUGUAGUUUAUUUAUGAUAAAAUUGCCCAGCAUGUCUUCAUAGAUGCACACUACCCAGUCCUGCUGUUUUAUUCCUUUACAUGGCUUAAAAUGAUGCUUUGAAAUGUUUAGUUUGUUUACAUUAUUACAUAGUUUUUCACUUCAAAAAGUGUUGUUAGUUGUACAUAGCUUUGUCUACUGAAGGUUGAGUCCAACAGAUCUACAAGGACUGCAGCUACAUAUUUUUGUAACAUGCUAUUUACUAUACAAAGUGAUUUUGAUGGCCCCUGUACUCUGAGCUGGCGAACCUGGCAACUGAAGUGAUAGUUGCAAGUGUAAAAUAUUGGAGUACCAUUUUAAAAUUGUGGUUGAGGUGGUCAGUGAACAAAAAAAGACCUGUAUUCAGCUUAAGCCAUGUGGAGUAUUAAUCUCACCUAUAGUUUACACUUGCAAAUAUUAUUUCAGUUUGAGCCUUGGUUUUCAUAUUGGAGUACCAUUUCAGGGACAUGUAUCAGUAUGGUAGCUAAUGAAUGUUUGUAUCAAUGCAGCCUGAGGAAUCUACCAUUAUAGAAAUGCAAGAGCCGGUUUCACUUACCUUUGCUCUGAGGUACAUGAACUCCUUCACUAAGGCAAGCCCACUGUCAGACCAAGUCACCAUCAGCCUCUCAUCUGAACUGCCAGUGGUUGUUGAGUACAAGAUUGGCGAGAUGGGCUACAUUAGGUUUUAUUUGGCACCCAAGAUUGAAGAGGAUGAGGAAAUGAAGGCAUGAUUGUGUUUCAAGGAUCUGCUUAUUUUGCCUUCAUUAGGUUUUAUCUGGCACCCCAAGAUCGAAGAGAAUUUAGGAAAUGAAGGCAAAUUAUGUUUCAAGGAUGUGCUCAUCUUGCCUAUGUUCACAGUCGUUAAAUCAACCUCCAUUUGCUUAACGAUUGUUUGUAAGCAAAAAUGAUGUUAUGCUUGUUUUAGCUACUUGUAUCUGUGACUGGUGGUUCAUGGAUUUUCAUCUAUGAAUGUUGGUGUUUUAGGAGCUACUUGUAUCUGUGACUGUUGGUCUAUGUUACACCAGUGCUGUUAUUGUUAGGCAACGACUUAGAUUGUUUUUUUAUCAUAAAAUUCUACUGGUUGGUCCUUCGAUUGAAUGCAUUUUAGGUAUUGCGAGUGCAAUGAUUGCAACUGCAAAAACUGUCCUAAUAAUGCUAAUUGUCAUUGCUGGAGGCAUUACAAGUUGCGGAGCUGCCACUAUCAGGGGUACAAGUGCUUCCAUUGCAACAUGUACCCCCCAGGUGCCAGCACUACUGCCAAUGCCUGCAAGGCUGCAACCUCUGUAGGCGUGUGAGUGUGAGCUCUCUCCCUGCUAGGUAAUUUGGCAAUGGCAAUGUUUAUUUAGAGUAAGGCAUAUAGUGAGAUGGGAUGUGUAAACAAAAGUCUACAUAGCAGUUCCAAUGCUAUGCCUUGAACUGCUUAGCCAUCUCUCCUACAUAAGUUAUUAUGGAAAAUAAACCGAGUGAAUAGCGAGUUUUUCUUAUUCCUGCAGUAUAGGUACAACCGCAACCACUCGGGGGUUCCAUAGUUCUAUUGGAAAAAUUCCUUUUGAUCUAAGUGGAAGGAUACAUGAUUUUUUACUAGAAAUUGUGCUCCUAUAAAAUAAAAGUUUUAAUUUGGGUUUUCCUGCAACUUGGUUGAAGAAAUUGAAACCGAUAACUACUCUACCUACUUGGACAUUGUGAUUGUACAGCUGGUAUUCUGUGUCUCAAAGUUAAGAGCAUCUCUAGUGGCUUGUCUAAAUUUGGUAGUCUAUAUCUUCACAUACACAAUGGUGUAAAAAAAUUUCAUUUUAGACAACCUCAGUUUUUCAGUGGAUUGUCUAAAUUUGAUAGUCUAUAUUCCCAACGGCUACAUUUUGGACGUGGCGCGGGUGUCCUUCUCGUCUCCAACAGCUCCGGAUUGGCACGGAAGAGAGCUCACGAGGAGCAUCUCUCGUUUGGACAUCCUCGCUCGGUAGUCCAAAUAUAGACGAUGUGUAGCUAGUCUGAUGGAUGUCUAAAAUUUAGACCACGCCAUACACCAGCCGCUGGAGACGUUUUUUGGCCUCUGGUGGUCUAUAUCUGGCUUAGACUAUGGGAUACACUAGGCCACUAGAGAUGCUCUAAUUGAGAAAUAAUGUCUAGGUUUUCCCCCUUCUAUUGAGAGUAGGGAAAGCCUUUGUCUGGAAAUUAUUUUUGUUAAUUGUUGAAUUUUUUCCUAUCUGCAGGAUAUGAAAUACUCAUAUCCAAGGAGGAAAUACUGCAAGUGCAAGAACUUGAAUGUAGGCUCCCUUAUAAUUUGUUAAAACAAUAUGCAUCAUAAGGAUCUUGUUGCUAUUGAAUUUGUCUUUAAGGUAAAUAUUUUAUCCCUCAAGUCAUUUUCCAGCCCUUAAAGGUUAGUGCUUAUUUACGUAUAUUACUACCUGUGAAAAAUCUCAUUGUGAUUGUACGUGCAUAGCAUGUGCAUAUGCUUGUAUUGCUAUGUGCCAAGUGCUGCUGACCAGUCGCUGGGCACAAUGCAAACAGGCAAAAUAAUGUAUAAUGAACCUCCAAAUGAAACCAGAUAUAGUUGGUAUUUCUUGGUAGUAUUUUCUUUCAUAAUUUGAUGCUAGAGUUCUAGAGUUCGUGUUCUAUGCUUUGUGGUUAGUUUCCUUCCCAGGCUACAUCUUUAGAGCACUUAUAAUAGAAAAUACGGAAAUAAAUAGAACAAAUAAUUCUAGAUUGCUGUUGUUGUUCCUUUGUGUCUUGCACUGUCAGGAUAAUUUUUAACUGAAUUAAAAAAAAACAAUCUAAAAUAGUGCCAAAGUUAUAACGAAAGCAAAUGCUCCCUCCAUUUGAAUUGAUUGAAGUUCUAGUUUUGUCCUAAGUCAAACUUUAUAUUUGACCAAGCUAUUAAAAUGUUCUAAUAUCUACAACAGUAAUGAGAUUUUGCUUUCUAUCUGAGCACUUGCAUUACUGAUGAACUCCUUACAUUCUCUCAAGUCAGUUGAAGGCCCUUACUAUUUUUAAUAGCUAGGCAACGACUUGAAUUGUAUUCUUUAUCAUAAAAUUCUACUGAUUGGUCUUUUGAUUGAAUGCAUUUCUAGGUAUUGUGAGUGUUUUGCAUCAGGUAGAUACUGCAGUGAUUGCAACUGCAAAAACUGUUCUAGUAAUGUUAGUCAUGAGGCUGCAAGAUAGGAUGCUAUCAAUACUGUGAUGGAAAGGAAUCCUGUGGCCUUUAUGUCCAAAAUUGGGAAUAUCCCUCCACAUGCAGCCCAGAAUGGCGAGGUAGAGCACAAUGUAUAUUUCGCAAGAAUCACUUGUGUUUUCUUCUAGUUGCUGAAGGGCUUGGCUAUCUAUGUCUUGUUUUGCCUGUUUCCUUGUCGGUAUCCAAAAUUUAAACACAAUGAAGUGGCCCGUAAAUACGGCGCAAAUAAUGUUCUGAGGUCAAGACUCAUAUAUCAUUAGACUAAAGUGUCACAUCUUUAUAUUUUUAUGUGCAAUAGAUCGGUGAGAUUUGGGCAUCAACAAUGAUAGAGAGGUCAAAUCCCCUUUUUGUCAUCUAGAACUUGUCUUCCAAUGUUAGCAACUGAUACAUGGAGUCAUGGAUUGCCAUUACCUGACUCCCUUUUGGGUACAUUGCUUAAAAUCGAGAAUUUUGAGCAUGGUGUUCUGCUAGCAGUGCCGAUUCUUGAACCCAUACCAUGAGUUGAGGGCUUAAGGUUAGCAAUAGUCGUAUGACAAACAAGCCAAAUUCUGAGUUGUAUACCAAUAUGUUUGCCUUCUCAUGUCAUGUAGGAAAUCCAUUCUCAUUACAUCCCAGUUUAAAGUGGCAGAAGGCCCUGUUGUGGUUAAGCACACGAAGGGGUGCCACUGCAAGAGAUCUGAGUGCCUGAAGAAAUACCGUGAGUGCUUUCAAUCUAAUGUUCUCUGUUCAGAGAACUGCAAAUGUACGGAUUGCAAGAACUAUGAGAGCAGUGAAGAUAUGAAAGCAAUAGGCCUUAUCACCCAGUGGCACCUUGUCUAUUCACAUGAUAUGCAGAAUCCUGCUAUAAUGUUGGCUCUUUCUCAUGCAGUAGAAAAGCUCUCCAAUCUCUCAGUGGCUCCAUUAGGCAGAGAUCAGGUCAUCAGUAAAAAUGAUUGUUCACAAGUAAUUCUUUUACAGGACCCCUUUUAUAAUUUUCCGGAAAGGCUUUCAUAAUUUUCAUGCCUUCUGCUUUCGUUAUGUGGACUUAGAAAUAAUUUAAGGUAUAUAGACUAUAGCAGCCAAACAUGUGUGGUGUCUUAUGGAUAGCUGACUGAAUAUGUAUGGUUAGUAGCUCAAAUGCUAUAACAUAUCGUUCAGUUAAAAUAAAAGCUAAAUAAAUGUUGAAAUUCUGGUUAUUAACAUAUACUUUUGUCUUUUCCCAUGUCAGGUGACUUCGUCUUUCCUCACCCCUGUUCCUAUAGAAGGCACUCAAAGUACUGUCAAAUUAGCGCCGCAAGGAGUUACUUAUAGACGACAUUUUGCCCAUGAUUAUAGCCAAUUUCUCAUCUGAACUUAUUUAAUUGUGCUGUCUGACAUAUAUUUCUUAUCUUCCCCGAGGCCACUUUUAGCUGAUAUUAUCCAGAUAGAGAAUGUCGAUGAGCUCUGUAAAGUAUUGGUUCUAGUAUUAAGGCAAGCUGCCGGAACAUUUGUAGGUAUUGUUUUUCUCUGCAGAAGAAUAAUCAUAGCUAUGAUCCUAAUAUGUGAUUCGUUAUGCUAAAUGGUUUUCUGUUUGCUAGCUCACAUUCUUCUGGUAAGUUGAUUUGCCAUCAAACUAUUAGGAAGUACAGCAUAGAAUAGAGAGACCUUGUCACAUUCAGUUCAAGGGAAUGCUUUGUUACUCCACCUAAAGAAAAUUUGCACAUACCUUAAAAGUAGAACUCACUAUCUGACACCAGGUGCAAAUCUUCUCAGUUAGUACCAAGUGAUUGCAAGUUGCUUAGAAGAAGCCUUCGAUGUUUGCUUCUGUUUUGGCUGAGAACUCACACGUACAGAACUUUUAUUGCCAGUGGUAUAUUUCAUUGAAGGAUUUAAUGGCGAAACAUGCAUAUAUCUUAUCAGGGUGUAUAUGUUCUCUGAAUCUCACAACUAUUUCGUAUUCAGGUGUUCAGGAGAACACAACAGAAAAUUAGAUCGAUCAGAGAGUUGCCUUUGUUCCACAAACCAUGACACGGAAGCAAUUCAGAAACAACAUGAUGAACAAGUGUGCUCAAAAGAAAACAGUUUAACCACAGUUACUGCAAUUCUCUCAGUCGCCAAGCAGAAAUUGCCAGACACUUACAAAGAGCAAGAGAAGCGUAUUCUGAAGAUUUUGCGUGAGGUUGUGAACCGCGGAAGACUUCAUAGUGGGUGCCAGCAGAUCAUCAAGUUCUGUAGAUACAGUACAACAGCAGCCAUUAUCCAAAUAAGAGACGCUGAAACCAUCUAAACCUGUAGUUAUUUUCUGGCUCUUUGUAUUUGUUCGUUAUCAGCACUGCUGCAAAUAAGUAUCCAUAUUUAACAGCUCUUGGUUUCUGCAGAAGAGAAGCUCUCUUGGAUGUCAUCCAAGUUCCACGAGCGAACCUCUGUCGGCAGCAGCUGCAGCUCGUCCGUAUCAAGGGUUGCAGAGGUUGCCAGGAUGGGGCAAACAAUCCGACAAGCGCUCCAUUCUCCAGCAGGUAUCAAAUCACCAGGUCUUUUGUCAAUGGAUACGUCUCAAUCCAAUAACUGAACUGCGAUGAGCAGCCCAGUGCCAUGAGCAUAAUGCUGCAGCCAAAAUGAUGAUUUAAUUUUCUGCACAAAAAGGCCGCAACGCAACGCAAAACGAAGGCACCACCUCCCAAGUGCUCCCCAACUACUUACCCAAACACCGCAUAUCCGAUCGACCUCCCGUCAUCGUUCCUCGACACCAUGGCCCAAGGCCAAGAAAGCAAGUGCACGAGUUGGACGAUAGGCGUGACAGCGAUAGUUAUCAUGAUAGGUAUUUUUGCUCCUCUUGCGUGGUACGCCGAGAGGCCAGCUGACACGACGUACGAGGCGACCAUCACCAGCGUGGGCGGCCUGGACCCGGCCCUGGAUCUCCACGGCGACCGGCAGGCGCUCAGCCCGGUGUUCGGCAUCACCGUGCGCGUCGACAGCACCCGCAACAAGGUCUUCAAGAAGCGCAUCGGCGGCGCCGGCUCCUCCGUGGUGGUGUCCUACGGGGACGCGCUGCUCGCCAAGGGCGCCGUGCCGGAGCUCUGCGUGCACACGUCAGGGGUGGGAGAGGUGGCGGCCGAGGCGUGGGGCUUGAACGUGCAGGUGCCUCAGUUCCUCCGGGACCGGCUGGCCGGCGAGAUAGAGAGCGGCCAGGCGGUGGUGGACGUGGCGGUGCGGACUCCCGUGGGGUGCUACAUAAACGGAUGCUUGGACGCGGUGCUUGUCUGCAAGGCCAGGAUCCAGGGCGGUUCUUCUCCGUGUUUUUCUAUGUAGAGAGAGGCUAUCAGCGGCACGGGCGCAAACGGAUGGUUUCGAGCGUUUUUUUGCGGUUUAUUUUAUUUUUGCUUAGGAUAGCAUGAAGGGGUUUUUGUUUUCAAUCAAGCACCAUCUUUUAUAGUGGAUCCAAAUUUUGUAUUCUCUAUCAAGAACUGUGUUUAACAGUUGAUCUGAUUUUUGUAUUUGCAAUCAAGAACUGUGUUUUAUAGUGGAUCUGGAUUACUACCCGCAAAAAAGAGUAUAUUAUACUACAAUAAAUGCAUACAUUCCCUCCGUCACAUAAUGCGUUCAUCACUUUUCGUGAAAACCAAAUAUCACAAAUUUGAUCAAGUUUAUAGAAAAAAUAAUACAAAACAUAUACUAUAUGAGAUAUAUUUCAUGAUGAAUCUAAUGGUAUUGAUUUGGUAUAGGAAAAUUAUAUAUAUCCAUAAUACAAAAUAUAUAUUGUAUUAAUAUUCUGGAUGAAUCUAAUGGUAUUGAUUUGAUAUUAUAGGUGUUGAUAAAUAUAUUUAUAAACUUGAUCAAAGUCCAAAUAUGCUAAAUGGAGGACGAGCUCCAUGGAGCUCUUUUUUAUCUGAAAACAUAAUAAUAAUAAUAUUAUUAUUAUUAUUAAAUCAUAUUUUGAAGUUUCAAAAUAUUCUAAAAAAAAUCACACACGACACGUGUGUAAAUUUUCAAGAUGAUAUACAUUAUGGUGAGAGCUACACAAGAAAGACAAAAUCAUGAUUUUGAAAAUGAUGAACAAUAUACACACUGUUCACUAUUAAAAAUACACCAAACAAUAAUGUAUUUCAUCUUCAGACUUUACAGGCAUGUAAAAUACAUCCCUAUGAACCCGUAUGAUUGUUUUUCAGUUUUUUUUUUAAUUUCAAAAUGUGAUUUUUUUAAAAAGAGCUCCAUGGAGCUCGUCCUCUGAAAUGCCCCACUCAUCAAAGUUUUAAAGUUUUAAAAAAAUCUCAAUUUUUUACGUGUUCAUAUGGAUGUAUUCUACAUGUGUAUAAAGUCUGACAAUGAAAUACAUUAUCGUGAAAGCUACACAAAAAAGACAAAUCCGUGCAUUUUUAUAGUGAAUAGUGCACAUACUCCCUCCGUUCC